rnacentral:lncRNA from 1 species
CACAGUACGGAAGCUUUAAGAUACAAUUUAAAUUGAUACACCCGAAGGUGAGUCCUAAUUUUGUCCAAUCUGUCAGAACACCGUCGAAUUCCUCGUAGUCACCACACCUUUGUGAUUCCUGAACCUGGAGGGGCGCAAAACCAAAAUUGAGUGGGUCAGUAAAAACAAUUCUUUUCCAAAUCCAAACAUUUCUCAAAACGUUGUAACCCCUCUCCGUAAAACCUGUAUACUUUCCCAGAAAUGUAAAAUAUAAAUAUACAUAUAUAUUCUCAAAACUUCAUUUUUACUAUCUCAACAUUAUCUCUUUAUCAAUCAUGCCAUGCCAUGUCAUCUCAACAUUUCUCAUAUUAAUUAUGCCAUGCCACAUCAUCUCAACAGUAAUAAGGUAUGAAUGCAUCAACAUAAUCAUAUCAGGUGCAAGAAAAGUAAUCAACCGUAGGCCCUCUAAUAGCCCUAUACGGUUGAACCUAGAGCUCAAAAUCUAUCAUUAUCACUCUACCGGAGUCACCUCUGUGACCCGUCCGGCCUUCUGCACACAAGUUACGCUCUAGUGCUUCUCAUAAAUCAUCUGUGCACAUAAUCUAAGGUCACCCACCAGUCGGAAUCUCACUAACACUCUCGCGACUGGUCUGUCGUACCCACUCCGCGUGGACUGUACGACUAGCAUCUACUUGGAUCCAAGGCGAGCGUGCGAUGCGGUGAAUACUAUAAGCACUAAACCAUGGUGCAGGAUUUGAGCUCAAUAUAUAUCAUCAUCAUCAUAACAGUAAUUAAAUACUCAUCUGUGCGUCCACCGCACCAUUUCAUACAUAUGCAUCAUAAAUCAAUUCUUACCUGUGCGUCCACCGCACCAAUUCAUACAUAUGCAUCAUAAAUCAAUUCUUACCUGUGCGUCCACCGCACCAAUUCAUACAUAUGCAUCAUAUAUUAAUUCAUGCAUGGCAUUUCAACUCACAUUUCUAUAUACUUUUCAUAUCAAUUCUAUGCAUGGUAUUUCACUUCCCGUUUUUCCACAUAACUCAUAUGCAUUUCAUUUUAAACAUAUUUUCAUGCAUUUUCAAUUUCUGGGAAAACGUUAAGUAUAUAUAUAUAUACGGAAAACAAAACUGCCCACUCACCUGGAGUUCAUCCAACAACUCCCUAGCACCACACAUCAAGGCGUCACGACGAUCGCCGCCUAGAAUAGUAAUCAAAUCCAACCUCAGAAUUCAUAUCGAUAGAAUAUUUAACUUAUAUAAAAUACGUCACUACGUAGUUCGAUCCGGAAGAUCUGCCACUCAGAUUUUAAAUCCAUAACUUCCAGAGGUCCACAAUAUAUCUCUAGGAUAACAUUUUAUAUUAUGGACUUACAAUUCCAAUUCCGGAAGAUCCGUAACUCGGAUUCCCAAUCCGUAAGUUCCAAUAAUCCUCAAAUAUUACGUACUAUAACGUAUCAAAGUUUGGUGAUGAUCCAACGGUCGGAUCAUCAAUUCACAUUUUCACCUAAAUGUGAAAACUAUAAAACGUUAUUUGAACACCUAACCAACAAUCUUCAAUAACUUUUCUCAUACGGUGUGUUCAAUUUAGGUAUAUGAAUAUACCACAGUGAUCUACUCGACGUCACGGACGUCGACAUAUUUUUAAAAUAAUUUUAUUUUUAUUUUUUAUUUUUACUGUAGCACCUUCUUCUUCCUUGGGUCGCCGGACUGGUUUUUCCGGCGGCCGUUUUCUGAACAGUUUUUCAAAUUGCCAUAACUUUGUCAUUUCUCAACGAAAUCAAGUGAUUCAAAAACGAAAGUUGUAGCCCUUGAAGAGACAAAGAGAAUGGUACCUUGCAAAACACCUAGUUCGCCGUGGUUUGGCCGGAAACUGCCUCGAAAGCCUCGGAGGUCGCCGGAAACUGGGUAUUUUUCAAAUGAGUAUAACUUCUUCAAUACUCAACGAAAUUGAGUGAAACAAAAAGGAAAGUUGUAGUACUUGACGAGACGAAGAGAUUGAUACCUACCUCGACUCCUAACUCGCCGGGGAUUCGCCGGAAAAAGCUUCGAAAGCUCCGGCCAAACUUUGAACUUGUCGAUCUCGGUGUUCUUACGUCCAAAAACUUCCAACGAAGCACUCCGAGCUUCCUUGGGACCUCACUAAGCUCACUAUGAGCUUGGAUUGUCCUAAAAAUCAACCAAUUCAAAUCUCAUGAACAGUACACUUUCAUGGGGAGUUUAGAAUCUAGGUUUUCCGAAGUAAAACUUACCUGAAAUGGAUACCAACGUGAUCGUGAAGUCCUCAGGAUUCCAAUGGUGGUCUCAAACUUGACGUUGGUAUAGAUUUAGGGUGGUUUUGGUGGUGGUCCGUGUGAGUUCGAAGGAGAGAGACAGAGAGAGUGAGAAAUCGUGAAGGAGGAGAGAGAAAGACAGUGAACGGGAAAUGAGGAGGGUUUUGAGGGAUGUGGGGAUCCCACGUGGUCCUUAUUCCAAUCUCCAAACACCAAACUUUAACAUUUUAACCUAAAAAUCUAAGUUCCAUCCUUAUUAAAUUCCAUUUUAUUUUCAAACUUAGGAACCUAGAUAAUUAGCAACCUGAGCUUCACAAAUUUAGUAUUUCUUAAGGGCAAUUUCGUCCAUUCACAGCCACGAAUAUAAUAAUUUGGAACGGGCUGUGACAAUAUGGCUGUAUAGCUCGUUUCAUAUAAAUUUGUUAUCAUCAUGAUCACAAAAUUCUGUUAUAACUAAUUUAGAUAAGUUUUUGUUUUCAACCCAAAAAUAAAUAAUAAAAAAAAACUAUUUUAAAGUGCUAAUACAAUUCUUAAAAAUAAAAGUGUGAAUCAAUAAAUCAAAAGACUGAUUUCAAAUGUUUACGGGCUCAUUUAAUGCUUUUAGUUUUUGAGUUUCAAAAGCGCUUCCUGCAAGAAGCACAAAUUACUUCUUGCACAAAGCACUUUAAUUGUUUUUUUCAAAAUUCACUUACAAUUUUACUAAAGAUUAAUUCGAAUAAUACUUAUACUAAAAGCGUUUUCAGCUUUUUUAAAAACCCUUCUAAACAAAUCUUAAUUUUUUUUAUCGAGUGCGCACGCAGAAUAUCGUGAAAAUCAUGUUGAAAUAGCUUUACAUCAAGAUUCGAGAUGUAGACCUUUCUUUCGACCCAAAGAAAAGAAAAAGAGAUGUAGACAUUUCAAGGCGGGGUAUAUGAUAUAAGGGUGGGGACUGGGGGAUGAUAUUGAAACCAUUUCCUCAAAAUUCCCAACUAAAUAUAUACCGCAAUAACUAAACCAGGAGAAGCUCACUGUUAGAGAAAGAUAUUCAAAAUUGUAUAUAAAAUCAAUUGAAUUAACAAAAAUAUAUAUAUAAGAAAAAAGAAAAAUGAAAAACGUAUGGAACAUGAAAACGUUGAAACCAGAGGAAGCAGCUAUAAGUUAGAGUUGCCUUGGACGGAGGAGGAAAGCCGGCUUAUCGGAAGGCAACACCGCUUCCAGAGCGAUUCGAUCCAUACUUAGAGACUAAACCUUCAGUCGAGUUUCCCUUUCCGAUUCAUCAAGUCGUGGUAAUACAGAAGCAGGCACAUCGGUUGACCAAGAAUGCAAAAGAUGAACCAGAAGAUCAUAUUUCCCACCUGGAAAUAAGAUUCAAAAACGUGAUCAAAACAUUACCAGUAUCGAAAUGGUAUGAAUUUGGAUCUAUCAUGAAGCAUGGCGUAAGUGGGUGAAUAGAACUCAGACAUGUCGAAAGUAUAUGUGCCCUCAACAAUCCAUAGAGCACGAAUAGAGUACCGGAACUAGUUAAAAAAAAUUAAAGGCCUACAGGUACUAUUAUUGCGGGGUUUACUUUCGAAAAAUGUAGAAUUUGGGGUUCAUGGAAAUUCCUUAGAAGAACGAUGCAUUAUACCCCUAUCCCUCCAGCAGGACCGCUCCAAGUAUUUAAUUCUCUCUAGAAACUAAAUAUUUAACUGGUGGCUAACGCCCAACUGAGUAGGCAAAACUAUGCUACAAUAAUAUGACUUUUCUGCAAUAGUAUGUUUUAAAACAAGGACAUACCAUCGAGUUUCUGAAUUUAUUUUGCAGGUAAUUUGUGAUCAAGACAAGUGGUACCUGUGACGAAAACGCAACAAAAGAAAAUUAGGACCAUUGAUCAUCAAUAUGAGUAGGACUCAUAAAUGUGGCAAGGAAACUAAAAUGUUCUUACCUGGAACAUAAUUCCGAUAAAAGCCCACAACUUGAAAAUGUGGCAGGGAACAGCUAUGCAUAGCUGGAGACAAGUAAAAAAAUAUUGGAUAAGAUAAUAGAAACACAAACAGCUAUGCAAGGUUCAUUGUAGAAACAAGCCAUGAGAAUUCAGAUCCGAGUAAGACACAAAACAGAAGGGGGAAAUAUUUCAGAUGACCCCCAGAUAAUGUUUCACGUGGAGUUUGCAUUGGUGAUCACGAUGAGGAGCUCUGGUUCUAAUAUAAUUAUAUAUUUCCAUGCUCAAACUUAGUCUUUAGCUUUUGGCCCAAAUCAAAUGUUAAGAGCUCAUAUUGCGAUUACCUAAAGACAUCGGAAUUCAUUCUUACGUGUAUGGGUAUUCUACUAUUGUAAGGUAAUCAGGAGUGUUUGAUCAGCAAUACCUUUCGACAAACAAUGGUAGCAUAACCCUUCAAGUUUGUGCUUGCUAACAAUUACUUUAUAAAAGCAAAUUACCAAGCGUGCACGUUCCAGGGUGGUGUACAUCUAAAUAGCUUAAGUCUUGGUUAGUACUAAGAUGAUGAUUCGCUUGAUUCAAAUGACAUGCUUCAAAGCCAUUCUUUCAGUUUCAAAUCCUAUAAGUCGUUCAUAUAAUCAUGACACUAUCAAAUUCCAGAAUCCCACUUUCUACCAACACUCACGUUCCAAAACGAGAGAGUGCUAAUUCUCAUUAUGGACAAUAGAAUAUGAUGAAGGGAGGAGCAAUAGAAUAGUCAUUAUCCUGAGGGAAAGGGUCACUAAAUAGCAACAUUAAACUCACAGAAACAAAGCAAAUACCUCAUGAAAUACGGCAGAUACUAGGAAGGCGAUUACGAUGGCAACUCCCUGAAUUAAAAACAAAUUAGUUUUGUACUUACUACUUUCUAAAACAAAUUAAAGGUACAUCCAUCACGCAUCACUUAAUAUUGAAAUAAAGAGAGAUUAUAUACCUUGGGUACUCCGUGACGUAGGCAUGGAAAAUAGAUGUGGCGAACCAUCCAUUUAUGAACAGGCUGAAAUGAAUACACCCAAUCAGUAUUACACUUUUACUUGAGCAUUAGCAUAAAUAAGAACUACAAGGCCACAAGCGCUCUUUCAAAUAAGUCAAUAUAUAGUUAUAUACACAACUUCAAGUCUUCACUGCAUCCAGCUGCCUCGUGAAUAAGGCAAGCGGGAUAGAGAGGGUUGUUAUCAUUGUAAAAUGUAAACAACAGAUACCAUCUAACUGCGUUUUGUCAUUACAUGGCAGCUUUGAUGACCAUGAAAUUGGGCUUAUACAGCCUCUUUUCAGGCUUAUAAGUUAUAACCCUUAUUAAACGAUAAUGCUAAUACACCUAUUCUUUGAUACAAAUUCAAACACAUUAAAAUCCAAACUCACUAGAGUCCCAUAAGCAACUUAGAUUCAAAAUGAUAUCGAAUGGAAGUCAAAACAAUAAUUUAUCGUAGUACUUUAAAUAUAUGAGAAAAGAUAACAACUGAAUUAGAGUUAAACAUACAUACCAUGUUCCACAUUCUCCAAUACUGAUGACAGCCACCAGAAGAGCCAUGCAACAAAAGUAAACAGUAAAAUUUGUAAUUCAGCAAGGAGCUGUAAUAACAUAACCUAAGAAUAAAUUGCAUAUAACAUAAAACACACCUCCUCAACAGUUUUUGCAUUCCACCAAUCUUUAUAGAACUCCCGAUCACCAAAACAAAGCAGCUCAGCAACAAUAUUUAACCUAUAUUUAUAACACUGGAUGUAAGCUUAAACUCAAAACUGAAAUGAAAGUGCAAACUUAGUAUAACAAGCAUCUUCCAAGCAGCUAUAGAGACAUCAGAAAGAAAAAAAAAGGAGGAUGAUGAAACAAGACGAACCAGAGGUGGAAAAAGCAAUAGAACAUGCAUAGCCACACAUAUAAAUUGGGAACUGAAAGCUUCAAAACCCUCUCUAUGGCAUAUAACCAGUCCCCCUUCAAAGGAUGUUUUGAAUUCUUGACAAUAGGGUUGAUGUACUGCAUAUAAAUACACAUGGCAGAAUUCAUUAAUAAUCAAAAUGAAAUAAAAGAGCAUUAAAAGCUUGUUGAAAACAACAAAUACCAACUUACUUGUUCUACUAUAAAUCCCAUCACUCCAGUAAAAAUGAUCAACUUCACAAGUUGACGAAACACCCAACCUUUUCGAACACAUGCUGUGCGAGGGUAACUAGUCUGAAACAAGGGUCAGAUAAAUCAAAAUUAAAUUCAGUUCUCCAUUAAUCAUGUAAUGUACAAGUUAAUCUCAUAUGAUAAGAACCACAAAUUAAAGACUAAAACAUGAAUUACCAUUCUUUUAAUUAAGGAUGCCAAUAAUAUACCGUAAGAAAAUAAUCAUAUUGUUUUCCGAUGAUUCAUUUAAUAUCAUUUUAAAAUGAAAAAUAAAUAAUUUAGCCAUCUUCGACCUACAUACUAAUUAAACAAUAAUGAGUCGUGAAAAUAUAAGAGUUAUAAAGAAAAUUAAAGCAGAAUUCAAACUUGUAACGGCAAAACUCACAACACCAGGUUGGAGCAAAUAUGAAGUUUAAGAGACCGCAUGACAGUCUAUAACUGAGGGAAAAUAUUUGUUCAGUUUGUAAAAAAUGCCAUAUUCUUUUUCAUUUUUAAAACAGGCAAGGGAAAGGCAAACACAUACAAGAACAGGUGACUUAAACUGACUAAAGCAUCAAAACUCAUAAAUUUGUACUUUCUGAAUAAGGAUUGACGGAUAAGAAAACCUAGGUUAAUUUAUGAAAUAGUAGUGCAAUUACCUGGUAACAUAAUGUUGGAGCGACCAUAAAGUAUGCCAUAUUUUUUAAAUUGUUAUUAUGAGGGUAAUCUGUAUUCAGAGAACUAGGUGUGGCAUCCCCCUGCAAUCAGUCAAGGACUUCAAGAAUUAGAAAACAAUCAUUUAUUAAGAAAAAACUGUUGACGAACAUUAAACAUCUCCUCGAGGAAGAAAACAUCUAUUAAGAUUUAGGACCUUUUUAAACUUUCUUCAAACUUCAUAUUUAAUCUAAAAAGCGGGAAAGGAAAAGACAAUAUUCACUGUUAAAUAAAAACCUUAUUCACAAGUUCAUAGUUACCUUCUCAACUGCUAUGUGAAGUGCUCUCAUAUCAUAGUUUGUGUGCACAUAAGAUACGAGUUUUAACCAUACGAUGCAAGCAAAGAGCAUCAACGCAACACCAAAUAAAACUGCAGAAUCACACCUGCAGAAAUGAAGUAAAUAAAAUAAACGCAAAAUUUUCACUGCUAUUCACAUAUUAGCCAGCUAAAAGAUGCCAUCAAUCAAUUUCUUUUUAAAGAGCCUUUCCUAUUACAUAAAGACACAAUCUUUCAGGCAGUACUUCCAUCCAAUGUCAAUUUCAGCUUAAGUACUUAUCCCCUCAAUGAAGUUUCUAAGAUCUCCACAGAAACAAGCAUCUUUCAAGAACUGGGACAAGAUUGCAAAUCCAGAAAAUACGCUAAUAAAUGAAAAGCACUGAAAUAAAUGUCAUGGACCAGAAACGAGAACGUAACAGUGAGAGUUCAAACCCAAAUCCUCCAAUCAGCACCAUGGCCAAGAUACAAUAACUGGUUACACCUCCUACUAAUACCAAAAAUCGGGGAAUGCAACUAAUGGAAGCUUAAUUUGCAGUGAGUUCAAACUGACCUGAGAAUCACCACAACCGGAUACAAAAUUGAAGUUGUUGUAAUGACUAUAUGAAGAGAAACAACAGCCUGCAAUGCCAGACAAGAAAUUCAGAUUUCAGAUACAGAGUUGCGGAGACCUAUUUUUUAAAGCAGUACAAAAUGAGUUUCUCACAGCUUCAGAUAUACACUUUUGUUGCGCUAACUUCUCAACUACAAAGGCCGCAAGUGGAAAGAUAGGAAGAGUAAGGCUGCAAAUGAAAGAACAAAGAAGCCGAAUAAAUUUCCCACCACUUGUAAUUCAAAGAUGGUAACGAUAACUAAGUAUCUUAAACCAAACACCGUAUCGAAGCAUAAUAAAAGGAAACAUUACCCGCACAUAAAAAGUGGCCAAUCUCGCAAUGAUCUUGAACUAAACCAGAAACCAGUUUUAAUUAACCAACCAUACUGCAACAAUAAUUGAACAGUCAGAAAUCUCUAUAAAUGUCCGUAAAACAACAUUAUCAAAGGGCGUAAAGUUAGCCCAAAAAACAAAGGACGCGGGCACAUGGCAAACCUUCAUUAAAUUCUCGAUGAUUAGCCGGCUGUUUACAGCAACAAGUACUACUAUACACAGAUUGAUGAGACCGGCAUGGCUCUGCAAAAGUGCAAACCAAACAAAAAAGAUCAAAGCUUGCAAUUAGCAUCUCCUUCAAGCUCCACAGAACGCUAAAAGACAAAAACUUGUUACCCAGCAAACAUUUUCAUAACUGGUAAUUAAUCACGGAUUAACGACACUAAUUACAAGUGAAAUUAAGCAAGGCUUAAAUACCUGUCUGAAGAUGGCAUCAGAGCUGAGAGGACUCUCCUUAACUCUCCGAUGAGCCGGAACGGACGGCCGAUACGCAAAUUUCACGGCCGAGGGAUCACCGCCCCGAUCAUUCUCGCCGAGUCCCUUCUUGUCUUGAACAGCAUUGACGGACUCAGCCGAGCCGUCAGAGCCUCCAAUACGGCCGUUAUCGCCGCCGCCGCCGCCGCCGAGCUUGGCGCCAACCGAGUCAUCACCGCCGGAGUCCCUAACCAAAUCGUUCAAGGAAUCGGAUUCCGCCACGGUGGAGGCCGAGGGUCUGCGGCGUAGCGUGUGGUUGAGAUCUGAGUCCGCGCGGGGGCUUGUGGUGGCGCCUGCGAUGACUACUGCCUCAGGCGAAUCCGCCAUCGCCAUGACACAACCGCCAAUAUAUAUGUAAAUUAUAUGUAAUAUAUGUUUUCCCAGAGAGAUGAAGAAAGAGGGAGAACAGAGAGAGAGAGACAGAUUUCAGAGUAUAAAUGAUGGGGUGCGAGAUUUCAGAGAGUUCAUGCAGAGAGAGAGGGAGAGAGAGAGAGAUUUCAAAUGGAAAAAGAUAAAGAGGAAGAAUAAAUGGGGUGCGAGAAAAUUCGCGAAGUGGCGGUGAAUGACUGGGAAAGUUGAGCGGUCUUUAUAUAAUAAGCACCAAAAACACACAGAGGAGAGAGAGAGAGAGCUGGCGAUUGCAGGUAUGAUGACGAAGCGAUGAUGUCAGAGUGGGGGAGGGAGGGAGGGAGGGAGGGAGGAGGGCCGGUAGAAGGGGGAAAAACGACAAGCGGGCGGUUAACGAAAAACAGUAUCGUCGUGUAAGAGUGUGACAGGGGAAGAGGGAGGAAGGCAGGAAGCUGCAGACCUGGUCCCGUGGAGCUUUGUGCAUACAAACCGCUUCCCGGUCCUUCCUUUCCUUGGCUCCCGCUACUUCCCAACCCAAAUUACUAUUUAACUAUUAAAUUAACAAAACCGAUAAUAUCAUCUGACUAAAUUUUUAGACUAAAUUUAUAAAUUAUAUGAUUUGUCAUUGAUAAAAAUGUGUACAUUUAUCAAUGCUUAAGUACUAACUCAACUCAAUUAUUUAUACUUAGAAAAAAGUACUAACUCAAUUAUUAACUUCUAUGUCAUUUAGUUUAAAAAAUUUUAUCUAAAAAUUUAGUCUCUCUAACAUUAACCUUAACAAAAUAGGUUAGCUUAAGUCAAUCUUCAAAAUAUUUACGAAAUUAUCGAUACUACCUUCUAAAUAAAAAUAAAUAAAAUCAAGGGUCGAUUAGGAGGUGUGAAUGCAAACAACUCUAUAUCAAUGAGUUGAUGUACACACCUGAUUGUCAAUUUUCAUCGAAAAUGACAUAUAUAAUUAUAUCCAUCAAUAUUUUCAUAAAAUUGCAUGUUAAUAUUUUACUAUAUCCAUAUUUCAAACACUUUUAGGGUAGCAUCCAAUUAAAAGAUGCUGAAUUUUUUUUUUUAUAUGGGAAAGUACAUCGUGAGAUGUGAAUAAAUAUUUGUGCAAGGAUGUCCGACUACAAUCUUGCUCUCUUAAGGUUCUCAUUUUGAGGACAUGUGAGAAUCAAAUGCAUAUUAGCCACAAGAUUAUAUCAUUUCAGAUCAAUGAUCUAAAAUAUUUGACAACUUAAUCAAGCAAAGCCAACUUAAAAUCCUCGAACCAUUAGAAAACUCAUUUUCUUGUUUUGCUUUAUUAUGUUGCCAAAUAUUUUUAGCCCUUGGAUAUAAACUAAUAUAAUUUUUUUGACUAAUAAUGCAUUUGUCCUCACAGGUCCUCAAAAUGAGGACCUUAGGAGAGCAAGACUCCGACUAUGUGUAUACAAACCAUGCCUCUUAGCAAGAGACCCUCCCUAGUAAGAGACAUUUUUGAACGCUCUAAACUAUCCGGUACAUAAAUGUUUUAAUUGUUAAAUUUUUGUUUAAAAAUACAAAAUUCAAGAUUUAAUAUUUAAAAACAUUGAAGUAUCCGUACAUUGGAACACUUAAAAAUAUUUGCCCAACUAUAUUUUGGUCUCAUUUAGUGUGAGAUUUUUCUUACCAUGCAGUUCGAUCAACUAUCUUCUCUAUCUAAAAUUUCUUACAUAAUUUAAUAUUAUGAUUUAGUAAUAUUUUUUUCUACUUGUAAUUACAGGAUCCGGAGAGGAUCCCUUUUCUUAAGGUUCUACCCUUCAUGGUCAGUUCUAUAGCAAUGAUAAUGACUAGACAAUUAUUUGGUUUAGCAAAAUUAGCAGAAGCUUAGAGUAAAAACCCAGGAAUAAUGCUUUUUGUGGGUCUUCAUUUCGUCAUCGCAUUGCCUUCCAUCCAAUUGAUGCCUUAAUCCUAAUACAUUAUUGACCGACAAAGAGACUUUAACAAGGGGGGAUUUGGAUCUUCUCCUGGGUUAAUGGAGAGGAUCCUCCUGAUCCAUCAUCUUGGGCUGUUGGAUUUUUAUCCAACGGUUAUAAAUAGAGAGUCUUUUUAAAGUUAUAAUAAUUAUAGCCGUUGGAUUUGUCCACAAUGAUGGGUCAGGAGGAUCCUCUCCAUUAGCUCAGGAGAGGAUCCAAAUCCAACAAAGGGGAGGGGCAUGUCAAAUCAAAACGCGGUUAUGUCAUUGUCGUUUCAUAUUAGGGUCAAAGGCGCCCGGUUCCAAGAAUCAUGUUAAAAAGGCCGACACCGCAAACUAGAUGUUGACUCCACAAUUAUGGUAAAGCUUAAAGACAGACCAACAGUCUUUCUUCUUCCUUAAUUAAACAAGGAAAUAAGAGGAUGCCGAAGAUUAAGUAAAAGGAAAUUUUCCCCAUAAUCUUUUCUUACUUCUUCUUUAAGAGUAAUUCCACCUUUAAAGACUUUGCGCCAGCACCCAACGUAUUUAUUCACUCAAGUAAACAAUAAUAGACCCUUGUAAACAGUAAUACGCCAAAACAUCUCCACCCCUAACAAAAAAUAGCCUAGUAAAUUUUAUUAAAAUAUUAUUAUUUUUAUUAUAAAGAAAAAGGAUAAGUCAGGAACCUCCGGUUCCAGUAGAACUCUUACCAACAAAAAUUCAACAAAUAUAACAAAUCCCCAAUUCAAGAAUCAAAUCCCUAGAAACAUAUCAACAAAAAAAAUUCUAGAGAGAGAGGGUGUGUGUGAUGGUGGGUACCUGAGAGAGAAAGCGAGCAUCGGAAACAAUGGAAAAUGGUCCGAAAUGCUUCUGCUUCUCCUCUCUCUCUCUCUCUCCUCUUGAGAGCAUUACAAAAAAACAAAUAACGCGAAAACAUAUAAAAUGUGAAAUAGAGAGGAAGAGAAAACGUUGCUCUGCACCAAGGCCUCGGAAUCUCCCUCCGCCCCGAGGAGCUCUGCGAUGCAUUGAUCGUGCGGGAGGUUGAUGGCCCAGCUGACGUCAAAUGGCCCAGCAUGUGGGUCUGUCGAUUUUAGGCCGGUCUCUUGCUUGGCUUGGGCUGGGUGCCGGUCAAAAUGCUCGGCUGGAAUGGAUAGCCUGGGUGUCGAAUUGGUUUUUUGGCUGGGUACUGGCCUAUCAGUUCCCCGGUGAAACUGCUCUAAGGAAACAAAGAAAAUGCUUUCACUUUGCACGUGUUAAGACUGAUUUAAAAGUACGAAGAAUUAAGAAACAAUUCUUCUCUUCUCAUGCAAAGAGCCAACCGGUGUAAUAUAUAUUACCCCAACCCGCUUUGACAAUACAUUAUCACCAUAAUUUGCACGGAUGGUUAGGAGGAGUCAUUGUUACAGAAAGACUUGCAUGACAAGGGUACGCCAACACUGGCGUCCCCUAUGCCAAUGAUUCGACGUGCUUGUUUCUCUCAACAUGACAUUGUAUCAUUAGCAUUGUAUCAUUAGCAUGGGAUGCAACUGUGACAUUGUACUGUGACUGAUGGGAACAUACAACGGCACAAAGAACAUUCAAAACCAAAUUUAAAGCAUAGAAAAAUUCAUAGCUCAAAAAAAUACAUACAUUAAUAAUAUGGUAGAAAGUAUGCAACAACAGAUUGGCCACCACAACCAAUUCAGGCAAUGAAGGUUUUCACAUUGCAAGUUUAACUUGUGCGACUUUAAUUAAAUUAAUCCAACAACCGUAAAUUAAAUAACUAGACUCUAUAAUAAUAUAAGAGAAGACACAAAAUGGCGGGAUGUGGCGGCCUCAAUGGACGAAAAACAGAAAAUAAACUUCAAUCAAAUCAACACUUACUACCGGAUUUUUCCUUGAGUAAUUAAGAAGACAAAAUCUCAUCAGAGGAGAUCAGCGACGUUUGAUGGCAGCUCCUCCACAACCACGUUAUAGAACUUCUGGAUGUCAAACAGCAUCCUCUCAUCAUCCUUUGUUACGAAGUUGAUGGCAACACCCUUCCUUCCAAAACGUCCACUACGACCAAUUCUGUGGAGGUAGUUCUCGGGCUGGGUGGGCAGAUCAUAGUUAAUAACAAGGGAGACUUGCUGCACGUCAAUACCACGAGCCAAAAGAUCAGUGGUGAUCAACACACGAGAUGACCCAGAACGGAAUUCCCGCAUGAUGAUGUCUCUGGUGUUCUGGUCCAUGUCUCCAUGGGUGGCAGAAACUGUAUGGUCUCUGCUCCUCAUCUUGUCAGUCAACCAGUCAACCUUGCGUCGAGUAUUGACAAAAAUGACACUCUGGGUAAUGGCCAAGGUCUCAUAAAGAUCGCAAAGAGUCUCAAGCUUCCAUUCCUCCUUGUCGACAUUGACAUAGAACUGCUUUAUACCUUCCAGGGUGAGCUCAUCACGCUUCACUAGAAUCCUCACAGGUUUGUUCAUGAACUUCCUUGUGAUCUCAAGAGCCUCAGGCGGCAUUGUCGCAGAGAACACACCAACCUGAAUCUUUGAUGGAAGAAGCUGGAAUAUAUCGUAGAUCUAGAUACCCAAAAGAAUUCGUAUUAGAUAGAACUUUAAUUACAAAAUUGUAUUGAUUUCAGAAAACCAAAAGGAACUCCAAUGGAUGCAAUAUCUCAAUGUAGCCCAAACCAAAUAAUUAAGCAACGUAUUGGUGGAGCAGGCUACUCUAGCUAGCUGUGGUGCAAUCAUACAUAUAAAAAGAAAGUAUCUAUACAGAACAAGAGGACAGCUCAGCCACUCAACAUAUUUCAUAUUCUGAAAUUUAAAUGGAUAUUUCUAAAACGCCUGGUAGGGAGAAACAUGAAAAGUAGAAAAAGAACAGUUACCAAAAAAUUUCCUACCCGACAACCCAACAGAGCAAUUACUUAGUCACAAGAUAUACUAUUUAUUGUUUCAUCACUGCACAUGAGAAGAACAUUAUUUACCUAAAAUAUCAUUAUGCAGAACAUAAUGCAUCCAUAAAAAUCAAGGGAACACAUAAAACAAAUGGACACAAUUAAGUUGAAAACAGACCUGAUCCUUGAAACCACGGGAAAGCAUUUCAUCAGCCUCAUCCAAAACAAACAUCUUGAUACUAUCAGGACGAAGUGACUGCCUUCUAAGCAUGUCAAAAACACGACCGGGAGUUCCAACAACAACAUGCACUCCAUUUGACAGAAUGCGUUGGUCCUCACGGACACUGGUUCCACCAACACAAGCAUGCACCCUUACACCUAGAUAGUCUCCAAGAGCCCUCAUAACCUUCUCAAUCUGUUGAGCAAGCUCUCGAGUGGGUGCAAGAACCAAGGCUUGGCAUUCUGUCAAACUAUAAUCAAGCUGUUGAAGGAUACCGGAACAGAAAGUUGCUGUCUUUCCAGUUCCAGACUGAGCCUGCUGAAUCACAUCAAGACCCUUGCAGAAGGGAACAAUUCCCCUCUGCUGAAUAGCCGAGGGUUUUUCAAAACCUGCAAAAAGAAUUAUCGUUCAUUCAAUCAUUCACCAGUCCAUAGAAAACACAAAAGAAAAAAUAAAAAACUUCAUGAAGACAUUAAAAUAGAAAAGUUCUACAAUUUUUCCUGAUACCAUAAAAUACAUAACCUAAUAAAAAAAGAGAAAAGAGUAAAGGCUAGUUGUAUCUACCGUAAGCAUAGAUUCCCCUGAGAAGAUUCUCUUGAAGACCCAUAGCGUCAAAACUAUCAUAAACUUCAUCGUAUGAUGUAAAGAAUUCCUGCCCAUCAGUUGCAAGUCUGCAUACAACAAUUUACCAAACACAAGAGAAACAGUUAGCUGCCAAAUUGAUGUGACAAGUUAUAUUAAACAACAUAAUAAAGAAAACAUCCAAGAGCAGUACUCGUAGACACCCAAAACAUGCAGUUAAUAAGUAUAAACUGAGAGAAUUCUUACAAUUCGCUCAUUUUGGUAUCAUACUGACGAGUGUCAAAUUGCGAUCCUUCAGGUGCUGCUGCCAUGACUGCAAAUUACAACAAAAAUAUAUUUAAAAUAAAAACACUCCACAAAUCUUCACAACCAGUUCAGACAGCUAUUCAAAGAUGCUAAAUUCUACAGAUAUAUCCAUCGUCAAGCACUUUUGUAUCAAAAAAUUGAGAACUCAAAACAAAGUUUUACAUAAAAAAACUCUUCUCUUUGGGACCACUAAUACGAGAAUAUCAUAGAAAUCAAGGCUUAAACAGCAUUAGCAGCAAUAAUGCGAGAAUUCCAAACUUUCACAGGCAUAACAAAACGACAAGAUUCACAUCAAAAUAUAGGAUAAACACGCAACGUACCCAUAAAAACACCGAACUAAAAGAUUUAUGCAAAAUUAAUUCUCAAAUCUAAGUAGAUUAAAACAAUUAAAAAAAAAGCAGAAAUUAUCCUACUGAAUAUUUAGGAAAAAUCAAAUCAAACAACAAAAAUUCACAACAAAUCAUCAUCAACGGAGUACGGACACAUGCCGAUUCAGAGUCUAUAUAUUUUCGGUACGAAAAUACAACCCAGAUAGAACAGGAUCGAACAACGGCACGAGUGCAAAAAAUACAAAGCGAAAAGGCACGGGAGGAAGACCUGCGGGUGAUGAGUCAGAAAGUUGAAGGCGAAGAGAGAUAGAGAGCAACGGAAGAGAGCUUUGUACUGGUUUUUCUGGAAAUUAGGGUUUCCCGAACUCCUCGGAUCUAAGCCGCGGAGUUAAGGAAUGCGCGAAGGAGGAAGAGAGAGAGAGGGGUUGGGCGUUUGACGAGUGAGAGAAGUGAAAACCGUGCCAGUCAGGGUUUGUGAUUGUAUAGGGUUAAUUGCAAUUCGAAGGGAGAACGGUCUUCGCGUUCCUCCAGAUUCGAUUCGGGUACGUGGCGGGCAUUGAUUGGCGGGAGUGGAAUAGGAGAAUAAAACGAACUGAAACAAAUUUGCACGUGUUUAUGGGCCUCAAAUAAAAGAUUAGGGCCCAAUUGAAUUUUUUUUUAAAAAUCAAAUCCGUCUCAAAAACAUGGAAGGAAAAGAAAAAAUCCGUACCAGACGUUAUCUAUUAUUCUUUAACUGCAAAUUACAGUUUAACAUAAACAAGACAAUAUCUCACAUGUUCAUUUUGACGUUCUACACACACUUUGUUAAUUUAUGUUCUUUGAUCUUCUUCAGUUCAUUCGAUUUGACAGCCUAAAAUCGAAAAAAAGCGCAUAGAAUAGAAGGUAAAAAAAAAGUGGGUGGAUCGCGCCACCCCACUUCUUACAUCUUUACUGUCUGGAUACUUUUUUCCUUAAGAAGCUAAAAAAUUGGGCCAAUUAGUAAUUUUACAACCUUUACGGUUUAAACAAGGUCGGAACAAAUUUUACAGCUUCUGAAAAAAUGUGGUACUCUCGGCAGAUCCAUGCUUUACAAUAUUUACCCACAAUAACUUUUCCAGAGUGGCCACGCAAUACUCAUCUUUCAACUGCCUCUUAAAACUGCAGGACAAGUGAACUCUUUUUAAACACAUCGGCAGCCAAAUGUGCACAAGUGACUUCCGAACUGCGACAUAACAUCCACAAGACCACCGUAACCUCCUACUGCGAUAACCUGGACAAAACAAUGGUUCAUUGACGUGAGAACUAAAAACGGAUUUUGGUAACUUAUGAAGCUAGAAAUCUCUUUCUCGUUCUUAUUGUUUAUGUGUAUUAACUUCAACCUAGAGUCCCAGACCAUGUCCCUCAGCAUGCUCUUUCAUUUGUAAUAUUGGCAUUAGCAGCUAAGUAAGAAUAUUGAAGGUUUAUGCUAGCCAUGCCGACUAUUUAUAGUUGUUGAGUCGAGUACAAAAGCUAUGCAAAAGGAUUUGAAAAGCUGGAUGAUUUUUAUCACUCGUGUCAAUCGACCUACCUUGACAUGCAUAAUCUUUUAAAUCCAAGGAUAAUGCUGGUAAGACCAACAUUUAAGACAGAAAACGCCUUAGUGUAAGUUAUUAACAAAUAAUAAAGGGGAAAGAGACAUUAAGUUAAACGUACCCCAGAUGGAUGUAAUGAGAUGGAAAAGGCAGACUGAGGAGCACAUUGCAUUUUUGAUAGAAUUGCCCCAUUUAUGUCAUAACGGCAAAGUAGACGUUCUGCUCCAACUGCUAAUACCUGGAAACGAGAAGCAACAGUGAACUUGGGAUAUUGGAUUUCCUUCGUGCCUAUUUUCUACAAACUAGCAUUUCUUUACAAGUUAUAACAGGCCCCAGGCAUAAUGUAUUCUUAUGCUUAUUGCUUCCAUCACUGAGAGUAUACAAACAUGUUACUUCCAGCCCCAUUCGUUGGCAUUGAAGAUUUAGGGACAGUAUCACUGUAUCAUCAUCUAAUAAUCUAAAGAGAAAUCAUCGCUCAUUUGCUGAUAUCUUACCAAUUCAACUUAUCCCGUUAAGAAACUUAGUUUAAUAUCCUUAACAAACGAAAACCAACAGAGUUACUGCUUACACCCUUUUGCUUGGAAACGGGAUAUGGCACCAUUAGAAAAUUCACUCCCCUUUAAACUAAAAUAUUUCUUGUUAAUAGCACUAGAUGCCAACAGUAUUAACUAAAUUAAUUAAUAGAGGGCUGAGGGGGGAUCUCACUUGAUUUUCGUCAAAUACUACAUCCUGUAUGGAUGCACGUGUUGAAACCCUUGAAAUGCAUUCAGAAGCAAGAAGGUUCCAAACUGAUAAACUCUGACCACAACUACAAGCCUACAGAAGACAAAAAACUUAGUACGUUAUAGCAGCAAGAAACUUCAACAGAAUUAGUUAAUGGUACUAAAGCAACUACAUUCUCAUCACAUAAAUGCUUACCAACCAGCUUUCAUUUGCAUCAAGAGCAAUGCAACUAACGCACGCAAAAAAUCCUUUCAAUUUAAUACCCUUGGCUGGCUCAUAUACUUGAACACACUUUCCACUUUUGCAAUCUGGGUGAAACCAUAAACGCAUGCUUCUAAGAACAAGUUCAUGUGACUUAAUACAAAAUCAUACUAACUGUAAAGGAAAACAAUAAAUUCUUAACAAUUUUCUGCCACAAUCCUUCAAAAUUGAAAAAAAAAAGCUAGGUUUUUACCCCAUCUCCGUGCUGCCCCAUCCUCUGAACUCUGAAUGUGAUUCUUUUGAUCUUUUCCGGUAUUCAGAUCAUAACUGGUUCAGAGUUUAUCAGUUUGGAACCUUCUGUUGAAGUUUCUGAUGCAAAGAUCAAAAGAAUCACAUUCAGAGAGAAAAAUACUGCACCAAAUCUAGUACCUCAAUACACAGUGCUACUAAUGUAAUUGUUAAUUCUGAUACUUGUCGCUCCAAUUGUACUAAAAGGGGUGGUUGUUUGCAUAACAAUUAACAUAACUCAGAACAAAGAGAAGUGACAGGAAUGAUCAACUGAAGACAAAGAAGAAUAUGACCUGACCUGAUUGGUAGAAUUCCGAGCAACAACAGAAUGCACGUAGUAUGCAUGCCCCUUGAAAGUCAUUUGACUUGACCUCUUUCCUGAAACAUUUCUGAUACAAAUCAUGCUUGGAUCAGUCAUCUAGGAAAUUAGAUCGAGAACAAUGUAAUAUGCAAAAAUGUUUCUCGACAGACACUUCGUAACACGAUUGGAAAAUUCACCUUGAACAAAUGCAUACCACAUCCCAGCAAUAGACGCAAGAAUCACCAGCAGCUGAAAAAAUGCAUCCCUCCUAUCGUUGUCAAAGAGAUGUUAACGCACUCAUUUGAAAACAUACUCCUUUCUAUACUCAUCAAAAUAAUUAACUUAAAAAAUAAAACAAAAAGACACAUAGGACUAGAAAACCUGCAUACCUUGUUAUCAACAGCAAGAGCAUUGUUUUCAGGGAUUGGAGAUAAAGCCCCCCAUGGACCUCUAAAAAGACGGCAGUAAUUUACAAGAAAUGUCAAAGGAAGUAAUGCUGGGGACUUAUCAUAACCCAUGUUCGAAUCAAUAUUAACACAAUCAGGGGAACAAAAGAGUUGCCACCACGUGUUUUUUUCGUUUCAGUAACUUACUUAUGUUGAGGAUUCACAAGGUCAAGUACUGGCUUCACGUGCUUUCCUACAUAAACAGGAAAACAAAUGUAAAUAAAGUAAAUCUUAAUCCAUGGAGUUAGAACCACAUUCAAAAUUCACACACAAAAACAACAUAUCGGAUUAAAAAACGCAAUGCAAUGUUAGUGAAAUAGGUAGUAUUUAAGCCGUCAAAAACCGAAAUCACCUUGCAAAUGAAGAGGCACACAUAAUUCUUCGCAAUCCUUCCACCUCCAUCCUUGAAUCUGUCCAUCGUCGCCGCAACUACAUGUAAAAACUCCGAGAAAAAAAUCAAAUGGUGUAAACAUGCUGAAACAAAGAAAUUACUAAAAGAAAAUGGUUCUUUCUAGUCAAUUUAGUAUGAACAUACAAUCCAACCUCAGCAAAACAGAAUCUUCACCAUUUCCGUAAAACUUAACAUCGUAAGCAGGCCCUCCAUGCGCUUAGCAAGUAAGUUCCGCCAUUAACAACCUACAACCAAAAUUCAAAUUCCACCACAAGUAAAGCAAAAAUCAGCUGCUAUCAACAGUCAAUACAACGUCGAAGAAGCACAAACAAUGUAAAGGUCAGGCAAUACUUACUGUGGAGCUUUCACAUUGCUAAAACCCAGUGGCUGCACCCAAAAUCCAAAUACAAAAAUUACAAAAAUUACAAAAUUAAAAUUAAAAAAUUUAAAAUGAGGACGUACGAGCUUGGAGAUGAGGAAGGGGAUGGAGUAGGAGGAAACCGAUCCGUAGCUGGAGGCGACGACGACGGUUUCGGGGCUAGGGUUAAGCGACUGAGCCCAAACGCUUCGGGUUUGGAUCUCCAUCUCCUUUAAUAUGGAUUCUCUGUACACUUCUUCGUCCCAGUUCGUUGCGUCACCGCACCUGGUGGUUGAUUUGGUGGCGGAAGGCAGGAAAUUCAGCUGAGCUUGGUGAAAAUCUCUGAGCAUUUUUCAGUGUUUGGCCAUGGCUUCUGGUGGAGCGGAAAUCAAACAUGGACUAACCGGUUAGGCUCAAAUCAUAAGUGGGCUGGAUAUGGAAGAACACAUUUUAAUGGGAUUUUCUCGUGUGUACUGUAGGCCCAUCGCCCAAGCUUUGGUUCGGUAGUGGUACACGAGAUUGAGGCCGACGUUUGGAUCCAAUAGGGAGGGUGGAAUCCAACUUGAAAUGGCAUUUAAUUUGUUUUUGUAACAUUUUAUGCAACUCCCCCAAUAAAUCCUAGUUGCAUUUCCUUCUCUAUCUUCGCUCUCACGUGAUCGAUAAUUAGGAUAGAAAUUUCAAAAACAUUUUGUACCCGACAUAAAUUUGCUUGAAAGUGUUUUUAAAACGACAAUUCUAGAAAAAUAAGUGCUUUCUAAAUAAUUGGUGUUUCUUUUAAGAAAUAAGAAGCAAGUGCUUUUAGAAUUUAAAAAUAUUUUUUCUAAUAUUAUUUUCAAUUAUUAUCUAUAUUAACUUAAAAUAAUUAAAAUAAAAAUUUUAAGUGGAUAUCGUUAAUUAACAACAAUACGUGACAGUGAAACCGCGGUAUUUGUUUAGGAUUAGGAUGUAACAAAGGGUUGAAUCCCUCAAAUGUCACUAAAAGAAAAAUGGAUAGCAAAAAUAAAGUUUAGUCGAUGAAAAUCAUAAAAUGGUAAAGUCCCUCGUUGGCGAAUAUGCUGCAGAAAUCCAUACAGCAGCGCAACUCCUUGUAUUCUCCCCAACCCCAGCGGCAACUUCAAAGCCGCUUGCUUCCACCAUAAACCCUACGCGAUUCUCGUUCCUUUUCGACGAACCCGAAUCGAAAUCAGGAUCUGUUAAGCCCUAAUCGCGGCAAUCUCACGGCAUCGCGAGCUCCGUCCGCUGAAACUGUGAGUGCAUUUCUCGCUCUUCGCGUUAGAUUUAACAGAUCUGUUGAUUGUUCGUGUGGAUUUUUACUGUCAUGGGUCGGUUUUAACAUAGGAAUUGGAUUAGAAAAGAUUAAUAUUGGGGGGUUUUCUGUGGAAUUUGCUAUUCUUGAAAUGUUGGUAUGGUAAAUUUUCCCCCAUUUUUUAAUCGGUUGGAUUUGGUGUGCUUGCUCUUGAUUUGUAUCUGUUGUUUUUUUUUUUAUUCAGAUAGCAAAGAUUUUCGGUUAGGAAUCGAUUCGAUUAAGUAGUUGCAAUGAGUGAUAACAAUUCGCCACCUGGGUCUCCUAAGGAGGCAGAUCAUGAUUCUGAUGCAAACCAACUUGUUAAGGAUGAUAGCUCAUUGGAAACCUUAGUCCGAAAGUUCCAAGAUUCGAUGUCGGUUGGGAAAAAGCACACAUUUUGGGAGACUCAACCGGUUGGGCAGUUUAAGGAUCUUGGGGAUGUGAGUUUGCCUGAGGGACCGAUUGAGCCCCCUACCCCGUUGUCUGAGGUCAAGCAAGAGCCGUACAAUCUGCCAACUCAGUAUGAAUGGACCACGUGUGAUCUGGACUCGGAAGACACCUGCACUGAGGUCUACAAUCUGCUGAAGAACAAUUAUGUCGAGGAUGAUGAGAACAUGUUUAGGUUCAACUACUCGAAGGAGUUUCUUAGGUGGGCUUUGCACCCUCCUGGUUACUACAAGAGCUGGCAUAUCGGGGUUCGUGCAAAGACUAAUAAGAAGCUGGUUGCUUUCAUUACUGGUGUUCCUGCUAGAAUCCGGGUCCGUGAUGCAAUCGUGAAAAUGGCUGAGAUUAAUUUCUUAUGUGUGCAUAAGAAGCUGAGGUCGAAGAGACUUGCACCAGUUAUGAUCAAGGAGGUCACGAGGAGGGUGCAUUUGGAGAACAUAUGGCAAGCAGCUUACACCGCUGGAGUUGUUCUUCCAACUCCGAUUACAACUUGCCAGUACUGGCAUAGGUCUUUGAACCCAAAGAAGCUUAUUGAUGUUGGGUUUUCAAGGCUUGGUGCGAGGAUGACUAUGAGCCGAACCAUAAAACUUUACAAGCUGCCAGAUUCACCCGCUACUCCUGGAUUCAGAAAAAUGGAACUUCGUGAUGUUCCUGCUGUUACUCGGCUGCUAAGGAACUACUUGAGCCAGUUUGUGGUCGCACCAGAUUUCGAUGAAAACGACGUCGAGCAUUGGCUUCUUCCAGAGGAGAAUGUGGUGGACAGUUACUUGGUUGAGAGCCCAGAGAAUCAUGACAUCACUGACUUCUGCAGCUUCUACACUCUUCCUUCGUCAAUCCUCGGCAAUCAGACGUACUCAAUCUUGAAGGCUGCAUACUCCUAUUAUAACGUCUCCACAAAGACUCCAUUGCUUCAGCUGAUGAAUGAUGCACUCAUUGUCGCAAAACAGAAGGAUUUCGAUGUUUUCAAUGCAUUGGAUGUCAUGCAGAAUGAGUCGUUUUUGAAGGAGCUGAAAUUUGGACCUGGCGAUGGGCAACUUCACUACUAUCUCUACAACUACCGGAUGAGGAACGCAUUGAAACCCUCGGAGCUUGGACUUGUACUCUUAUAAUUUUCCGGUCUUGGUUUUGCACUUCGGACUUGACAAAUCAUUUCUGUUUCUUUUUUCGGUUCCUUUUUCGUGGCUAGCUGUUGUUUUCAUUUGCCCUUGCUCCUUUGGAUUAUCAUCAAAGAAUAUGAGAUUUUGCAAUGCAUUUUUUUUUUCACCUGCAAUGCUUAGGGUUUAGGUGUUUGCAAUUGAAAUGGUUAUUUUGGAGCAAAAGUUGAGCUUGAAUUUUGAAGAUUUUAUUUGAUUCUUUUUAGCCUCUUCAUUUGGAUCACUGUUUAUUUUACCUGCAUGUUUCUGCAUUUCAUUCAUCCUUCCCCGCAACACGAAGGCACGUUGACUGUGGGGGGAGGAAAUCAAGCCUAGGACCUCCGGGGGACUAUGACGAAUAGUCCCGGAAAGUCAUUCUGAGUUAGGCUCAAACUCGUCAUUCAUGUGGAUUGGACACAAGACCUUCCGCUUACAGGUGAGAAGGACUAAACUGUAGUGUUACAGUGGCGUCGCAAUUAAUUUUAAAAACUAACAAAUCCACGAUAUGUAAGUGUUUAAUGAGUGUAAAGCUGUAGCUUAAUCAAUAGACGUAAUCAUAAAACUACAUGACUAAACCAGUGACAUUUUCCAACCAAAAAAAUAUAAGAGCGUGUGAUCUUUGAUAGACAGAUAAUUCAAAAACAAUUCUCCAUAUCACCAGACACCAGGUCCAGUCUGAAGAGGUUGUAUAACACUAUUAUUAGCAAAAAGAGCGAAAGAUAAUUUCGCUUCAGUUGCACCUCAGUAGCGAAAGGAAGUAUAGCGAAGAAACUUUACAAGCUCUAGUCACAUGAUUCAUAUCUCACGCCACCAUCAGGACUUCACCUUCUGAACCUGUCAAAUUUGGAAAUCGUUCAACAUAUAGUCAAAUGGAAGUGGGAAAUCUAUGCAAAUGGAUGCAAAUAAUUCGGACUUUUGGAUGUUACAUUGCUCCAAAAUCUCGUUAGCCAACUGCAUCAUUGAUUCUGUGUUUUCAGCCAUAAAAUUAAUCCUCUCUGCCUCUUUCAUUUGCUCUGCUGCCAAAUAUGAUCUGUAUUCUGCUUCGGCAAUGCUAUGUGCAGCAGCCCGCGCUGAUUCCUCUAACAUAUCACUACUAACACUCAAGGAAUCGGUUUUCACCUUGUAGCAGUUUUGAAUCUACAUUAGGAUGACAUAUUAAUUUAUAUAAGCUGAUAUUCAAUAUCGAUUUCAUAAAAAACAAAGCUUGCGAAUCAAACAUCGAUAGAGCCAGAUAAAUCCUGGGUUACAAAUAUCGAGUGAAUAACUUGAGAUGAAAAAUAUUAGAACUAUCAAGCAAUCACCUUUUCAAGUUUGUCUUGCAGAACCAGCCUUCUCAACCUACCUGUUAAUGACCUUCUAAAAUUUUGGGGGACCUCAAUCCUUUGCUGCAGGAGUAAUUUUAUCAUGGAAGUCAAGUGAUUAUAAAACGCGAAAAUUAGUAUCUAGCAUUAGCACUUCAUACAUCAUCAGAGACAUCAACAGUGAAUUGGAAGGUUUUCCUUGUAAAUUCUUUUUGGAAAAUCUCGUUCUCACCAGCAAACAAGUAUAAAAAAUAUAUCUGAAGGUAACCGAAAAAUAUAAUGAGCUCGACGGGUAUUGAAAUACUAACUUCGAUUUAGGUAUUAUCUAUCAAGUAGCUAAUAUGAGAAAUAAUAGGUUUACCCAUAAGGGAACUUUUAUUGGCACUCCAAAAAUCUAAUUGUGCACUCCUCAUAAGAGUAUUUUUCUUUCUAAAUAUAGAAAGUUUGGAGUACACAAUUAGAUUUUGGAGUGCCAAUAACAAUUCCCUACCAUGAUUAAUUGGAACAUAAAUCUACAAGAGUUUAUAUAUGAGCAAACUAUUAUCCUUCAUGCAAGCAAUUAUCAUUUCAUGACCUUACCACUCCAGUCAACAUGAGAAUAUACAGCUUCCUACUGAGACAACCAAUUAAUAAAAACUUAGAAGAUUCUUUUUAUUUCAUUUUUCUUAAAUAAAUAAAUAAAAAGACAUCACAAAUUUCAAGCAUACCUCAAUAUAGCUAGCAAUAGCACUAGUGUCCAAUCCAUUUGGAUCUGUUGAGGCUGAAAGAGCUUCAAAAAUCAUUGCAUUGCACCUAAUGUAUUGACCAAAAUGAAAUUAAAAACUAAUACUAAUAUUGAUAAAAGUACUCUGGCUAUUGGAGGUACUGAAUUUUAUUAUAUGCAACGGAUAAAUGUAGGUAUAUAUAAAACAAGGUACAAAAAAAAUCAUUCAAUAUACUUUGUUUCUUUAUUGUAAUCAACAGAUCCUAAGUUUGACAGGCUAAAAAUUAAUAAAGCAAAAAAUUAUGGCUAACCCUGGACUACACCAUCAUACAAUAUGGUUCCGGAAUAAAGCAAUGCAAGCCGGCCACUCAGCUAAUUGUUGCAUCGAGUAAAAAUUGUUGCAGAAAAUAGCUUAAUAGUCCAGAUUAUGCACCAGAAUUGCAGUUUCUAUUAGGAUGGGGUAUUUCUUCACUGGGGUUGUCUAAGAACAUAUUAUGACUAUAAUUUUAAAACCUGACAGUUUCUAAUUGAAGAUACUUUGGCAUCAUCAACAAUUAACUCCUUUCUUCUCCCCUUCACCCUCACUGAUUAGUUGGGCUGCCCCUCCCCAUAACUUUGCCAAUUCAUAAGAGUCUAAAGAGCUAUAUCAUUCCGCAUUCCAGUUGUCUUUUUUCCACUCAUCAUUCUCACAUGGAAACUGAGCAAAUUCCAGUCACGCAGUAUCACUGCAAAUAUAUUCUGUGAAAAACCCAGGUAACUAGUUGCAUAUUUUUCUAAUGUAUUAAUAAAAGACCAAGGCAAGGAGAAACAAAUAUCAUACACUGGUGCAGGAAUUGCAUCAGAUAAGCCGGUAGCCGAAUCAUCCGCAACAGGAGUUGUAUCACGUCUGACUGGAGUUUCUGUUGGUGCAUCGUGUCUGACUGGAGUUGCCGCUGGUGCAUCACGUCUGACUGGAGUUGCUGCUGGUGAAUCACGUCCGCCUGGAGCUGCUGCUGGUGAAUCACGUCUAACUGGAGCUGCUGCUGCUGGUGAAUCGCAUCUAACUGGAGCAGCAGCAGAAGUCUGGGGAACAGACACUGGAGCAACAGUAACAUCUUGGUUUGUUCUUGUUUUUGGCCUUGAUUUUUCCCGGGGACCCGUGCCACUAACAGUCAUAUUCCUCCAUUUGUCCUAUACAAGCAAAAAUCAAUUUGAAACAGACCAUAGACAUAGUAAUCAUCUAGAAAAUGUUUCAUACCACAUUAGAUACAGUCUACCAAUCGUUCUGAUAUAAAGCAAGAUUAGUUCAUUCAAAUAACAUCUUGCAAUUGGCGGUCAAAUUGGCGAAUUUCAAAUGCUUUUCAUAUAAAAUUACACCAUUCGCACGAUUUUCAUACCAUUCUCAAAAUUAUUUUCAUGCCUAUAUAACAUGUAGCCAACCGAUGAGGGAAAAUUGAAAAUCAAGUAACUCAAAGAGCGGCUCCCAACUAUCCAAUAAGCGGGCGAAUUUCGAACCGAAGUCCUAAAUCAACAAACACUAUGCCAGAAACAAUUAGCUAUUUGUAGCUCUAAUGGGUACACCAUUUUAGUCCAAAACUCCACUAAUCCAGACUCAGCCAUGCAUCAUCAUUAUAAUUAACUUUAAUCACAUCACAAAACCAGGCAAUUUUCAUUCUCUAAUCUCGCAUUUGAUAAAAAAAAAAAAAAAAACCAAAACAAAUAAAACCCAUUAUUUCAACAUCACAAAACAUUCAAAAACAACCACCACAAUAUACAGCAAAUUCAAAUUUUGGAUUUUCCAUAUACACAUCGAUAUAUAUGAAUAUAUAGAGGAGAGAGAGACCUUGAGAUCAAUAUUGGAGCGAGAGGAGAGGAAGGGGUUGAACUCGGGGUCCUUCUGGAUGUCCUUCCACUUGCCAGUGCCGUGUUUCCUAACCCCCGCUCUCAGAGCUUCUUCUUCCUCCACCGUCCAUUUUUGCUUCGGAUUACCCAUCUCUCUCUCCCUCCGUCUCUCUCUCUCCCUCUCUCUCUCUCUGUAUCGGCAGCACAGAGCCUGUGACUGCCGCGAAGAAGCUUUCACGUUUUCUUUCUCAAAAAAACGAGGGUUGGCUUCCGCACCACUUCUUCAACUACAUAUUGAAUCAAAGACGGUUCUUGAACGGCGUCGUUUGAACUGGAUUCUGUGCAGAUCUUAUAGGCCCGGUUCCGUAACUUUUGGCCCAUUAAGAAAGGCCGCGUCCAUGACCAAGGCAGAGGCUUCUAAGGCUUCGUUUGGCAACUCAGACUGUACUGACUAUUUCUGUCGGAUAGAAUAAAUAGUCAUCUGAUAGUACUGACUAAAUUAGUCGGGCGUUUGGUGCAGUAUCGGACUAAUGGUUGUAUUAUUUAUACCGUGUUUGAUAUUGAACCGGAUAGGACAAGGAAAAAAAAAAUAUGACAAAUCUUUGUUUGUUUGUUGAACUUUUCUCAUAUUUAUACCUAUUGAAAACCACAUAAAUUUUCAAAUAACAAAGAAAAAUAGUAUCAAAUUUCACAAGCAAGAUAUGCAUUUCUCAUUCUUCAAGUUCCAUUAAAAAUUAACACGAAAUACUAUCAAAUUUCAUACCUCUGAGCUACUAAGAAAGAACAAAUAGGCACAGGAAGUACUUCACCUAAAAGCACUUAAAUCGUAAGAAAGUUGGAGAACAAACAGAUUAAUCGCACAACCCAGUUAGCUAAACCCAGUAGAAAUAAAAAAACGCAUGCAGCCACACAAGUCCGACUAUUGAAAUAUCAAAACAUCACUGACAAUCCAUUUCUCUAAAAGCAUCAGAAACUCGAUGCCCAAUUCACAAAACCCACCCAAAUUUGAUCAUGGUGGGUGCAAAAUCUUAAACAUACAUAGCAAAAAUAAGAACCCAUAUGAAUAAAAAUUGGAACUUUAUACCAAAAUUGAAGAGGCGUACCAGGCGAGCGCUACAGUUUUUGGGUAGCCGGAAAAAAGCAGCAGCGUAACGAUAAAGACGAGGAGGAAGUUGGGGGCAAGUGGCGGGGAGAGAGAGUGAAGGGAGAGAGAGAGUGAGUGAGCUUCUGAAGAGGAAGAUAGAGCUUCUGGAGAGGAAGGACAUAGCGAGAGAAGCCAGGGAAGAAGAAUAAGAAAAAUGAAAAGACGAACUGUGAUGCAAACGAAGAAGAAGAAUUUGAGAAGAUGAACCUGGAAUUCAGACGAGAGAGGAGUGCGUCUGGAGAGGAAGAGAGAGUGUCUGGAGACUAUCGUCUGAAGAGGAAUGAGAGAGCGAGAGAAGCCCGACUAAAUUAUACCAUGCUUUUGGACGGUAUAAGGAAGAGGGUGAAGACCGUAUAAAAAGGUGGGUUCGGAUUAUUUAACCUCGUGCUUAUUUAAUCUAAACGGACACCAAACACUGUACUCCGUAUUAUUAGUACUAUUCGGUGCCUUAUACGGUGUGCCAAACACGGCCUAAAUGCACCGAGAAAUUUUAUCAAUACAUCCUUGUUUUUUACUCUGUAAUUAUACUUCUACCAAGAGACUUCUGUUGCCAAAAUUAGAUUAACCGAAAUCAACCCAAUUAAGUCCAAAUUUUAAUGCUCGCAAGCGUACAAAUCGUUAAGUAGUAUAGUAGGCAAGCACAAGAUCGUUCCAAUUAAGAUUGAAACAAUUCUAAUAAUAUAACUUAAUUUGUAUUGCACUUGAAUUGAAAUGGAAGAAUUGAUGAUUUGAGAAAGAACUUUGAAAUUGUAAACAUAAACAAAAAUCAAAUGAGCUUAAAUAAAUGACAAGAACAACAAAGAAAUCAAAUUAUAAAUCAAUUGCAAAAGACACUAGAACAUCUGAUUCACCAUAACCAAUCCAACUCAAUUCCUACAGUUAAUUAUUAAUGAGUAACCAUCCAAAUUGACAGUCUAGUUCCUCUAAUUCAUAUAGUAUCCAUGGCCUCCAGAUUACUAUGUAUACUCAUAUGUGCUAACAAUGUAUGGCAUCUAGAUUACUAAACACACAUGAGUUCAUUAACGAUUUGAGAACUACUUAAGAGACCGCAUGAAACCUAGUGUAUGACAUCUACAUCAAGGAAUUCAUGGUACCAUUUGUAAGACACUAAAACCGAAUUAACAACAUGGCAUCUGUGUUAACUGGCAUCAAAUACACUCAACUCAAACCAAAGUUGUGGCCAAUCACCAAGAUUAAAAUCAAGCUCAUAAGCACGGCAAAAUGAUACUCAACUUGAAUGAAAAUUCAUAAAUAAUUAAACUGAGAAAUUAAGAAUUCAUCGUUAGGCUACAUCGUAGCCCUAGCGAAAAGAAAUUAGUUCUGGAACAUAAUCGGAAAUAUUAUUGAAUUUGUUUGUACCAUACUUAGGGCCUCCGUAUUUAGAUCUCGUAUAAAUACUCAGGGGACUUAAAUGUAAUUAUGUAAUAAAAGAAGGGGCAAAUAUGUAAUACGUAAGGAGCUCUUAUUCUAUAAAAGGACCCCUCACCCUCACAAUUGAGGAGGUCAACUCUUAGGCCUAAAGCCCUCUCACCCUCUCACAUCCCCUCUCACAUUACAGAGGUUCUCUCCCUCACAAUCCUCUCAGAGAAAUACAAUAUCAGUGUGGGCGUAGCCCAAACAUUGGGGUGAACCACGAUACAUCUUGUGUUAUUUACAUUUCUUGCAGAUUCACGGUCGGAUUUACGUUGUCCCAAGACCUCUGGUUUUGUGCAUCAACAUUUGGCGCCGUAUGUGGGAAUCGACACAAAAAAUUACGUCUUUCAAGUUUUCACCUCCGUCGUGAAUCUGCAAAAUCACAAAAACCCAAGAAACCAAAUCUCUCUCUUUCUCAUCUCUCGGUCAAUCAUACAUAGAAACAAAAAACAAAAAGAAAACCUCAAAAAGUCUCUCAAACUAUCUCUGGCUCUCCACACAUAGAGAAGGAAGAGGUACGAUUUAGAAUCAGAAGCAUGCACAUAAUCUCCAUCGCCAUGGUCCGAGCCCUUCCACCUUCGUUGCUCUUCAUAAAUCGGGCUCAGCCGUGCAAGUCAGGAUCCCAAACCUCCUAAUCUUGGUGCCGAGACACUCACAUAAGCCUCGAGAUCGAAGACGACACCAAGUUCUCAAAUCCAAGAAGAAAAGUUUGGACCCCCAUCACAACAUCAUCAUCUGCUCUUGCUGCCGCCAGUUCAGCCUCACCCUCAGUCUCCGCCUCUUCAACAAGUGAGACCCACUCGGACCUCCGGAAGAAUCUCUAGGCGCCGACACCAUUUAUGGGUAGAAGAUCCGGUCUGGUAAUCAGAAUCGGGAAGCCUGAUACUGUUCUGAUGGAGUUGGCAAAGGCCAUAGGUGCCGACACCAUUUAUGCGCACAUAGAGGUUUCAGGGUUUAAAGUUAAGGAGGAGGAGAAGAUCGAGGCGGCAAUGAAAGAGGAGAAUAUGGAGGUUAAGUAUUUUUGGGGAAGCACUCUGUACCACGCGCAGGAUUUGCCAUUUAAGUUGGAGGAUAUGCCGACGAAAUACGGUGAUUUUAGAGAGAAGGUGAAAGGAUUAGAGGUGAGGAAGACGAUUGAAGCUUUGGAUCAGAUGAAGGGUCUGCCCUCAUGAAAAUGGCGACUGGGUAAUGACUGGAGAACCGGAGCAGAGGCCUGCCUCAUCAAUUCAGAAGGCAUGUUGCCACUUCCCAUUACAGCUGGCAUGCCAACUCGAUCUGCGAAUGGUUGACCAAAUACUAACCAAUCCUUUGUCAACCUCUUACUAACCCACACAGGGACACCAGAUCCAUUUCCUCUCUCUCUAGACACUCUUUGUGCUCUCCGCCCCCCAUUCUCUCCUCAAUUUCUCACUUCUUUCGAUACCAGAUCUCUCAUCUGUCGACGACAAUGACUUCCCUCGCCCAAGCUUCUGCUGCCCUUUCCACCUCUUUCAAGCCCACUUUGGCACCUAGCAGCAGGAGCUCUGGUUUGAAAUCAGUUUCCUUUUUCGUCACUGGAAAGCGUUUUCCAUCUCUGAGUUCCCAACCUGGGCGCCUCCAAAUUUCUUGUGCGGCCAAACCGGAGAUUAUCACCAAGGUGUGUAGCAUAGUGAAGAAGCAGCUGGCUUUAGCUAAAGAUGUGGAUGUGUCUGCUAGCUCAAAGUUUUCAGAACUUGGUGCCAAUUCUCUUGACACAGUUGAGAUUGUGAUAGGGCUUGAGGAGGCAUUUGGCAUCACCGUGGAGGAAGAAAAUGCCCAGACCAUCGCCACUGUUCAAGAUGCAGCUGAUCUGAUUGAGGAUCUCGUUGCGAAGAGUGCUUAAUGAAGUUUGCAGAAAACCAACACAAACAUGAAGCUUUCGAGCCAAAUUGACGUGAAUCAGGAGGUGGGUUCUUCUGUAAAUGAUUGUUCUUGGUCUCUGUUCGAUGAUCUUUAUUUUGAUACAGGCUAUAACGGUUCUGAAGCCCAUCAAGAGCAAGAUGAUCCCUAAUUAGAAUCAGCAACGGCAGUGGCGGAUCAAGUCGCCGUGGAGAAGGCCUAGACAUGGCACACCGCCGACCAGGAAAGCCAUGAGAGAAGGGUAACUUUUUAGUUAGCUGAGCUGAAUCUUACUGGUGGACGGUAUGGGUGUGUUUGUUGUAAAGCAGGCAUGCAAAUCUGCAAAGGAGCAUGCUCUGAAAAAUGGACCCAUUAUUCUUGAAAUGGACAUUUACAGGUACCAUGGUCACUUUAUGUCUGGUCACACAUGAUGAAAUUUCUGGCAUAAGGCAGCCACCCAAGUUUUCAUACAUGCAAGUGGAGAAACAAAAGCAAAAGAGAAAGCAAAAGCAAGGAAUAAACACCCCACCAGAAUGAUGUGAUUUACUUUUCUUGAUGUGAUUUAUUUUUCUUAUCUUUAGGAGACAUCUGUAUAAACCCCAUCAGAGGGUAAAAAAAAAAACAUCAAGCCCAAAAUAAUGGGCUGGAAUGUUAUGUGGAGGGCCAAGACCCAUAUGCCCAAAAGAGCUAGGCCCUAUGGCGCCAAAAUUAUCCGGCAACCUGCCGCCCUUAUAACUAACCACGUGAUCAAAAGUACGCCCAUUACUCCAAAUUUAUUCGGCAGCCUGCCGCUAUUAUCACCAACCAAGUGAUCAAAAGUACGCCCAGUACUCCAAAAUUAUUCAGCAGCCUGCCGCUAUUAUCUCCAACCAGGUGAUCAAAAGUACGUCCAGUAUUUCAAAUUAUACAUGAGCAUUACUCAUGUCAAUCAUACAUAAACAUUCAUGAGCAUUACUCAUAUCAAUCAUACAUAAACAUUCAUGAGCAUCACUCAUGUCAACAUCCAUGAGCAUCACUCAUCUCAAUCAAUAUAAACAUUCAUGAGCAUCACUCAUAUCAAUCAGCUUCAAAAGCUUCAUUUAUAAAAGCUCUAGCUUCAAAAGCUUCAUUUACAGAGCUCCAGCUUUAAAAGCUUCAUUUACAAAAGCUCUAGCUUCAAAAGCUUCAUUUACAGAACUCUAGCUUCAAAAGCUUCAUUUACAAAAGCUCUAGCUUCAAAAGCUUCAUUUACAGAGCUCUAGCUUCAAAAGCUUCAUUUACAAAAACUCUAGCUUCAAAAGCUUCAUUUACAGAGCUCCAGCUUCAAAGCUUCACUUGCAAAGCUUCACCUACAAAGCUUCAGUGCAGGAUAUACAAAUACCGCCUCCGAACAACCGCUACUUCGGCCCAUACAUGGAUUCAAUUUGAAGUCUCCAGCCAACAUACUCUAUUGACCGAAGACUUGAGGGAUUACACUAUGUACCAUAUAGUGGGUCUCAUAAAAAAAUACUUGGGGGACUUAGCCCAUUAUUCAUGUAUUGAGAAGCGAGCCAUUAUUUUAUAAAAGGGACUCCCUCACCAUCAUUAGAGGGCAUCAACUCUAGCCCAUUAUUCAUGUAUUGAAGAGCGAACCUUUAUUCUAUAAAAGGGACUUCCUCACCAUCAUUAGAGAGCAUCGCCGCCUAUUGAGCAACCACCUCGCCGCGAGCAUCAACUCUAGCCCAUAUUUAUGUAUUGAGGAGCGAUCCCUUAUUCUAUAAAAGGGACUCUUUCACCCUCAAAUGCCGCAAGCCGAGCCAACCAAGACAACAUAAGCCACAAACCGAGUAGCCUUACAACAUGUGCUACUUCUAGUUGAGCAUCAUUUCACUUUGAGCAUUGCCUCAUAUCAAGUAUCAGUUCAAGACGACAUCUAGUUACUUCGGCCCACACAUAAACUGAAUUUCAAGUAUCUAGCCAAAAGACUCUCUUGACUGAAGACUUGGGGGACUACUGUUUGUACCAUACUUAAGGCCUCCGUAUUUAGAUCUUGUAUAAAUACUCAGGGGACUUAAAUGUAAUUAUGUGAUAAAGGAAUGGGCAAAUAUGUAAUAAGUGAGGAGCCCUUAUUCUAUAAAAGGACCCCUUACCCUCACAAUUGAGGAGGCCAACUUUUAGGCCUGAAGCCCCCUCACCCUCUCACAUCCCCUCUCACAUUACAGAGGUUCUCUCCCUCACAAUCCUCUCAGAGAAAUACAAUAUCAGUGUGGACAUAGCCCAAACAUUGGGGUGAACCACGAUACAUCUUGUGUUAUUUACAUUUUUUGCAGAUUCACAGUCGGAUUUACGUUGUCCCAAGACCUCCAGUUUUAUGCAUCAACUUAAUUCAUAAAAUUAAAAGGAAAAAAAGUAAGUUUAGAAAAACCUGAAAAUCUCUUGCUUGCCGCUGCCUUCUUCCCUUUGAUCUCUACCUGCCGCAACCUUUUGCUUCCAUCAUCUUAUUUUUAUCUGCUUGCUUCUUCCCUUUAUUUCCUUUCUUCAAUGAUCAAUAAUGAUCAGCCCCACUAUUGAUGAAUUAAUUCCAAGCACUCCAGCUGUUCCUCUUUCUUUUCCUUUGCUAUAACCGACGAAAGCUUAGCACCAACGUAUUCUCGAUCUUGUGCCUUUUCAGUUUACUCACUGUAAUAUGUCGUUGGCUUCUUUCAUGGUCUUUGCGAGAGAAAGGCAUGACUAAUAUUUGUAUUAGAUGCGCUGAAAAGAAUAGGGUUUUCCUUCUCACUUUCUUAUAAAUAGUCAUGUGACUAAUGGGAGGAUAAGGGCAAAGCUCUUAUGAAUGCAAUUCCUCUCUCUUUUAUCAUCCUUCAUAAAAUUCAAAUGAUAGAAAUGUAUUACAUAAUCCAGUUGCACAUGUAACAGCUCUUAAUAUGUCAACAGACAAAUAAUUUAAUAAUUAGAGCAAGGGAUCAAUGACAAUCAAAACAUUCUCCAAAUUCACUUGACUAGCAAUUAUAGAAUUUUAAUAUGAUUUUUUCCAUCUCAUUAAUCUAGCCACAAAACACAAGAAACAUGCAAUUCCUUUCAUUUAAAUAAAAAAUAUCACAGGAAAAUGUUAUUCUCGGGGUAAAGUAGGUAGAAUAAUUUGCGCUUAUCAACUUCGAUAGGAUAGCCUAGUUAAGAGGACAAUUCUUACAUCAUAUGAGAAAUGUGUGGAGUCCGACCUGAAAGAAAAUAUAAAAAAAUUAUAAAAUGUACGUUACAAAUAACGUGUACUUAAAUUAUUUUUUCUAUUCACAAUAACAAAAGAGAAUUGAGCCUCUAGUAUUUAAAGUAUUUAUUUUCAAUAUUAAUAUAUUGUUUUGAGUAAAGAUGCUUUCCACAUGAAAUGAUCAGAAAAAGGAAGUUUCAAAGGGAAAAUGUCUGGAGUGAUGAGGCUGCCGGCUUUCUUUCCUACCGUCCUAUCUCUCUUUUUAUGGUAUGUUUUACUCAUAAGAAUGAGAAUAUAAGGUAUGAGUAUUUAAUUUAUUUCUAAUAUUUUUUUUUUGUUUAUUAACACACAAAAAUGAAUAAAUAAGUGAGUCUUAAUUUAAAAUAUGUACCCAUUUUCAAUUUUAAUAAAGUAUCAUUACCAGUAGUGAUAUGUUUAUCUUAUGUUUGAACAAUUUAGGUGUCAUUCCCUCUUUACCCCAUAUCACUCCAAUUCCCAAAAAUAUAAGUAAAUGUUAACGUGAAAAGAUGUUCCAAGUUUGAAUUUAGUUCUCAAUUCAAUCUUUUAAACCCUUGUCAUCCCCAUUCUCACGACAUGUUCAAUACUAAUUAGAACGUGAGCAUUCAACUUAAAACUAUUUAACAAAUAUGACUUUAGCCCCUGAAAUUUACUUUUCUCCACAUAAAACCCGUCAUAAGUUUUUUACUCAAAUAAAUCCUAUUGACUAGAUUCCACAUCAGCAAAUUUAUUAACUAUAUUUGACUUUACACAUAUAAAAAAUUUUGAUGCCCAAAACACCCCUAUUUGAAUGUUUGAUGUACACAAGUAGUUCCAUACAUAUUGUAAGGGAGAAUUAAUGAUUUUACCAAAAUAAUAAAUAAUAAAUUUAUUGCCUAAUAUAUAAUAACAACAAAACAUGCCUAAGUCACAUCCCGGCCCGGACCCCUAUCACAUCCCGGGCUCGACUCCGCCGUAACAUGAUAUUGUCUGCUUUGGACCCUGACCACGCCCUCAAGGUUUUGUUUCUAGGAACUCACACAAAAACUUCCCAGUGGGUCACCCAUCAUGGGAUUUCUCUCGCGCGAACUCGCUUAACUUCGGAGUUCCGAUGGAAUCCAAAGCCAGUGAGCUCCCAAAAAGCCUCGUGCUAGUUAGAGAUGAGAAUAUACAUAUGAGGCUUACAGGAUCCACUUCCCUGGGCGAUUUGGGAUCUUACACCUAAUAUAUGUAAUAAUACAUGCUUAGUUAAGUCAAUAAAUUAUAUUUUACAUAUAAAUGUAGGUAAAUUAUUUCACACACAUAUAUAACAAAAAAGAAAAAAAGAAGCCUGGUAUAUGUAAAAAUUCAUGCAAAAUAAUUUACCUACAAAAAAUGUUAUUUGAUUCAGUGCACCUACUAUUCGAAUUUUAAAAUGUUAGAUUGCUUAAAAAAAGCAAAAUAAUUUCCCCACUAUAUGUAAAAUACAUGCAAAAUAAUUACCUACAUAAUAUAGCAAACCCAAUGUAUGCAAGAUAAUGUACCUACAUAAAAAAAUAUUAUUACUUUAUUCAAUAUUAUUUUACCUAUUAUUUUGUACAUAUAAUAAUAAAAUGUGCCCAAUAUAUAUGAUGAUACAUACAAAAUAAAAUACCUACAAAAUAUAUGUUAUUUGCUCAUCAUAAAUUUACAUAUAGGUAGAUUAAUUAGUAUAAUAUGUUUGAUCAUAUAUGUAGUACUGUUGUUUGGGCCCAAAAUAUUAGUUUGGGCCGAGUGUAGAGUCAUUCUCGGCCCAGGAGGCCUUACGACAAGGUUACCAUGGAGCGUUUAGUUCGUGGGCUUUCAAACCUAGAUCGGUUAAGCCAUACUGCAAGAUGAGUCGAAUCCUGGCGCAAUAAGGAGUCUCGGCGAGAUUAAUAACCCGGAAGUGAAUCCGGCUUGAUGAAGGGAUAGGUUCAAAAUCCUGAUGGGAGUAGGAGUACUCAAGGGGAUGUUUGAUUAGAAGAAGAAAUCCUAAUCCGAGUAGGUUGUUAACUCGACCUAGAAGGUACAUUACUACUAUAAAUACAAGGCGUUGUGCAGUGUGAGAAGCCCUCAAAUUCAACACACAACUGCCUUGCGCAAACUCUCAACAACUUGAGAUUUUUUAUUUUCUCUUUUCGCUGACACAUCUUCCGUUGGCAUUAACAGCACUGUGAAAGCAACUGGUGAUAUCUUCAGUCGACAUAGAUAGCUCUGUCGUCGUAGAAUCAGCCGAUCUCGCAACAUCUUCCGUUGUCAUUAACAGCACUGCGGCGAGGACGGUUGGUUACCUAUCCAAGUCUCGGUCGAGAAGGGUUUCCAAAUCCUUAUUGAUUGAGGUCAUCCCAUUAGCCUUCUCGGCGAAGUGAGGUGUUACAGCUUACUGAGCUGGACGCAUUGUACGCCGAGUUAUUUUAUGAUUGGAUAUUCUCAAGUAGGAUUUAAAGUUCGGCAUUCAGACGGCUGAACCACGUUCACUAUUAAGACUCAUAUCUGCUUUGAGUAUUUGUGCCCUUACACUUUGGUGUCGAUUCGGCAUGAGUUUACUCUGACGAAUACCAUCAUUGUGACCAAAUCCAACGACGACGAUUCGUGAACUUCGUAAGAAUAGUAGCCUUGUCUUCAAGUUCGAGAACCCAAGAGGCCGAGACGUGUUCCUUUCUCGGCCGCAAUCGCAAGACUCAGAAGUCAGCUGCGCACCCAACGCAACAUCAACAAAUUUACUCCUCGGCCGAGCUCGGCCGAUGAGUUGGCAUGCCCCGCAUUCAAUUGAAGGACGUAGUUAGCUCAUAGAUUACUUGGUCUACGCGCCACGUAGGCUUGGUAGUUUUUAGGGUCAACAACUGUACAUACAUACACACACACACACACACACAUAUAUAUAUAUAUUUGAACGUAUAGUAGUACUAUAUAUAUAUAGGUAAACUAUAUAUAUAUAUUGAGUUUAUGGUAGUACUAUAUACAUUUGAACAUAUAUAUGUGUGUGUUAGGGGUAAUAAUAUGCAAUAAAUUAUUUGUUCAUUGUAAUUAAGGUGAGUAAUAAUAUUUAUUGAUUUAUUUUGAAUUUGUGGUACAAGUUGUAAAUAUUUUGUAUUAAUAGGUCAAUUACUUUCCUACAUGACAAUCAUUUUUAAAUUUGGGUUUUAUUUGGAUGUUUAUAAUUAGGUGGGUUUUUAUAUAGGAAAUAAGAGUUGCAAGGGUCUCUGAGGCACAUAUAGGAAGAGAUAUAAGCUGGUACCAUGGACUGCGUUGCGGCAAUGACAGCGUCGUUUUGCUCGACCUGGAGGGUGAGGAGAAGAUGAGGACUGGCGAGUAGAAGGGAAGGUCUUUUUUUUCCGUUAUGGGUUGUGCAACAAGGUUUCUCUUCUGCGAGUGAGAGCUUGUGCGGGAGGGGCAGGCGCCGGUGUGAGCAUGACGGUGAAGGAAGGGUUUGCAGACGAGGAGGAUUUGGAUGAAGAGCGGCGGGCCGAAGCUGCUUUUAGAUCAAAUGCUAUAAAACAAGGCCAUGGCGAAGCAACCCAAGCUCGCUGACAAGGUUUAUCUCUCUCUGUCUCUGUCUCUGUGGCUUUGUGGCUUUUUAUUGUAUGUGUAUUUAGUGAAAUAUGGGCGAAUGGUUACAGAAUUUUUAACCGCAAAUAAAACACUAAAUAUCUACUAAAUGACACUACGUAUCUUCGACUGCAGGUGCACUGUUAGUUUCUGAAAAAACUAGGGUUUACUGAUAUUAGGGUUAGCAAGAAUGCAUGCAUGUGGAAUAUGUUGGUAGUUCAAAUGCAAAGUUGAUCCGAAUAUAGAUUUGAUUUACAAUGGAAGCAAAAGUGGUUCUUGACAACCAUAAACAUUUUUAACUACGUUUAGGAUUAGUAAUGCUAUGUAUUUGUACCAUACUUAGAGCCUCUGUAUUUAGACUUCAUAUAAAUACUCGGGGGACUUAAAUGUAAUUAUGUAAUAAAUGAAGGGGCAAAUAUGUAAUAAGUGAGGAGCCCUUAUUCUAUAAAAGGACUCUUCACUCUCCUCAUUUGGGGGAGGCCAAGAUUGAGGUAAGGAUUUAGGCUAUGGGAAGAGAGAAAAUAGGCUAGAGAGCACACUGCCUCUAGCCUUCUUGUAUGUUCACCAUUCAGAGUGAAACAAUAUCAACAUCAGUGUGGACGUAGCCCAAACAUUGGGGUGAACCACGAUACAUCUUGUGUUCUUUACUUUCUUGCAGAUUCACGGUUGGAUUUACGUUGUUCCAAGACCCCUCCAGUUUUGUGCAUCAACAUUUGGCGCCGUCUGUGGGAAUUGACACGAAAAGCUAUGUCUGUUCUCUUUCAUUUUUUCACCUCCACUGUGAAUCUGCAAAAAACCUAAAAUACACCGAAAAACGUCCCACCAGUUUCUUUGAGAAGCAGAAUCAGUACCUCUAAUCUACUUCAUUCUCCUCCAAGAACCACCAGCUAAACUGUCGUACACGCUUUAAACCUCCAACUUCAAUCCCCCCUCUCUUACCUGUUCUUUCUCUCUCUACCUUACUCUCUUUAACUCUGCUUUCUCUCUCUACCACACUCUUUGUCUCAGAGUGUCUUUAAACCGCUUGGAAACUCGCUCGCUGGCGGCUCGCUCAUUCAUAUCGCCUUCUUAGGUUUCGUUGGUUCAUUCCUUUGGUGCGUUUGGCUAUGGCAGACGAGAUUGUGGUGGGGUCCGCUAAUUUACCCGUGAAGAGGCCUAGGGAGGAAGAAGAAAACAGAGUGGAAGAUGCUACUUCAACCGUGUCCAUGGAGACUGACGGUGGCAAGAAGCCGGAUUCUGUCUCCGCUGUUAUUCUCAGCUAGUUCUCUAAGAUUAGCCCAAUGUGGCCAGACUCCAGACAUCGUUCAGAAGAACCAGAGGAAUAAGAACAAGCCAACUGGGUUUUCUCCAAACCCUCAAAAGAACCCUGUGUCAGGGGAAAAAAGAGGAUUCUCUGACGCCAUUGAUGGGUGUUCUGAGAAAUGGUCUUUUACCGUGACUAAUGGAUCUGAGGUUGAUGUGGGUAAAGCAGUAGGCUUGAGUUCUCCAUUAGCCAAAAAUGAGGUUUCUUCUGUUCAUCUGUCGCCAAAGCCAGCAGCUCAGUUGGAGAAGAGGAACACUCAGGCCUCUGAGCAUGCUAUUGCUUCUCCUUCUUGCAAGUCCGUUGAUCUCACUCUCCUCCACUUCACCACCGACUGUCUCUCUCUACAAUGUCAGCAACAACGGCGUUACCACCUCCAAAUUCUCCGCCUUUCAACCGAGGCUGGCCAAGCGCUCUUGUCUUCGUCUGAGCUCACUCCACCGCAACCCUAUCAAAGUUUCGAUUAGUGGAAAGAAAGAGUUUGUGGUGAUGAAGGGUAAGAGGAGGGGAUCGGGUGUGAUGUGUUACACUUACACUGCACCUCUCUCUGUCAACACCUUCUAGUUUAUCUCCACCAUUUUUACUGCGAUUUUGUUGCUUGUAAAAGGGACUGCUGUUCAGAAAUCAUUUCUUGUUCCCUUAUUUCUUCUACAAGCGCCGGUUGCAGUCAUCUCAUGGAUUAAGGGUGAAUAUGGUAUCUGGGCUGCAUUCCUAGCCCUUCUUGUCCAUUUCUUCUUCUUUAUCCGAUUUUAUUCAAUUUACCAGUGGGGAUCAACCCAUUUCUCGUAAUCUACCACCGUUGAGGAUGAAAAGGGUUUGGAUCAGGUGCAUGCAAGCACAGGUGGGUUGAUGACCUUCAAAGAAGUGGUUGCGGAGCUCAUGAGUGAUGACCUCCAAAGAUGCUUUUUACAAAUAGACAGCAACGCAGAGACAGAGACAGAGACAGAGAGAAAAAGGCGCAGUGGAAAGAGAAAAGAAAAAGCAAAAGGAUGUCUGGAAAUUGAGUGGGAAACAAAAGCAGAAAGAAAAGCAGAAAGUAAAAGCAAAAAGCAAAAGCAGAAAGCAAAAGAAGAUAAAAAGAAGCAGACAUAAUUGCGGUGGUGAUGGCAUGCAGAAAAGGGAAUUAUAGGCGUGACCCAUUGAGCAAAGGGUCAGAUUUAUUUUUGAAUGAUGUGAUUUAUUUUUCUUAUCUUUCGGAGACAUCUGUAUAACCCCAUCAUAGGGUAAUCCAAAAAAAAAAGGGCAAGCCCAAAAUAAUGGGCUGGAAUGUUAUGUGGAGGGCAAAGACCCAUAUGUCCAAAAGAGCCAGACCCUCUAUUAUCUCCAACCAGGUGAUCAAAAGUACGUCCAGUACUACAAAAUAAACUAUUCGGCAGCCUGCCGCUAUUAUCACCAACCAGGUGAUCAAAAGCAAGGUAUAAAAAAUUGAUGAUAUCGGAAAUAUCGGUAGUCCAAAAACACGGAAAUUUCGAUGGAAAUAUCGGGAUAUUAUCGAUAUCGAUAAAAAUUGAAUAAAAACCACGGAAAUUGUAAGAAAAGAGGGAAUGAAAGAGGGUUGCUCUUCAAAAUCCACAGUACACAGAAUGACACCCCUCUUGCACCUAGUGUGAAGCAACGAAAGAAGGAAGGAAAGAGGGUUGCUCUUCAAGCUAUAGUCGAUGAGCUAGAAGCUCAAAACAACAAAAUAGCAAUGAAGAAUGAGGUCCUCCAGGAGCAGUAUGAGAAGCUCUUUGAGACACUCCAUGAAACUAUGCGUACUCAAACACGCGAGCUUGUUGCCUCUGUGGACAUCAACCAUCAUCUGGGUGCCCCCCAACAUGGAGGGUCAUCUUCCUUCGACAUGGGUAUCCUUGAUGAGGAGCAAGCUAAUCAUCAAAACAUUGAUCAACAUGAGACUUCUCUCAACCCAGCUGUUUCGACCCGAAGCAGGAGAAGUAGAGGAAGACACCUCAUUGCAGAAGGGUUGGAAGGAUCGAAAGCCGUUUAUCGUGACUGCCAAGACUUCCUAAAGCAACGUCGAGAGAAUCCCCUCCACAUAUGCUCGAAGAUCAAUGACCAAGGGUUUCUGAAAGACUCGGUCCCCUCCCACGACCCAGGCCAGCUGCCAAUCUAGGGAAGGAACGACAUGUCCUAAAGGAACAUGAAGGUACAGGGGACUCUGAGGUAUUCCGACAGACUCGCCCAAGAAGUCAGUACGGCGAGUCCAAGGAAAAAUCACACGCCCUUGCUCAAACUUUCCUACUUCAAAGAGGCGAUGAAGACUUACAAAAGAAAAUCUCAGUGGUACAUGACUCCACUCAAGACCCCCUUGUCCUACAGCUCAUUGAGGAAGUAAACAAGUUGAAGGACGCACGUCAGGCCGAGAUACCUGACUAGAACCAACCCAAGCCUGGCCCUCUCACAAGGAGGAUCCUUGACACCCCCUUCAAGCGAAGACAAAACAAAAGCUUGGUUUACAACUCUAUACUGGAAGGGAUGACCCAAUUGAACACCUUAACCUCUUUGAGUCCACCAUGGCAUAUCGGAUGCACACCGACAAAGAGCGAUAUCUUCUUUUCCCUUCCACCCUCUCUGGCGGAGCUCUAAACUGGUAUUGUCGUCUUCCACCUGAGACAGUAGACUCAUUUGAGGAACUAAGGAAACUGUUUGUCUCUCAACACAUCUUCCAGACCGAUCGCUUACAUUCUGCAGAUGACUUGUACACUAUUCGCCAGAAACCGGACGAGUCACUACGAGAGUAUGUUGGUCGUUUCAACCAUGAGUAUUCUCGCUGCGCUAAGGAAGAUGACAAGACCGCCCUCAAAGCCAUCACGGCAGGCCUACGUGAUUGUUUCUUCAAGUACAUGAUCAAUGCCAACACUUGGAAGACUUACUCUGAGGUGAUGGCACAAGCUUACAACUAUGCCUCCACCGAGGCAAGGACAUAUCAAGGGAAACCCCCCACAACCACCCCUUAUCAGCAAGUAGGGAAUGGAAGCUAGAUCCAACCAAAUGAGAAGACCUCAACCUUUCAAACGACAUCGGUGCCUCCCCUUGCCUUACUUAAUACUUUGCCAAGUCAACAGACAUAUCAAUCUCAGGGCAAAAGGAAAGAUUUCCAUCCUCACCAGUCUUAUUUUAGUAAAAAGUGUAAGGGACACUACCGUGAUAACAAAGGGUAUCGCUAUGAUAAUCCCCGACCCCAGGUAGUCAACACAGUGGGUCAAGCACGUGUCAGGAUAGCCCCUACCCCGAGGUAUGAGGUAUACACACCUUUGAAUGACACAUGUGUGGCCAUUUACCCCAGCAUAGCACACUUGAUACCGAAGCCAAAGCCGAGGCACCCGGAUUACAAGCCCACGAAGAAUACGGGCACGUUUUGCUGCUACCACGAGCAUAAUGGCCAUGACGGCGAGAAGUGUAUUACCCUUCGUGAUCAUAUUGAAGCUUUGGCACGUGAAGGAAAAAUUGAUCAAUUCCUCAUUCACCCUCCAAGGGGUAACCGUAGCCAAUGCCAGGUAAAUGUGAUAUAUUCCAUAAGUGGUGGCACACCCAUAUCUAAAUCUUCCAACAGGGCCAUAAAAAAUAGUGAAAGAGCUUUAAGGUCUGGCCACCAAGUGUUUCAUGUGGAAGACAUCAGGGGAGGUAAGUAUCAAAAGCCUAAUUGGGAUCCAAUAUGUUUCUACCCUGAGGAAGAAAGUGAAGGAAAUUUUGUGAAAAACAUGUUCAUUUGAGCAACAUCUAUAUAACAUGCAAUUAACAAUUAAAGGCGGAAUCAUGCUUGCAUGCACUUAAAAACAAAACAUUACCCAUGAAAUUCAAAGCCUAGUAGUUAGGUGAACCAGGACUCAACUCAAAACAAAGUGAGUUGAGAAAUUUAUACCUUUGUUGAUUCCUCUUUGCAUAAGCAAAUGAUAAUCACCCAAGAGAUAGGGCCUUCAUUCCUUGCUUCUUAUCUCCAUGGAUUUGGAUGGAAGAAUUGGUUUCUCCAAGUUCUCAAAGUUGAAAACCUCUAAGUCUUCACACCAAGGACAGAUUGAUGAAGAAAUGAGUGACCUAGAGGAAGUAAGAUUGCUAGCUCAAUUCCUCUAGGGUGGCCGGCCUCUUAGAGAGAAAAGAGAGCUUGUGUUCUCAUAUUUUCUCCAAAAGAAACCCUAAAUGAAUUUUGGCUAUAAAGUCAUAUUUAUACCUAUAUUCAUUGGAGUGGUAAACUUGUAAUUAAGUCCAAAACCCACUCCUUUAUCAAUAUGGCCGGCCAUAGGGUUUCAUUGGGCUUUUUAGGCCUUUGUGAAUUAUUUGUCAUUAAGUUGUCAUACAACUUAAGUCAAUGGGCUUGACGUUCGAAGCCCAUUGGGCCUUGAGGCCCAAAACUAACCCGUGGUCUUUUAACGAACUUUAUUCGUUUGAUUAAUUAACAUAUUAAUUAAUCAUUGCCAUAAAUAAUUAAACCAUUUAAUUAUCCUUACUCAUCUCCUUUGUUUUUUCAAUCUCUACCUAACACGGUGUACGAUCCAUUAGGUUCCUUUUAGCGAGGCAGUGGGCGAUUAGAACUCUUUCAAAUCGAUUGUGAAUUGAAACUUACUUUCAAUUCUCCCUUUAGUGAUUAUACACGUUUAGGGCUUCCACAAACCAUGAGUGACACUUAGCAGUAUGUCAUGGUUACCCAAGCUAAUCAGAAGAGGUGGAGAACCUAUUCAGUUUAGGAUUACAAUGCAAUACGGUCUUUCUCUAAUACAAUACUCUUGACCACAUUGUUUGGUUUGAUAGUUUAUUCAUGUCAACUAUCCAAUGUGAUUCAUUUACUUAUAUGAUUACCUUGAAUGUGAUUUGGAACGACUUCUUAAAUCUCAUUCAUACUCUGGCCAGAGAUUCUUAAUCAUAUCAUAGAGUAUUCUCCCUCAAACAGUUUGAAGGUUAGAGAUCCCUUGUUGCGCAUUCACUUGCCUCCAUGGCUAAGCGGCUUAACCCCAAUUAUGCCGUGGACACCCGCGAAUGGAGUGACUUUGACAUAAUCAAAGAUCAAGGACCUAACCACAAGACAACUAUGAUGCCCAGGUCAAAGGACUACUUUGCAUUAUCCCAACCAUGAGUUCUCAUGUGACAUGAGUAUGAGAACUCUUCGUUGAUCGUGUUCAGUGAACUCAUUCCUUAUUGAGCACCUACGUACUUGUCUUGGUGUCAGUCAUACCAAUGACUCGAGACCAGUCACUCUCACUAAGAGAAGACAUAGCACAUACUGAUCUUAACGGACUGUCAAUGCCCAAUUGGCAAUCCUAUGAUCAGGAACGUUUAUGAUAUGUAUACGAAAGAGAAUGGUCUCAUAAAUCUAACUUGUUUAAAUUACAUUCUCCUAAUUACAUAUUCCUUGGACUUAUCGUUUAAGCAUAGAACAUUUAUAUGAGACGGCUUAAAACAAUAAUCUUGCCCUUGAUAUUAAACUAGAUUAGUUUAACAUGUGAAAUGUCCGUAAAGUAUCAUCACAUGAUUGGUUUUAGGGCACAUUUCCAACAGAAAGAGGUAUCAUCUACCCUCACAAUGACCCACUAAUCGUGGAAGCUCACAUAGCCAACUUUGAAGUACGACGAAUCCUGGUAGACACGGGGGCUUCGGUCAAUAUCAUGUUUGCUGAAGCUUUCAGGGCACUUAAUGUAGCUGAACACUUGCUUGACCGCUCGAUUUCCCCUCUGAUGAGCUUCUCCGGUGAUAUCGUGCAACCUUUGGGGAGCAUACACUUACUUUUCACCAUUGGUACAGACCCUUACACAGCUACCAUUACCAUUAACUUCCUGCUGGUUGAUUGCCCAACGGCAUACAAUGUCAUCUUCGGACGCACAGGCAUCAUUGAUCUCAAGGUCAUGGUAUCCACACAUAUGUUGUUGAUGAAAUUUCCAACCCCCUAUGGCAAUGGUUACAUCAAAAGAGAUCAACUUAGUGCACGAUCAUGUUACAACACUUCAGUCAAGCAAUAGCACCUGCAUAUGCCCAAGGAAACCCUUUCUAUACAUGACCAAGUCAUAAAGACCAGCCCAGACGAAGCCAACUUGGAUCUUCACGGUGGCAACAGUCAACCUGACGAUCCUCGAGAUGACUUUUUCACCCAGCAAGCACAACCCGCUGAAGAGUUGAAGAAGGUCUCUAUCUCAAAAGAUUAUCCAGAUCGCAUGGUGAAGAUUGGUACCACCUUGUCACCACCCAUUCGGUUGACAUUGAUCUUUUUUUUUCAAGAGAACACUGAGGUCUUCGCCUGGUCAUACGAGGACAUGCCAGGCAUCUCUCCCGAUAUAAUCUGUCAUCGCUUAAGUAUUGACCCCAAAACUAAGCUAGUGAGACAGAAGAAGAUCUUAUGACGCUGAACGGUAUGAGGUAAUGAAGGCAGAAGUUGGAAAACUCAAAAGCAUAGGCUUCAUCCGCGAAGUCAAUUAUCCAACGUGGGUAGCAAAUGUUGUCUUUGUUAAGAAGAAUCUGACCAAGGAAAGUCUCCUGCUCCAAAAGGUCUUGUGGAGAAUGUGUGUCGAUUACACCGACCUAAACAAAGGAUGCCCGAAGGAUAACUUUCCUCUCCCUCUCAUAGACAGACUUAUAGACUCUACGGCAGGGUGUGAACUCCUGAGCUUCAUGGAUGCUUACUCAGGAUACAACCAAAUCCUCAUGAACCCUCUGCACCAAGAACACACAGCCUUCACUACUGACAGAGGACUGUAUUGCUAUAAAGUCAUGCCCUUCGGCCUAAAGAAUGCAGGAGCGACUUAUCAGAGACUGGUCAAUUCAAUGUUCGCCGAACAGAUUAGGAAGAGCAUGGAAGUUUAGGUUGAUGAUAUGCUAGUCAAGAGCAAACAUGUUGACCAAUACAUCACCAACCUAUCUAAAACUUUCACCAUUUUGAAGAGGUAUUGAAUGAGGUUGAACCCCAACAAAUGUGCCUUCGACAUAGGCUCUGGCAAAUUCUUAGGCUUUAUGAUAAGCCAACGAGGCAUUGAGGCUAAUCCCGAGAAGAUCAAAGCAAUCCUUGAUAUGAAGGAACCGGUAACUUCGAAAUACAUCCAGAGCCUUACUGGCAAGGUGGCAGCCUUAACUAGGUUCAUCUCUAAAGCCACAGACAGAUGUGCUCAUUUCUUCAAAGCACUUAAGGGAAGUAAGAAGUACAUUACAUGGACUGAUGAAUGUGCUGAGGCAUUCAAGAACCUCAAAGACUACAUGAGUAAAGCAUCUCUGCUCUCCAAACCUGAGGUUGGUGAACUCUCAUUAUCUAUCUGUCGGUAUCAGUUUCAGCAGUAAGUUCCGUUCUCAUUCGAAAUGAUGGUAAUGUCGAACAGCCUGUCUACUACGCUAGCAAGGCCUUACAAGAUACGGAGACACGAUACUCCAACAUUGAGAAAUUGGCUUUAGCAUUGGUCAUGUCUGCUCGAAAACUUCACCCUUACUUCCAAGCACACUCCAUCAUCGUGCUUACCAACCAUCUUCUUCGACAGAUACUCCAAAGUCCUGACACUUCCGGGUGAAUGGUCAAAUGGGUGAUAGCAUUGGGUGAGUUUGACAUCUCAUACCAACCAAAGCUAGCUAAGAAGGGCCAAGCAGUGGCAGACUUCAUCGCCGACUUCACAUAUCCUAUUGACAUUGUUUGUACGCCUAAAUAAGUGGUUUCAUUACCCUCAAAAGCUUAGAAAAUAGAACCAACAUCCCCAACAUGGAGUCUAUAUGUUGAUGGCUCGUCCAACCAACAGCGUUGUGGAGCAGGACUAGUCCUUACGACCCCUGCAAAAUGGCGAUGGAGUAUGCUCUUCGUUUCAAAUUCAAGGCGUCGAACAAUGAGGCCGAAUAUGAAGCCCUCAUAGCAGGCUUACGUUUGGCCAAACACCUUGAGGUUAAAUGAAUUGAUAUCUUCAGUGACUCCCAAUUGGUGGUUAACCAAGUCACCAACAACUUUGACUCUAAGGAUAGCUCCAUGGCAGCAUAUCUGGCAUAAACACAAUUGUUGGUCCAGCACUUCCACUACCAGAUCACCCAAAUUCCUCGAGCGGCAAACAGUCAUGCAGAUGCUUUGGCUCGCCUCGCCUCAGCGGUGGAAGACAAGAUUGGGAGAAAAAUUCAGGUCGAAUUGUUAGCAGCAUCAAGCACCAUGGCUGCGGAAGUGUGCAACUUACAACAGAGGGAUAGUUGGAUUACCCCGAUUUAUAGAUUCCUUACUCAUGGCACCCUUCCAAAUGACAAAGUCCAAGCUAAGCAGAUUCGAUACAAGGCUACCCGUUACUUGAUCAUUAAUGACUAACUCUACAAGUGGGGUUUUAACCUACCAUACCUAAGAUGCCUUACGCCCGCAGAGGCGGAAACUAUCCUUCGGGAAAUACAUGAAAAAGUCUGCAGAGAUCAUGCUGGAUCUCGAUCCCUAGCACACAAGGCUUUUCGCCAAGGAUAUUACUGGAUAACACUCCACCAAAAUGCCACCAUAAUAUCCCACUCAUGUGAUAAGUGUCAACGCUACGCAACUAUUCCUCACUCCCCUCCCGAGCCGCUCACUCCUAUGAUUAGCCCUUGGCCUUUCGUCCAAUGGGGACUUGAUUUGAUCGGUCCAAUGCCUGCAGGGAAGGGCAAGGUUCACUAUGCAAUCGUUGCAGUUGACUACUUCACAAAGUGGGGUAGAACCCUUAGCAACCAUUACUGAGGCAAAAAUAGAAGACUUCGUAUGGAAGAACAUCUUUUGCAGAUUCGACAUUCCCAAUGCGAUAGUCACUGACAACGGGUGACAGUUUGACAAUAAUAAGUUCAGGAUGUUCUGCUCUAAGUUCAACAUCAACUUAUGUUUUGCCUCCCCAGCUCAUCCCCAGUCUAAUGGACAAGUUGAAGCCAUCAACAAAAUAAUCAAGUGAACUUUGAAAACUAGCUUGGACAAGGCUAAAGGUUGUUGGCCAGAAUUUGUACCCCAAGUUCUUUGGUCAUACCGCACUUCGUAUCGGACAUCAACAGGAGAAACCCCAUCCUCACUUGCCUUUGGUACAUAGGCAGUUGUCCUAGUUGAGCUUGAGCAAGCAACGUUCCCAGUCCAAAACUACGUGCAAAGUGAAAAUGACAAACAACUUACCCUCAACUUAGAUCUAGUCGAGGAACACAGAAACCAGGCUCACUUGAGGAAUGUCAUCUACAAACAGCAUAUCUCUAACUACUAUAACUCAAGGGUCAAACCUCAUUCUUUCAAAGUGGGGGACUGGGUAUUGAAGAAAAGAUUACUCUGCGACAGAGUCCCGAGUGAAAGAACACUUGUCCAAACUGGGAUCGACCGUUUGAAGUUGUUGGCAUCAGUCGUCCUGGCUCCUACAAGCUUAAAAGAUCCGAUGGUAAGACCCUUGGCCGUCCAUGGAACGCUAAUCACUUGAAGUACUAUUACAAGUAAACUCACAUUGUACAAGUGUUAAGCUUCAGCCGUUCGGCAUCCUAUGUAACGAACAUUAUUUGGCAUGAAUUCAAUAAAGAGGUGAUUUAGACAACUCAGUCCUAGUCCUCUUACAUUCCUAGCAAUGAAACACUCGGGUUCAAAGCUUCAACAUGAAUGCUUCCAACAUGAAACAAAGUCUAAGUAUAUGUCAACAAGACUAUAUAAAUAAACAACAGCUUCACGGUAUAAAUACUUGAAUGUCUCUAGGUGUUAUUGGAUCUGGCAUGUUACACAAGGCUUCAACUUUCGCUAGAUUUGGUUCAAUGCCUCGUUUGUUCACUAUGUGCCCUAAGAACUGCCUAGAUGAUACACCGAAUGCACAUUUUACUGGGUUUAGUCGCAUGCAAUAUCUUCUUAAUACGUUGUGUUGUGUAGAUGAUCAAUGUGUUGGCACCUUUCUUGGCUUUUGACGACCAUAUCGUCAAUGUAAACCUCCAUUGUAUUUCCAAUUUUAUUUUUAAACAUCUUGUUCACUAACCUUUGAUAAGUCGAGCCAGCAUUCUCGAGUCCGAUAGGUAUGACGGUGUAACAAUACAACCCACGCUUAGUGAUAAAAGCAGUUUUCUCUUGAUCUUCAACAAAAAUAGGAAUUUGGUUAUAACUGGAAUAAGCGUCUAAGAAAGACAACAAUACGUACCCGGCCUUAGCAUCCACCGUCCGGUCAAUUUUUGGAAUUGGAAAACAAUCUUUCCAGCAUGCCCUGUUCAAGUUGGUGUAAUCCACACACACGCGCCAUUUUCCUUUUUCUUUCUUGCCUACCACUACGACAUUCGACUUCGAGGAGUCUAUCAACUUCUGUACUAAUAAUCUGAUUUCACUUUUGUGCAAAUCUCCUCUGCUUUUGUCGGUGUGGAGGACAACUUGGAUCCACAUUCAGCUGGUAACAUGCCACUUCCAGGUCAAUUCCUGGCAUGUCCCUAUGGGACCAUGCAAAAACAUCAGUGUUGCUCCAUAUUAGAUAGGAUAGAGCCCACCCAUAUUCGUUUCGCAGGAUUGGUUAGAUCCAAAACCUUUUCCCUCAAUGGUUCUAUAGUCGAGGGUUCUUGAUCGUCACUUUUUUAUCCUAUUGUGGUGGGUCCUCCACUAAUUGCUAUAAUGGUUUAUUCUCAUGCAAGUCCGAGUUGCGUUGUACUUUCUUGGUUGUCUUGAUGUUUGUUGCCAUGCUGUAGCAUUUUUUGGCCUCCAGCUAAUCCCCUUUGAUGUUGAUUAUCGUUUAACCAUCCAUUAACAAACACCUCAUUACUUGACAUCUGGUUUAUGCUUCCCCAUCCAUUCGAUGGAUCCAGUCAAUUCCCAUAAUGGCAUUAUAUGCACUUGGUGCGUCGAUGAUGACAAAAGUGACCAAAAGAGUCUUACCUGCUGUAGUGAUGGGAAGAAUCACGUCUCCAAUGGGCCGGGCUUUAGUUCCUUCAAAUGUAUAGAUGAGAGUUUGAUUUGGCCUUAUCUCUUUCUUGUUUAAUUCCAUCAUUCUAAAUGUGCUCCAAAUUAAAACGUAUGUGAUGCUCCUCCCAUCAAUCAUUAUCCUUUUCACUCUUGAAUUGGCAACGCAUAGCAUCAUGACCAGUGCGUCAUUGUGGGGGAAUUGAAUUCCUUCAAGCUAAUGGAGAUGACUCUAAAAUUCUCUAAUUCUUUGGAUACUUCAGGGGCUGAUGUUAUGUUAUGCACGAGUCUAGACUUCUAGUUUCUUGUCUUUGCGACCAAGAGCGUGCUUCACGUCUCUUAGGAGGUUGGGGUCCACUAUUGCUUUAAGUCAUCUUUGAACGGUUAUUUGCAGAUCCCUCUGGCCGCUUCUAAGGCAAGUUCUGUCGGGGUAUGUGGCUUGUAUACCUUCACAAUCUUGUCAAUUUGUUCUCGCAAAUCAACAUCUUUUACCUUUUUUGAUCAUUUUCCCUUGUGUUUCUCUUCGCCCUGAUUUUUCGUCACCUCAACACAUUUGCUGAAUUACGCGCUACUAGAGCUGCCCUUCUUAUCUUCCUCUUCUGUACACUAUCUCUUGGUGCCAGUCACAUCUUCCACUGCGUUUCUCGCUUCAGCCUUCUUCAACUCCUCCUCUACUGUCUUUUUUGUUUCAUGCAAUUCCCUUGUUAGCCUUCUAAAUUGUUCCAUGGCCAGAUUGGGUUCACUAUUUUGGGAUUGAGAUCUCCCAUGCACCAAUCGAGUCUUUGCAUCUCCAGAAGGAUUCAAAACUUCUUGUGCGGAUCCAAUCAUAUUUGUAGCUUGAUUUUGUUUCGAUUCCCACAAAUGGCGCCAAAUGUUAAAGCGAAAUUUCCUAAAAGAAGAAAUACCUCCACAUAUUUGUUGACCGCAAUCCUCACGUUCGCCAAAUCAUUCGUUAAAGAUGUCCCCGAAUAGUCUUCCUUCGUAGCUUGCCUGUGCGAGGUACCUGCAAGAGAUACUCCGAUGCUCAAGUCAGUCAAUUGAUUUUCUAUUCUCUGAUUUCUCUCAGGUUCUCCUUACGUCCCUUGUUCUUUGGCUCAUCUCCCUAUUUAUGAGAUUACAUGAUUGAGGAUCAAAUACCACGACAUGUCCUCCUUUCCCACUUCCUUCGUGGUCCUCCGUCAUAUGAUUGCAUGCCUUAGGAACAAGUACCACGACCUGUCUUCCUCUCCCACUUCUCUUCCGUAGUGGGGGUAGUUAUCUAGGCAUGUUCCCCUUGUGUCUGUAGGGGUAGUUAUCUAGACAUGUUUCCCUUGCGUCUAUAUAUUUCUUGUGGGCUUUCCUUAUAAUUUAUCUUGCACAACACCUUCUCCUUGGACGAUUAGUAUUGGCUCAUGAAUUCCGAAUUUUAUCCCCCCACAGUUUCUCAAAGGCCUUCAUGUUUAAAGGCUUCUAUUGCUGUCGAGAUUUGAUGCCGUAUUAACAAUUGUAGAUACUACUAAUAGCAAACUUCCAAUGACAACAGAAAGCAGCACUAAUGAAUUUAUUGUUAAUGGUUACAUAUCCUACAUUAUCUAUACAAAUACUAGAUACAUAUGCAGUGGUGUUAGCAAUGGUGUAAGCAGUGGCACACUGCAGUUUUGGAAGCAACGGUGUAGUGCAUUGUUAUAUAACAAAUACUUGUUACAAAUCUUGCAUUAUUGCUUUUAAUUUACUUUUGUGUUGUUAGCUAGGAUGGAAUUAGUGGUGUAUGCUCUUAUUAUGUGAUAUGGUUGCGCAACUAGUCAUAGUCAAGUAAGGUGUCACGUCUUGUAUCCACAUAAAGUAGUUUCUUGUUUGAAACUUCCAAAUCAGUGAAAUCAAACUUGUUGAGGUUCGAUAAUAUGCUGAAUGGCGGAAACAUGAAUGUGAUUGGUGUUUUAGGAAAUAAAAUUUGCAUAAACAACAAAGUUAGAACAUGUAGGUUCUAAGACAUGGUUUGAUUUAAACAGAUUUAAGCAUGGAGAACUUCGGGUCUCAACAUGAGUAUUACGCAUUAAGAAACUUCAGGUUUCUAUGGUACUUUUCUGAAACUUCGGGUUCGGAAAUAUGAACUUCAAGUUCAUAAUACAUGCAAACAAACGUAAUAUAUACAAAACUGUGCAAAUAAAUCUUCAUGUCUAGAAUUAUAAUUUAAUUAUUUGGCCUUAAUGGCCAAAAUUAAAAGUUGGGCGAAAAAAUUUAAAACCCAUAAGGCCUAAAAAAAAUAGGCAAUACAAUUGGUGGCCGAAGCUGGACCAAUGCCCACAUGGGCUUUAAAAAAAAUAGAAUCGGGAAGCCCAAACCCAAAAAAUUAGGCUGGGGUCAAUUCAGGCCGAGCAGUACAAGAAGUAGGCCUUGAAUUGUGCAAGAUCCAACAAUCCAAAACGGCAGCGAUCGUGUGUUUUGCUGUGUACUAAGACAUCAUAGCCCCACGAGCUGAGGUUAUGCGGGCCAAGCCAAAGCAAUAAGCCCAAAGGAAUGAAAAAAAAAACUGUUUUUUUUUUCAGGCUAGGAAGAACUAAGGCCCAAUUGGGCUCGGGUGGACCAAGAAAACAUCCCAGUUGCUGUUGGGUGAGCUCACAGGAAGGGAAGACAAGCGCUGCCACUUCUGGCAGUUAUGUUCUGGGUCGGGACAAUCAGGGAAAGUCAGGUUCCAACGGAGAGCCAUGCAUGAGUGAUGGAGAGGGUUACUCUUAACGCCGAAGAGCCAAAAACCCACGGAUUCGAAAUCGGGAUUUCAUCAACGAUGACUGCAAGUCAUUGGAGUUGGUUGUGGCGGUCGUGCACAGGUCUAAGCCCAAAAGGACAUGGAUGACGCCAUGGGUGUCACAUUCUGGGUUCAAUGGAGGGCUGCAGGCCUUCUUGGCUUAUGGCUUGUGGCUCGGCAUAGGGGAACUCAGCUGCUCGUUGGAUUUCCACCAAAACCCUAGCAUAUUUUUAAUUUUUUAGUUUUUUCAAUUCAAUUAAAUUCAAUUGCAUAUAAUAAUUCAUAGUAAUAUCACAAUAUCAAUUCACAUAAUUCAACAAGAUUAUGAAUAUAAUGCAUACACAAUUUAUGUAGAAUCUAGAAUUCAAAAAACGUAAAGUUGGGUCAUGCAUUAUGGUGAAUGUUCAUGCUAUCAGGGCUGCAAAAAUAUCGAGAUAAAAACCGUUGUUUUGGAAGAACCUGAUUGCGUGAUAAUAUUGGUGAACUGUUUUGAUGCAAAAAAUUAUUCCUUCAAUUUUGGCUUUCCAUCUCCAAAGCUUGCAUCACUUCAACAUAAGAAAAUAAAUUGAAUCAAUAAAAGUAUAUGAAUUCAAGAAAAUCAAAAUUUAAUCAAUUAAAAUAAUUGAAACGUAAUACUCAUCCAAUUGAAGACGAAUAAAUUAUCUUUAGCACAGCGCGACGAACGUGCUGAUAACAUGUUAUGGCCUAUACUAAAGGGUGCGGCAUAAAGAGAAAGAGAGUGGAGAAUAGACUUGAGGAAUUAUGUGCUGAUUCCCCAGUCUUUGUGCCUUUAUUUAUAGUAAUAAAGAGGAGAAAAACUUGCUCUCUAAGUAAUACAAAGUCUAUUAGGAAAGAUCUUCUAGAUCCCAAAGGAUUCCUAAUCUAUCUUUACUUGGGACUUACACAAUCACAAUAUGUAUUAGAACAUAUGUCACAACAUAGUUCAAAUUUAAAUACUGAUGUAGAGUUAGAAAUCUACUAAUUGUAUUAGAUUUAACUUUGGUAGUUUUUCCAACAUAAUUAUUCAUUCAAUUUCAAAUUCUACAGUAAGGCACAGACAUAACUUUUAGUAUCUUCUGUUAGGAUGUUCAUCUUGAGUUGACAGUUAGAGUUGGGUAUUAGCAUAAAUAGUACAUUGUAAGAGAAGAAAGGCAGUUGAUGAAUUGUAUUGUUGUUCUGUUAUACCUUCUCUUUGUACAAUCAUAGAAGAUGUAGAGCAGAGUUCUAACAUAGGUAUCAGCCAGUCGUUUGUUCCUCUCAAUAAGAGCUCUCAACCAUGCCUCAUGUGUGGCGUACUAAAGUUAGGUGAGUCUUGGAAUAGUUUGAAGAUUUCGCAACUAAGGUCAUAUCGUGGACCUCUAAGAUAUUAUGAUAUCCUUAAUGGUAAAGACAUAAGGCCAUCUCCAACCGAAGGCUAGACAGAGGCUCGUUUUAACCCUCUAGCCUCUAAGAUAUUAAUAUUUUAAUGAACAGUACAUGGCCAUAUUUGCCUCCAUCUUCAACCGAGGGUCAAAGGGUCAUAAGGCUCGUUUUAGCUCUGUCACAAAAAACAGUCUCCAACCGAAGGUCAAAGAGUCAUGGGCCAAACAUAAGUUAUUAUUUAAAAACUACAACUUAAAUUCAAAUCCAACAGUUAAGUGACGUCAGCUAUAGGAAAAAAAAAAUAGAAUUUAAAAAAAAAUAUGAAACAAAUUUUGUGAAAUAGAAGUUAUAGGAAAAAAUGGAAUUUAAAAAAAAUGUGAACCAAAUUUUGAAAAAUAGAAGUUAUAGGGAAAAAAAUAGAAUUUUAAAAAAAUAUGAAACAAAUUUUGUAAAAUAGAAGUUAUAGGAAGUUAUAGAAAAAAAUUUGUAAAUAAAAAAAUUAAAUAAAACUGUAAAAAAAAAAAAUAUAUAUAUAUAUAUAUAUAUAUAUAAAAUCAAAAUUAACGGCUAGAAUUCAAAUUUUUGUUUAAGCAUUCCUGUCGGAUAUAACCAACAAGAAUAUAUUUAUAUUAUAUUAAAUAUAUUCAUGUCGGUUAUAUCCGACAGGAUUGCUGGAAUUUCUGGCCAGUCCUUUGGCCUUUUUCAGAUUCUAUGGGGCUCACAAGGCCUCUAGCCUAACCCUCUGUUGGAGACGGUUUUCGGAUUAUUUUCGGCCUUUUGGCCCUCUAGACCCUUCGGUUGGAGAUGGCCUAAUCAUUUGGGGAUGUGCCUUGCGUGGGUUUGAUAAGUAACCUACAUCAACAUAAAAAAUAAGGCAAUCAUCGUUUCGAGGAUCAACGGGGUCGAAUCCGCUCAGGAUGCGUUGGGAUUAGCCCAAAUCAUAGUACCUUUGAGGAUCCUGAAAACGUCUUUAAUAUCAAUUCAGUGAAUGCGUGUAGGCGAUGUGCUGCAUUUUUACCAAUAGAUCAACAACGAAAGAGAUGUCAUGUCUAAUGCAAUGAGCUAAAUACAACAAAGCGCAAAGUUGAACUCAAAUAUGGAACUUCGGAUUCCAUAACCUCUUCAAGGGUCUUCUUUGCAUAUAGCGUAUGAAAGAUUAUAGAUAUGCUCAAAGGUAACACCUUCGGGGUGUAGUUCGACUGGUAGACCAGAAUACUAUUAGAACAACUCUUAAACUUCAGGUCAAGAUAUAAACGAAUUUUCCUAAGAUCUUUCUUUAAUCUACUCAUGUUAUGGCAUUUCAAAAAUGAAAGCCACUUACUUUCAAUCUUUUAGAACAAAUUAGCUUUGUAAAGUAACAAGACAAGGAUAUUUCAAGAGGAAAUACUAUUGUUUGCUUUGCUCAGAUAGUUCUGUUUAGAUUAAUCAAUGUUUUAGUACACUUUGAAACCUGAGUUUUAUAUCUAUUAUCUUCAAUUUAAACACUUCUAGAAAGUUAUAGAUACAUUCAUUAGUUCAAAUUUAAAUACUAAUGUAGAGUAAGAAAUCUACAAAUUGUACUAGAUUUCACUUUGGUAGUUUUUCCAACAUAAUUAGUCAUACAAUUUCAAAUUCUACAGUAAAGCUCGGACAUAAUUUUUAGUAUCUUCUGUUAGGAUGCCAAGAGAAGAAAGGCAGUUAAUGAAUUGUAUUGUUGUUCUGUUAUACCUUCUUUUUGUACAAUCAGCUAGUCGUUCGUUCCUCUCAAUCCUUCUCUAUUGUAUAACGUGGUAAACAUCAUAUAAGACCAUGGAAUCAAGAGUUUCCAAUCUGAAAACCAAGUUCGAUGGAUUCAAGACUUCUCGGGCCAAAUUUCGGAAUGAAUUCAGGACUACCCAGGAUUUAAUUCUUCUUCAAUUGUAGUUGCUUAUGGCGAAAUAUAGUGGUGAAUCUUCUACAGCUGCACCGGUGCAUCAGCCAUUCAUCAAGAUGACAUCUCCCAUCUCCCUUGUGAAAUUGAAUCAAGUCAUUCUCAAGCUUCAAUCCUUCCACGAGGAAAAGAUUCAGGCCCGAGAGAAAGCAGACGAGUUCUUCUCUCAGUUUCGUCAGAGAUACAAGCCUAAGAGCUGUCCUUAUUUGCGACCCACAUUGAAGAAAUUCAAGAAGGUUCGCAACAAAUACCACAACGACAAGCAACGCGAAGCCUCUUACCAAUUCUUGGCUUUCAAUCAUUACUACCAGCAACAAGGCUACUUCUUGAUUCUACUUGCAUUCUGGGUUUUGCAUUCCUUGUAUCUAAUGUGCAAAAGUCGAAUUUCACAGAUCAUGGGUACGAAAUGGUUGAUUCUAUCAAAGAAAGAUUCAAGUCUCCUAAUUUUUCUAUAUCUGAUGGAAUUAUUAUAGAUUUUCAGAUCCGUUUCGACAUGGGUUUCAUUCUUGUUGCGAAACAGAUGUUAAUUCUAGCAGAAGUAGUUGGCGUUCGCUUGGGCCACAACAUGUUCGACGAAUUGCCGCACUCAACAAAUACUUCUGUUCUUUAAUUUGGCUAUCAUAUGCCGAUUUCUGACUCGAGGGGUACACUUAUUACUGGGCAUUUUACUUCCAAAUUUCAGGUCAAAGAUGCUUACAAUUCUACAUUUCUUGUUUGUAAUGGUGAAUUUUUUCAAAAUGGUACCACGAAUCCUCGGGACAAAAUUGAACUGGUUGUUCAUAAUUUUGUGAUAAAAAAAAUGAUGAAUCCAAGAUAAUGGUAGUGGGUUUUGUGGGUUCCUAUCAGUUUAUGAAAGCAUAGCCAUCAAUACUUAAGGAUGAAUGCCAAAAAGAAUCGGUUGGAAUGUAUGCCCACCAUGUGUUUGUUGGAAUGCAGCAAACAUUCAAAAUUGUUUCUUUGGAGUUUGGCUUCCAUGUGUACAUGUGUGACAAAGGCGGAACAACUAUUCAAGGGCUCUUUAAUUUGAAAUCUUCAAGGGAAGUUGAAACCACUUCGGUGGAAACAAAUGCUACUGCUCAACUGGUUGAUGCACUGCAGAUUUUAGGUGGUUUUUAUAAUGAUGCAAUUGUUGUUGUUGGUUUUGAAUUCAACUACCUUAUGGGAAUUCGAGACAAGGGUGGAGGGUACUCAAUCAUAUCUGAGUAUAAGAUGGUAUUAAGGUUUGUUAGGACAAAAGUAGCAAAUGAUUUUUGUAGACAUUGAAAUUUCGGUGGCAUAAAUGUUAGCCAUUGCAUUAAGAUUACAUUUGUAAACAUUGAAAUUUUGGUGAAAUAAAUGUUGACCAUUGUAUUAAAAUUACAACCUUCAUUCACUUCACCUACAUCAUACACUAAGUUCACCUACAACAUCCACCAAGUUUCACCUACAAACAUCCACCAAGUUUCACCUACAACAUCCACCAAAAUUCACCUACAACAUCCACCAAAACAAAUGGAUGGUGGUGAUUCGUUCCCAAAGCCUAUAAAUAGGCUCCUCCAUCAAAGAAUCAAGAAACCAAUUCACAAAUACAUUUCUCUACUCCCAAAAUGGAAGAGAAUACUCCCCACACAUCAAAAAUCCUUGAAGCUUUGAAACUCUAAAGCUCUCAAGCAAAUCUCGAAGGAUCAAGAAAGCCCUCUUCGUUCUUCGUCAAAUCCUCCUUCAAGAUCAAGCCCCAACGGCCCUUGAAGAAAUUCCUCCUUCAAGAUCAAGCCCCAACGGCCCUUGAAGAACUUCCACCAAUUCAAGAUCAAGCCUCGACGGCCCUUGAAGAAAGUGUUCAACAAAUCCACACAAUUGUUCAUCCUAAGAUCAAGCCCCGACGGCCCUUUUGGAUCAACAACAUCACCAAAUCCACAUAAUUGUUCAUCCUAAGAUCAAGCCUCAACGGCCCUUUGGAUCAAUAACAUCAACAAAUCCACACAACUGUUCAUCCUAAGAUCAAGCCCCGACGGCCCUUUUGGAUCAACAACAUCACCAAAUCCACCAAUUCAAGAUCAAGCCCCGACGGCCCUUGAAGAAAGCACCAUCGUUCAUCAUCCGUUCAUCCAAGAUCAAGCCCCGAUGGCCCUUGGAUCAACAAACAUCAACAAAUCCACACAUCCAACCGUUCUUCAAGAUCAAGCCCAAAAGCCCUUGAAGAUCCGUUCAUCACCAAUUCAAGAUCAAGCCCCGACGGCCCUUGAAGAAAGCACCAUCGUUCAUCAUCCGUUCAUCCAAGAUCAAGCCCCGACGACCCUUGGAUCAACAAACAUCAACAAAUCCACACAUCCAACCGUUCUUCAAGAUCAAGCCCAAAAGCCUUUGAAGAUCCGUUCAUCACAGUUAUUCAAGAUCAAACCUUAACGGCCCUUGAAGAAACACUCAUCCUUAAGAUCAAGCCCCAACGGCUCCUUGAAGAUCCGCUCAAAUCCACCUUCAAAGAUCAAGCCCACGGCCCCUUGAAGAAACUUCCAACAGUUCAUCCAAGAUCAAGCCUCGACGGCCCUUGGAUCAACGAAACAUCCACAAAUCAACACCUUACGGAGAUCGAAUCAGAGGAUCAAAUUUGAGAGAGAUUGUAACCCAAAAUCAUCAAACACAAAUAUUAUUUUGUACACGUUGUUCUUGUCUCUUUCGUUUCAAGAAUUUUCCGUGUUCACAAAUUGGCACGCUCGGUGGGACAAUCUCUACCUCUCAUCUCUUUCUCCGUUCAAGGAAUCCAAACACACCUCAAAGUCAAUGGCAUCAAGCAAGGGACAAGCAGUUCUCGCAAUCACUGAGGGAAGGAUCCUAAGCACUUCUGCCGCAAAUGGACAAUCCAUUGGCGCCACAACCGCUCAUCAACAUGCCACUUCAAAGUUGGUGCCGCUAAAAGAGCAAAGGGAGCAUCAAAGGUGUGAGUCUGUCAUCAACCUGACAUCGUUUGGGGCACCGAAGCAUGCUGUUGAGGCACACAAGAUGACAUCCCAAAACAACCAACGACGUUCUUCGUCAGCAUCUUGGAUGUCUAAAGGAAAGUCACGUCUAUUGGUUGCACAAGUCAUGACCAUCGGCGUUACCUCAAUCGAAGAACAACUGGCUCAAAUGAAUGAAGCAAUCGCAAGGCUAACCCGAACUGUGGAAGAAAAAGACUUGCAAAUCGCUGCACUCGUCAGUCGACUGGAGCCACAUGACGGCGAGAACCCUAACCCAGAAGAUGAGCCUACGGUGGAGAGAAUUGAUGUGAAGCCGGAGCCAGACCAAGAAGCGGCACUCAUGGGAUCUCUUUCUAUCCAACAGUUACAAGAGAUGAUUGCCAGCACCGUCAAGGCACAGUACGAAGGGAGCUCAAAUACCUCCGGGUUGUACUCAAAGCCUUAUUCAAAGAAGAUUGAUGCCCUAAAGAUCCCGAGGGGAUAUCAACCACCAAAGUUCAUGCAGUUUGAUGGAAAAGGAAACCCAAAGCAGCACGUUGCACAUUUCGUCGAAACUUGCAACAACGCGGGGACGGAGGGAGACUACCUCGCCAAGCAGUUUGUGCGCUCACUGAAAGGAAACGCAUUUGAGUGGUACACGGACCUAGAGCCUGAGUCCAUCAACAGCUGGGAACAGUUGGAAAGGGAAUUCCUCAACCGCUUCUACAGCACCCGCCGCACUGUGAGCAUGCUAGAGCUAACAAGCACAAAGCAGUGGAAGGACGAGCCAGUCAUUGACUACAUCAACAGAUGGCGCACUCUAAGCCUCGACUGUAAAGACAGGCUAUCGGAAACCUCUUCAAUCGAGAUGUGCAUCCAAGGCAUGCAAUGGGGUUUGCAAUACAUCCUUCAAGGCAUUAAACCACGGAUCUUCGAGGAAUUGGCCACCCGCGUCCAUGACAUGGAGUUGAGCAUCGCCCAUCAUAGGAAGAAGGAACCGAUCGCCGACUACAAGAACGACAAAAUUCUUGAGAAAAAGGUGGAGAAGGCUAUGUGGAAAUCCACCAAGGAAGCAAUGAUAGUCAACACAUCUCCCGUCAAAAUCCCUACACGAGGCAAGGCGAUUCAAGCUGAAGCUUUUCGUGAUCAAGAGAUGCAUAGACGCACUUUGAAGGAGCUUGAGGAGAAUCAUCGAGCUAGAUCUUGACGAUGUGGUGAAGUCAAACUAUACCACCAUCACUUCUGGCUCUUCCGACUCAAAAUUUUUACCUCAACCUCAGGGGGCAUCCUCCAAGACAAGCAAAGUUGAAGGAUGGACUCAAGUCACUCCUAAGAAAUUGCACAAGAAGCAUACGUCUCCUCCACAAGUCCGCCAAUCGGAAAGGGGGCAAAGCAGCUAUUGUCAACCUUCAAAGCAACGUGAACGUGUUGAAGAUGAUGAAAUUUCGAGAUAUAGAUCGUCCAUCCCCAUCACGAUGCGUGAUUUCUUUCCCAAAGACUUCUUCAAUCACUCGGUCAAGGCUCCUUGCUAUGAAGAUUGUGAGGAACGCCUCUCCAAAAUUGCUUGACAAAAUUCACAAAUUCUCCUCGCCCGCACGAGUCUAAACUGCAUGGCACAAAGCUCCUGGUCUGUACGAGCAUAAAAGGAAACACCAAUGCUCCUUGUUCGCACGAGCCUAAACUGCACGAACCAAUGCUCUUUGUUCGCACGAGCCUAAACUGCAUGAACCAAAACUCCUGGCCCGCAAGAGCAUAAACUGUGUACGGUAAAAUCAUCAUCAAAAUUACUGUUAAAUUCAUCACUCAUUUGAACUACGUUAUGGCUUGAUCUCUUCUUUGGAAGGGUACGUAGGCGGCUCGAACAUUCAAUUUCGAGUUCAGUCAUAUCAAAAUAAAAAAAAAAUAUAAAAGUUUUAUUAAAGAAAGUCAAUUUUAUUACAAAAGAAUAAAUAAAUAAAUACAUAUGUUAUUAUGUAUUUACAAAAAAAAAAAAAAACAAAAAAAAAAAAACAAAUGCAUUGAGAGAAAUAAAGUCCGUUUUUAUUUAUUUUUUCUAGAAAUUUUACAUAAAUUUGCAUUCUACAUACUUAAAAAAAAAAUCAAAUCAAAUUUACAAGAGGGGAUCUUCAAGGACGAUCAAGUGCCGCCUCACCACUCGGCAGAGCUCCAGAAAUGAGAGGCGCCAGAGGUUGACUGUUUGAAGCCACACCACUCGGCGGAACUCCAGGAAGAAGAAGAGCCAAAGGUUGAUCAUUUGGAGCUUCAUUACGCGGUACAGCCCCAGAAGACGAAGGCAAAUGCUGCUGGAACAAACCCACAAACCUCUGAUGAUCAAGUAAAAUCUGACCAUCAGAUUCCUACAUCUGGUUAAUCUUCCUCUUCAUGUUUGUCGCAUAGCUAUGUGCGAGCUUAUGCAACUGUUUAUUCUCCUGCUUAAGCCCUCUAAUCUCCUGUUUGAGACUCAUCACUUCAGCCGCCAAUGAUUCAACUUGACGGGUUCGAGUAAAUAGGCGUUGGGCCAUAUUAGACACAGAACCUGCACACUGCACACUGAGAGCCAGAUAAUCCUUAACAGCCAACUCAUCAGACCGUUUGGAAAGUAGUCUGUUAUCUCUGGGAGUGACAAGGUUUCGGGCCACCACUGCAGCGGUCAUAUCAUUCUUCACCACCGAAUCCCCAACGGUAAGAGGACCAGUAAGGGAUAUGAAGGAUGGGCGCCAUAUGUUAUCUGGAGAAGACGGGACUACCUCUUCACCAAGGUUCAAAUCAAAACGACGGUCGGAGGGUCCAGACAUUUUCAAAGGUGUUGAAGAAAGAAGAGGUCGGACAAAUCAAGAUCUUAGAAGUGCAAGAAGGGAGUUUCUACAAGCGAAAAUUCAAGUGUGCUUUGAAACGAACUGCGUGCCUCUAUAAAGAUCAACACUCGACGGGAUUUCAAAGAUCGAAGAGGCGAGCUCAGAAUUUGAAUAGGCCAAUUCAAAAAUCAAAGAGGUAAGCUCAGAAAUCGGAGAAGCAUCUUGCUUUUCCAGACGCGUUAGCACCCGUCACGCGCAAACUCAAAUUUGCGAAAAUCACGGGCAAUUUGUUAAAGUGCCAAUCCCAGAUAUCGAAGAGGCGCCAGUCUUUUUCAGCCUCGUCAGCACCCGUCACGCGUAAACUUAGCUUUGCGGAAAUCACGGGCAAUUUUUCGAAGCGCCGAUCCCAGAUAUCGAAGAGGCGCCAGUCUUUUUCAGCCUCGUCAACACAUGUCACAUGCACACUCAGCUUAACGAAAAUUACGGACAAUUUGUUGAAGAUUUCUGAUAAAGAAGAAAGCACGUGAAGCCAUACUGAUCAAUCACGCAUUGGUUGCCGACACGAGUAAAAGAAUAGUACCUCUACAGGUACUAAAGAAUUUCCUAUAACUGUCCACCUUCACCCUCCAUAGCAAGGCAGACAUACAUAACCUUUCUUCAUCUCUGAGAACUUUUCUUCAUCUCCGAAAAUGCCUUCCCAACGAAGCCUCUCGAGUCACUCAGUGUUUCUUAUUCCUUGGGGUACCUCUGCAAACAAAUGACACCAAAGCAAAAAUAUCUCAUAUCACCAGGGUAGAAAGCAAGAGUAUCUCAUAUCAUGUGUUCUCCCUGUCCUUUCCUUUUUCCUUGUUCUUACCUACAAAGACAAGGAUAAAGAAAACAAUAUGCCGGAACCUCCACUCAAACUCGGAUGCCACAUUUGCCUGGAGAACAGAUAAGGCAAGUGAAAAUGAUACCUUGCAGCAUGUGGAGACAACGUGCAGAAGAAACAAGCAGAGAAGAAUACAGUCUUCACAGUCAGCUCAGCAGAAGGAGUCCGAGCUGAGGAACUCAAGAAGCUGCCACAUCUGCCUGAAGAAACAAGCAGAGAAAAAUGCAGCCUGCACAGUCAGCUCAGCAGAAGGAGUCUGAGCUGAAGAACUCGAUAAGAUGCUACAUUCUACCAGAAGAAUAGAUAAGACAAGGGAAAAUGAUAUAUUGAAGCAUGUGGAGACAAGCACAACAAAGCACGUGUCGAUUCACCCGCUACUUCUUCAAAAUCAAAAGUAUCUCAUAUCAUCAGGUUUGCAAUCACUCUGGGUGGAGGACUCGUUUUGACCCUCAAAUUCUUGGGUCGACUUGCUAGGCGUUGUGGGCUGCAUGUGCCGUUUCACCACCCUUGAAUCAAGUCCUUAAAGAUCAAGUCACUAACUGGAAGAAGAGCCCAUCAAUCUUGAAGAUCAUACCGUUGACCAAACCGCUCAGGUGUGAAUUAGAAAGAUUGAACAAAGCAACAAGUCGUCACCUUCACCUCGUGCCUGCUUGCCAUGUGUUCGAGUCAACCUUCAAGAAUCAAGCAUCAACGGCCCUUGAAGAAGUUUCCGGCCAAAUUCAAGAUCAAGCCUCGACGGCCCUUGAGGAAAUCACAAGUUCGAUUCAAGAUCAAGCGUCCACCAUAUUUGAAUCAAAUCCAGUUCAAGAAUAAGCUGUGGAAAAUCAACAAUUGGAGGAAUCCAAAAAAUCCUCCAACCCAGUUCAAGAUCAAAGCUGUGGAAAGUCAACAAAGCGCAAAAACAAAUACGUGCCGAUUCAUCCACUACCAAAGCCAAAGAUCAUCUACCACAUAAAGCUCCUUGUGGUCCAAUUUCAACCUUCAAGAUCAAGCCUCGACGACCCUUGAAGAAAUUUCAAACAACGUCCAAGAACAAGCCUCAACGGCCCUUGAAGAAAUCUCCAGCCAAAUUCAAGAUCAAGCCUCGAUGGCCCUUGGAUUGACAACUACAUUAAGGGACUUCAAAACGCAUCUCCUACAUGUAACAAGCACAUGUAUACAACGCGCCUUGAAGUGGGGGCAUUUGUAGACAUUGAAAUUUCGGUGGCAUAAAUGUUAGCCAUUGCAUUAAGAUUACAUUUGUAAACAUUGAAAUUUUGGUGAAAUAAAUGUUGACCAUUGUAUUAAAAUUACAACCUUCAUUCACUUCACCUACAUCAUACACUAAGUUCACCUACAACAUCCACCAAGUUUCACCUACAACAUCCACCAAAAUUCACCUACAACAUCCACCAAAACAAAUGGAUGGUGGUGAUUCGUUCCCAAAGCCUAUAAAUAGGAUCCUCCAUCAAAGAAUCAAGAAACCAAUUCACAAAUACAUUUCUCUACUCCCAAAAUGGAAGAGAAUACUCCCCACACAUCCAAAAUCCUUGAAGCUUUGAAACUCUAAAGCUCUCAAGCAAAUCUCGAAGGAUCAAGAAAGCCCUCUUCGUUCUUCGUCAAAUCCUCCUUCAAGAUCAAGCCCCAACGGCCCUUGAAGAAAUUCCUCCUUCAAGAUCAAGCCCCAACGGCCCUUGAAGAACUUCCACCAAUUCAAGAUCAAGCCUCGACGGCCCUUGAAGAAAGUGUUCAACAAAUCCACACAAUUGUUCAUCCUAAGAUCAAGCCCCGACGGCCCUUUUGGAUCAACAACAUCACCAAAUCCACAUAAUUGUUCAUCCUAAGAUCAAGCCCCAACGGCCCUUUGGAUCAACAACAUCAACAAAUCCACACAAUUGUUCAUCCUAAGAUCAAGCCCCAACGGCCCUUUGGAUCAAUAACAUCAACAAAUCCACACAACUGUUCAUCCUAAGAUCAAGCCCCGACGGCCCUUUUGGAUCAACAACAUCACCAAAUCCACCAAUUCAAGAUCAAGCCCCGACGGCCCUUGAAGAAAGCACCAUCGUUCAUCAUCCGUUCAUCCAAGAUCAAGCCCCGAUGGCCUUGGAUCAACAAACAUCAACAAAUCCACACAUCCAACCGUUCUUCAAGAUCAAGCCCAAAACCCCUUGAAGAUCCGUUCAUCACCAAUUCAAGAUCAAGCCCCGACGGCCCUUGAAGAAAGCACCAUCGUUCAUCAUCCGUUCAUCCAAGAUCAAGCCCCGAUGGCCCUUGGAUCAACAAACAUCAACAAAUCCACACAUCCAACCGUUCUUCAAGAUCAAGCCCAAAACCCCUUGAAGAUCCGUUCAUCACCGUUAUUCAAGAUCAAACCUUAACGGCCCUUGAAGAAACACUCAUCCUCAAGAUCAAGCCCCAACGGCUCCUUGAAGAUCCGCUCAAAUCCACCUUCAAAGAUCAAGCCCACGGCCCCUUGAAGAAACUUCCAACAGUUCAUCCAAGAUCAAGCCUCGACGGCCCUUGGAUCAACGAAACAUCCACAAAUCAACACCUUACGGAGAUCGAAUCAGAUGAUCAAAUUUGAGAGAGAUUGUAACCCAAAAUCAUCAAACACAAAUAUUAUUUUGUACACGUUGUUCUUGUCUCUUUCGUUUCAUGAAUUUUCCGUGUUCACAAUUUUAUCAUACAAGUUGGUGACUCCAACUUUUACUUGCACAAGUUUCCCAUGGUCAUGAGAAGUGGUUACUUGAAUCAAAUAGUAUUCUAAAGAAUUAGUGUAGGGAGAGAUGCCAGCCCCAGAAUCCAGUUAGACAAUCUUCCAGGCGAAGCAAAAGUUUUCGAAUUUGUAGUCAAGUUCUGUUAUGGUUGGAAGGUUGAUCUAACCGCUGCCAACAUAGAUCCGCUGUAUUGCGCUGCACAUUUCUUGGAAAUGAGUGAUGAUUUUGAACAAGGAAAUCUGAUUUCCAAAACUUUGACUUUUUCGAGCUUUUUGAUAUUUUCUUCUUGGAAAGACACAUUCCAGAUUUUGAGAAGCUAAGAAUCGAUCUCUUUGUUCACUAAAAAGUUGAAAAUGUCAAAAUGGAGCAGGGAAGCCAUUGCUUGGAUGGAAGAGAAUGCUUUUAAUUAUGAUAUUCUUCUCUAUAAGAGGAAUUUAUAGGUGUACAACCCUAACAUAAAAGGAAAGAAAACUAAUUACAAGUGAUUACAUGGGAUUACAUAUCAAUUAGGGAUCCUACCUAAAAUACAAAAGUCAACACUCCCCCUCAAGUUGGUGCAUAUAUGUCGUUCAUGCCCAACUUGUGUAAGAAACUUGAAAACUUGUGACUCGAAAUAGCUUUCGUGAGGAUAUCUGCCAACUGAUUUUCCGUUCUUAUCGCCGGUACUUUAAUUAUUUUCCCUUCCAAUUUUUCUCUGAUGAAGAACCGAUCAACUUCAACAUGCUUUGUUCUAUCAUGUUGUACCGGAUUAUGUGCAAUGUCACGAGUAACUUUAUUAUCACAAAAUAAUUUCAUGGGCUGAUCAUGUUGUAUACCCAAAUCGCUUAACAGAAGCUUAAGCCACAAAAUUUCACAAAUCCCCAAAGCCAUACCUCUAUAUUCUGCUACUGCACUAGAACGAGCAACCACAUUCUCUUUCUUACUUCUCCAUGUAACCAAGUUACCCCCAACAAACGUAAAGUAACCUGAUGUUAAUCGUCUAUCAUCAAUAGAACCUGCCCAAUCUGCAUCAGUAUAACCUUCAACACUAAAGUGAUUAUUCCUCUUAAACAAAAUUCCUUUGCCCGGACUUCCCUUCAAAUAUCGCAAUAUUCUCAUCACGGCAUUCAUAUGUUGUUCUCUAGGAUCAUGCAUGUAUUGACUCACUACACUCAAGGCAUAAGCAAGGUCCGGUCUUGUGUGUGCCAAAUACAUCAAACGGCCUACUAACCUUUGGUAUCUUCCUUUGUCAACUGGUACUUGAUUAGGAUCAACACUAAGCUUCAAUCCUUCUUCUAAUGGUGUAGCUACUGGCUGACAAGCUGACAUGCCAGUUUCGUGCAACAAAUCAAUAAUAUACUUCCUCUAAGACAAGAAAAUUCAAGAACUGCUUCUUGACACCUCAAUCCCUAAAAAAUAUUUCACGGAUCCAAGGUCCUUCAUUUCACAUUCUGUAGACAGGUAUCUUUGCAAGGCCGCACAUUCUUCCGGAUCAUUACAUGUUACCACCAUAUCGUCUACAUACACAAUAAGUGCAGUAAGCUUCCCAUUCUGUCUUUUCAAGAACAAAGUAUGAUCAGAGUUACUUUGUCUGUAACCAAAUGCUCUCAUAGAUUUUGUGAAUCUUCCGAACCAUGCUCGAUGGGACUGCUUCAAGCCAUACAAGGAUUUCUUCAACCUGCACACUUUUCUUUUGUAUUUAUCUGGAGCAUUACAUCCCGGUGGAAGAUCCAUAUAAAUCUCUUCUGUCAAGUCUCCAUGCAAGAAGGCGUUCUUCACAUCGAACUGUUGUAAGGACCAAUUAAGAUUUGCAGCCAAGGAUAACAAAACACGAACUGUGUUGAUCUUGGCUACAGGUGCAAAUGUAUCUGUGUAGUCGAUUCCAUAUUUUUGAGUGUAUCCUUUUGCUACCAGUCUUACCUUGAAACGAUCCACCGUCCCAUCUGCUUUGUAUUUCACAGUAUAGACCCAUUUGCAUCCCACAGGUUUCUUGCCAGCUGGCAAAUCUGUGAUCUCCCAGGUAGCAUUCUUCUUCAAAGACUUCAACUCUUCAUUCAUUGCUACUUGCCAACGUGGAUCAGUUAAAGCCUCCUGCACACUGUUAGGAAUAGAUACAGUAGAUAAUUGAUGCAUAAACGACUUAUUUGAUUCUGACAGGUGACUGGUAGACACAUAAUUACUUAACGGGUAUAACACAUUAGACUCAGGGUUGGGCUUACUCACCGGAUACCUAGUUUUACAUUUAGGGUCGGCUUCAUAAGUAAGUUUAGGAAUACCUCGGUUGACGCGAUCAGGGAGACGACGUGGUGGUGGUGCAUCCGGGAUCGAAGACGAUUGAUUAUGGUUAUUGGGACUCAAGAUCGACUGUGAGGUAGCUGGCGACACAGGGUUGUCCGGUGGUGAGGAAACUGGCAGUGAGUUAUCUAGCGAUGUCGACUCAUCCCUUUCAAGGUUUUCAACAUUGUUUCCAUGUGAAUGAUCACCACUUGUCUCCAAGACAUUACCACUUAAUUCCAAUUCAUUCACAUCAUUAUUUUCGUGUGAAUGAUCACCACUUAUUUCCAAGACGUCACCACUUAAAUCCAAAUCAUUCACUCUAUCUAUAUCUGGAAUAGUAUAAUUAAGAGUUUGAACUUCUUUCUGAUUCUCCCCCUGAAAUGAAGACUCGGGAUUGGCAAAGUACAUAUUAUUCUCAUGAAACGCAACAUCUAUAGUGACAAACAACUUAUUCGUCGGUGGGUGAUAACAACGGUAUCCUUUCUGCCUUGAUGCAUACCCCACAAACACACAUCAUAAGGCUCGAGGUUCAAGCUUACUUCGCUGUUGUUUAUGAAGAUGAACGAAGGCCACACAACCAAACACAUGAGGUGGAAGAUUAGGGAUUGCAUGAGCAUCAACAUGUGAAGAAAGUGUCUGAAGGGUUGUCUGAAAAUCAACCGAUCGGGAUGGAACACGAUUAAUGAGAUACGCAGCUGAGGUGAGAGCUUCUCCCCAAUAGGAUAACGGGAGACAAGCCUCGAGUAAAGAGGCACGAACAACCUCCAGAAGCUGACGGUUCUUGCGUUCGGCAACCCCAUUUUGUUGUGGAGUAUAUGGACAUGUAGUUUGAUGAACAAUUCCAUGAUGAUCAAGAAAGGCACGAAGUUCAGAGUUAACGUAUUCGCCACCAUUAUCACUCUUGAGAACCUGUAUUUGUGACUUAUAUUGUACUUGUACCAUUUUGUAAAACUGUUGAAACAAAGAAGUAACUUCACAUUUGGAUUUCAUCAAACAAACCCAAGUCAUACGUGUGCAGUCAUCAAUAAAAGUAACGAACCAAUGAGCACCACCAAAUGUAGCAGUUUUAGAUGGACCCCAAAUAUCAGAAUGAAUUAUCAUAAAUGGAACAGAACUUUUAUUCAAACUGGAUGGAAACGAAGCACAAUGACUUUUAGCUAGUUCACAAACACCACAUUUAAAACUAGAAACAUCAUGCUUAACAAAUAGGCUAGGAAACAACCUCCGUAGAUAGUCGAAAGAAGCAUGUCCAAGUCGACGAUGCCACAACCAAACCUCCGAAGCUUUAUUCCUAUCCCCUGGAUUUCCGUCCACUGCAAGAGCUUGAGUCAACAUUCGAGAACUGUUUGACUUCAGCUCCAAGUAGUAGAGCUUCCCUUUCCUAAUACCAUAACCAAUCGUCUUGCGAGUCCGAAUGUCCUUAAAAACACACAAAAAAAGCCAAAAAAUCACAAGACAAUGCAGGACGACAGUUAUUUGAGCAACAGUUAAUAAAUUAUAGUUAAGAGAAGGCACAACAAGUACGGUAUCAAGACUAAGGGUAUCUGAGACGAUUCCUUCCCCGAUAACAGGGGCAGGAUUACCAUUGACGACACUGACGGCAGUUGUGGUGGAAACCUUUAAAGCCGUACCAUUGAUCAUAAGUCAUAUGUUCAGUAGCACCAGAAUCAAUUAUCCAUGUAUUAUUCGUAACAGAGGUAGAAACCUUUAAAGCCGUACCAUUGUUACCUGUAUUAGCAGAAUCACAAGUCCAGACUACCAUUCCCAAGCAACUUCAAUCAAUACGUCACUCGGUGAUUGAUAAAGCCCAAAUUUCCAAGCAAACCAAGCCCAAGAAGUGUCAAUUUGCACGGGCCAACAAGAAGGAUAGCCCAACAACAAUUACAAAUAAUAAUAAUCUAAAAAAAAACCACAAUUUUUCUUUGCCGUGUGGGCCUUAAUCAAAUAGCCCAAUUUUUCUUUUUUCAACACCACUAAUUCUGAUUCCCCUUUUCCUUUUGCCCUUUUCUAUUUGUUCUUUUUUCCUUUAUUCUUUCCCUCAUUUCUACGUGGGCUGCUCCAGAAAGAACCUGCAAAACACGAGUGCAGAAACAAGGUGCAACUGUGCGAAUGCAGGAACAAAGUCUAGAUGCAAACGGGUUGGACUGCAGCAACGUAGGGCAACAGCGGCUACAAAUUUGGGUUCAGAUGCGGAUGCAAGCGGGUUUGAUCGAGGUCUGGUUUAUGGUGUAGCGGGUCUGUGGGUCAGAAACAACGGUUGUCCGGUGGUAGUCUGUGCAGCAGUGCAACAAGAAUGUGAUGAGUAGCGGGCAUGCAAUCCUGGGUCAGUCGGACCUUAAGUCGGGUACGACGCAACAACACAAGUCCGUUGGGUUGCAAUCUGUGCAAUCCUUCACAGCUUCAAAUCAAAUCAGAAAGUGAAACGAUUCGAUGAAUUCAGGUCAGCAACGACGGCGUCGCUCGUUGUUCGUUUCAAAUUCACAGAGGGUAGCAAUGACAACAGUCGCUCACUGAUCGAGGUCGGCGCACCACACAUGGCUGAGCCGCAACAGUGCUAUCGCAGCUAUGGGGUUUUUUUUUUUUCCUUUUUUCAACCUGGCUCUGAUGCCAAGAAGAGAAUGCUUUUAAUUAUGAUAUUCUUCUCUAUAAGAGGAACUUAUAGGUGUACAACCCUAACAUAAAAGGAAAGAAAACUAAUUACAAGUGAUUACAUAUCAAUUAGGGAUCCUACCUAAAAUACAAAAGUCAACAGCUUGUACAAAUCUUAAUGCAUUUAGUUCUGAAACUGAUGAAGUACAGAGCUUCAAUGUUCUGCCAAACAAUGCAGAGAACUCGAGGUUUCAAGAUGCAGCUGACAUUUGGUGGUUUGAAGAUGUCUUGUUCCUUCGAAUAAAUCAUUUCAUCGAAGUGAUCCAAGCCUUAAAUUGUAAAGGGAUGAGAGCAGACAUGAUAGGAUCAUGUAUAGCCCAUUGGCCUGCAAAAAGGCCCUCGCGAGUCACCUCAAGACUUGAAAGAAUGCCCCUAAGCAUAUGACACAUUAGUUCCUAAGAGUUACAAUCGAGUGCUUGGUUAAGGAUGUAGUAGAUGGGGCAAUUUGUUUGAUACUGUUUGAUGAGCCGAUAUUUUACUGUAUAUUUUACUCUAAUUUUAUUAUUAGUUUUAUUGAUUAUUUUGGUGAGAUUUUGAUACUUUGAACUAUAUUUCUAAAGUAGGAUAUUCAACUUCCUCUUGAGCAUAAAGUAGUCAAACAGACGAAUUGUGGAGCAAUUCUAAUUGGAAGAUGUUUGUGAGUGUGUUAAGAUAAUUGUAUCAAAGUUUCAGGUUUUUCUACUGAACCGUUUGACCGUGGCAAUGAAAUAAAGGCCCAGUGCGCAGCUUUUCCAUAUUGACGUUUUUGGACGUUUUGGACAUUUUGGAGGUUAAGAUGUCAUAUUUUGAAGAAGAUUCCUUCUAAUGAUUUGUUGGGGGCGACUUAAGCUUUCAAAAUAAACCUUUAGGGAUCAAAUCGGAGUUGAUUUGGUUGGUCAAAAGUCUGAUUUUCUGAGAAGUAUGAAUUUCAGUUCAAAUAGGAAAUCUUUUAUUUGCUAGUUUAUUAUUUUAUUAUGUUUCAUAGUUUUAUUCUAAGACAUUCACUAGGUAGGGUUUUACUUUGUAGUAGCACAAAUAAAGCUUAUUAGCUAAGAGGGGGAAAACACAGGCAUUAUGGUUGGAGAAUUACAGACUUUUUACCUACAGGGUGUUUUCAAUCCUUUUUCUAGGUAAUGAUAUUUUCUUUAGUUUUUAUUAUGAUUGUUCGUAACUAGUUCUUUUGCUAGGGCGAAACCAUGAGCCUUAGCAUGAAUAUGUGAUUUUAUUAAUUUCUUCUGAAUGGAUACAUCCUUGUUUUGAAUUAUUAAUCACCGUGUUUAAACUAUCUAAUCAUCUUAAUGAUUCGCGGCCAUUAGAGUAUUUAGACAAGUAAUUUGAUGCAAUUUUUGUUGGAAACAUCACCCUGAAAUUGAGGAGUGCUUCUUGUGAUUAGAAAUUGUAAUUUCACUUAAGGCAAACAUCACCCUCUUAAGAGUUGCAUGGUUUUUCAAAGGGUUUUUACAAAGCUUAAUGAGUCUUGCAUGUUUAUAUUUGAAGAUUAUACUAUAACAAUUUUUCAUUACAGACAAUAUUAUUUUAAAAACUCGAAUAUUCCUUUAAGGCAUUUAAAUGAGUCACCAAAGUUGGCUAUAAUGGGAGACAAUCUAAUGUCAUGGACACCCUGAAUAUUCCUUUAAAGGGAAAGGGAUCCACUGGAUCCCUUCCAUCUAAUCAUUCUCAUCAAACAAUUUGGACCCUUGAAAUUUGAUCCAACCGCUAAAAACAAGGCCCACUUUAAAAGUUAAAAUAACUUUAGUCUUUAAAUCAAAUUUCAAGAAUCCGGAUUGUUUGAUGAAGGGGAUUAGGUGGAAGGGAUUUGAAAAUGAUCCCCUUCCCUUUAAAGCAUCUAACCACCUCACCUUUCUGCAUGCAUACUAAAUUACUAGGGUAAAAGACUAUUUACUACCUUCAUGUUUUGUGGUUUUCAACAUUUAGUACAUCAAGUUUUUUUCAUCUCAGAUUCAUACCUAAAGUGUAAAUUUUGGGACAGUCUCAUACAUCCGUUAGCCAAACUGUUAAGUCUUCCGUUAAUUGUGACGUGGCGCACUGACUGGGCGCCACGUGUCAUCCACGUUUUUUUUUCUUUUUUCUUUCUUUUCUUUUCUUCUUCCUUCUUCUUCUUCUUCUUCCUCUGACCGCAACUUUUUUUUUUCUUCCUCCUUCUCCUUCUUCCUUCUUCCUUCUUCUUCCUUCUUAUUCUCCUUCUUCUUCUUCUUCCUCCGAAAUCUGGGGAAGUUUUUUUUUUUUCCUUCCUUUUUCUUCCUUCUUCUUCUUCUUCUUCCUCCGAAAUCUGGGGAAGUUUUUUUUUUUUUUUUUUUUUCUUCUUCUUCCUCCUUCUUCUUCUUCUUCUUCCUCCGACUGCAACUUUUUUUUUUCUUCCUCCUUCUCCUCCUUCUUCCUUCCCCUUCUUCCUCCUCCUUCCUUCCUUCUUCUUCUUCUUCCUCAAAAAAAAAAAAAAAAAAAAAAACUUUCAUCUUCCCCUAGAUUCGGAGGAAGAAGAAGAAGAAGAAAGAAGAAAAAAAAAGAAAAAAAAAGAAAAAAAAAGAAAAAAAAAAAAAAAGCUUCCCCAGAUUCGGAGGAAGAAGAAGGAAGAAUGGGAAGAAAGGGAAUGAAUGAGGAAGGAAGAAGGAGAAGGAGGAAGGAAAAAAAAAAGUUACAGUCGGAGGAAGAAGAAGAAGAAAAAGAAGAAGGAAGAAGAAAAGAAAAAAAAGAAAAAAAAACGUGGAUAACACGUGGUGCCCAGUCAGUGCGCCACGUCACAGUUAACGGGAGACUUAACAGUUUGACUAACAAAUGUAUGAGACUGUCCCAAAAUUUACACUCUAGGUAUGAAUCUGAGACGAAAAAAACUUGAUGUACUAAAUGUUGAAAACCACGAAACAUGAGGGUAGUAAACAGUCUUUUACCCAAAUUACUAAUCCCAUCAUCAAUUCUUUACCAACCUGACAACACUAAGUCCCCAUCUUGUUAAUUUCAAUGUCAUUUUUGACAAAUUUGGAUCCUCUCUUGAGCCAAUGGAGAGGAUCCUCCUGACCAAACAUUGUGGACCGUUGGAUGAAAAUCUAACGGCUAUAAUUAUUAUAACUUUAAAGGGACCCCCCUGUUUGUAGCCGUUGGAUAAAAAUCCAACAGCCCAUAAUGGUUGGUCAGGAGGAUCCUCUCCAUUGGCUCAGGAAAGGAUCCAAAUCCAUUUUUUACCACCUAUCAAUAACAUCACCAUCGCUUUAGAAGGCCAUGUUCACAUGGACUAUUGCUUUAAGAGUCAUGCUAUUCAUAUCAUGUUUUUAUACCAAAUUUCUAUACCACCUUAGGUGACAUCUGAUGUGAACAGCCACAUCAUUUGAAAAUUUUGCAAAACCCAAGGAAAUGAAGGAGAAAGACUUCUCGUAUACUCCAAUCAUCAUUUAAUUAACUAGUUUUUCUUCAUUAUUAGUUUAUUAAAUAAUGAACUAAAUUUAAAAUUUUGAUUAAUUCAAAUGAUGUGGCUAUCCACAUCAACUAUCACCUAAGAUUGAAAAUGUGGUACAAAAACACGUUAUGAAUAACAUUAUUCCUACUUUAAUUAAUAAAAAGCCAUGAUUAAAAUUCAUGCAAACCCACUCAGUCCAUUGAAAACCCAUAGACACAUGGCAUUAUCAAAGGCCUGACAGUCUUUCCUCUCACACAUGGAGCGCAAAGAUGAGAAGAAACUUCAUAACGCCAUGUUCCAUGGCUAGCCUACUACCACCUGAAUGAGCCCUAUGACCUUUUGAUCUUCGGUUGGAGACGGUUUUUUGUGACCGGGUUAAAAUGAAUUAUAUGGCUCUUUGGCCCUCAGUUGGAGAUGAAGACAAAUAUGAUCAUGUAUUGCUCAUUAAAAUAUUAAUAUAUUUGAGAACCAGAUGGCUAAAACUGACAAUCUAGCUAGCUUUCACUUGGAAAUGACCUAACAUCUUCAAAUUGGCCAUAAGCUACCUGACAGCUGAAUAACUCUGAUUGGAAAACGCCAACUCGCAUUUCUACACAUGGGUGUGAUUGGAAAACGCCAACUCGCAUUUCUGCACGUGGGUGUGAUUGGAAAACGCCAACUCGCAUUUCUGCACGUGGGCCUCUAACCACCUAACCUUUCUGCAUGCAUAGUAUCACCAUGUCAAUAAUUCUACGUAGAAUCACGUCGCCACCACCUUGUCAAACCAUCCAACAAGUUUACGUGUGGAUUACUGUUUUAUCAUCAUCACCAUCUAGACCCGCGGCUAAAGAUUAGCCAUGAAAAUAUUAAUCACAGGCACCAUGAGUGAUUAAUUACGUGUUUAGAGGCUAAUUAAUCACCCCCAUCAUAACCAAUCCAAUAAAUUGGCCAACAUGGUACCUUUUCUUACUGCCCCUUUAAUUACAACUUCUGAUAUCAAAGGCCUGAGAGUCCCUCCUCUCAGAUAUGGAGCGCAAAGAUGAGAAGAAACUUCACAUCGCCAUGUUCCCAUGGCUAGCCUACGGCCACCUGAUGCCAUUUCUCGAGGUCUCCAAGUUCUUAGCUCAAAAAGGUCACCAAAUCUCCUUCAUCUCCACCCCCCAAAACAUCAAUCGCCUCCGGUCAUCCUCCCUUUCCCUACUCAUCGAUUUCGUUGAGCUUCCUCUCCCCGCCGUCGACGGCUUACCUGAAUCCGUCGAGUCCACCUCCCAGCUACCAAUCAACAAAGUCCCCUACCUCAAAAAAGCCUACGACUUGCUCAAGCCUGCAGUCACGCAUUUCGUCCAACACUCGGGCGUCAACUGGGUCGUCCACGACGUUAUUUGCUACUGGCUGCCCCAAGUCGCCACUCAGCUCGGAGUCAACUCGGUCUUCUUCAGCAUCAUCAACGCCACUUCCUUAGCUUUCGGCGGUCCUCCGUCUGAGUUACUCGGCGAUAAACGCCGGCGGCCGGAGGACUUUACGGUCGUUCCCGAGUGGUUCGACUAUCCUUCCACCGUCGCUUAUAAGCUGCACGAGAUGGUGAGUCAUUGGGAUUGCAUGGACGACAAUGUCUCCGAUUUUCAGAGGCUCGCGGUUACGGUUCAAGAUUGUAAUUUUGUGACUAUACGGAGCUGCACCGAGGUUGAAUCUGACGCGGUGAGUCUGCUCAGAAAUUUAUACGGUAAACCCGUUGUUCCACUCGGGCUGCUGCCGACCAGCUCAGCACCGCAUCAGCCCGGCGGCACUAACGAUGGAGCGGAUGAGAAGUGGGAAGUGUUGAGAGAGUGGCUCGAAAAUAAGAAACCGAACUCGGUGGUUUACAUCGCACUCGGCACCGAGGUGACUCUGAGUCAAGAACUUAUGCACGAGUUGGCUCACGGGAUAGAGAAAUCGGGGUUGCCCUUUAUUUGGGUGGUCAACAAUCGCCCGUUAGUGGAGGACGCGUUGGGGUCUAAUAUCCUUCCACUCGGAUUUGAAACCCGAGUGGACGGUCGGGGCUUUGUGUGGAGGGGUUGGGCCCCACAACGUAAGAUUUUGGGUCAUAUCUCAGUUGGAGGAUUCCUGACUCAUUGCGGUUGGAGUUCAAUUAUUGAAGCAUUAGGGUUUGGGAGGGUUUUGAUUUUGUUUUCGGGUGCAAAUUCGGACCAAGGGUUGAACUCGAGACUAAUGCACGAAAAGCAGGUUGGGUUGGAGAUACCGAGGGACGAGCGAGAUGGGUCGUUUACGAGUGACUCGGUGGCCGAGUUGAUUAGGCGAGUGAUGGUGGAGAAAGAGGGCGAGUUAGUACGGGCAAAUGCACGGGCCAUGAAGGAGAUAUUUGGCAACGUAGAGUUGAACAAAAAGUGCUUGGACGAGUUCACUCGGGUCCUUGAAACUUGGCCCGCUUCAACUUAAUCAACUUUGGAUAUUUUAUGUGACGGUCUUUAUUGGUGUGCUUUUAUAAAAAUUGAUUCGACUGCGUUGUAAGAAUAAAUAGUUGUACAAUAAAGCAGUUUAAUGUUUAGUAAAUUUUUAUAUAAAACUACAACGGUGUAAGACGAUUAAAAUGAAUAUGAUGUUGGAUGUGAUAUUAUAAUUUGUCUUUUCUUUAAUUCAUUAUCUUUAUCUUCUCUAUACUUCUAGGUGCAAUUACUUUCUUCUUGUGAAUGCGUUGAUGAAACAAGCAGAGUGAAUGCUGACCCUGAAAGUGAGGAGACACAGAAAAAUUGCCGCUGAAGAGAAAGCAAAGCAUUUGGAGACAUUAAAGGAGACUGAGGCAACACCAUCGUGGGUUUGAGGUAGACUAAUCAACAACUUCUGAACGAUUCGUUGGUUACUCAAAUCAUCACCAUAACUUCUUCUUUGGUUAAUCAAAUUAAACUGUUUAGCCAAAUACACAAACAAUGAAUCAUCAUCAUUCAUCCUAGUAUAUUCAAAAUCUCGUCUAAGACCUUGAAGUUUUACGCAUCUUACUUGUUUAUCACCAAUAAAUUCUUGCUUGCUAAAUACCCCAAGCUGCCUUUGCAGUCUCCUGCGUAGCGAUUCUCAAGAAUAUUUGAUCUGAAACGGCACCUUGAAUGAUGCCAAGUGCUCUAGCAUCCUUCAUCAGAUUCUCUCGCAAGAGCUUAUUCUUAGCUUAUGUGACCUCUUCCUCCUUCGCUGGAGUAGCAAAGCUCUUCUCAACCAGAUUCCACAGCUCAUGGGAUCGGAAAAUGGUCUUCAUUCUGAUUUGCCAGAAGUUGAAGUUGUUGCCAUUGAAAAUCGGAGCUCGUUGCUCUCUACCACCAGACCAGCCAUGUUAGACUUGAAUCUCGAGAGGUCGGGGCUCGUCGGAUUUCACAGAUUCUGACGCCCAGAAAUGCAACCUAGCUCUGAGGCCAUGUUAGUGUAUUUGAACUUGUGAGUGAAGUUUUACGGAGAGUUAGACACACAGAAUGAUUAAAAAUGAUGAAUGCAAUGAAGAAGAAAGAAGCUGGAAAUGGAAGAGAAUUGCAGAGAGAAUUACAGAAGCCAUGACCUCAUUCACACAUUCAUUCAUUCAUACACAUAUUACGUGAAGAGAGCCAGCCGGUAGGGAUCUGAUCUCACUAUCGGUUACACGAGGAGAGAGAGUCGCACACUAACAACUUAUAAUCCUUGCCAUCCAUCUAAUCUAGCCUAUGACUUUAGACGAGUGGCAAUUCCUUUUAACAAACUGAAAUGUAACAAAUUUUGUUACUACCUUGAAUAUGAGCUGAUGCAGUUGAUAAGAAAUUUUGAUUGCAUUGGUUUUUUGUCAUGGAUGCUCUCUCGUUGCUUUUAACUUAUCUGAAAUUUUGAUACCUAUUUCUAUGCCAAAUUUUGCAGGUCGAAAUUCAGCCAUAUAUACUUGUAUUGCAAUCCGGGAUGUGUCUAAGCUGGAAGUAACCCAAGUGCCUAAGUAGGAUUAGGCUGGUCUCACGAGCUGAAUCAUAACUUUUUCUUGCUCCGAGGAGCCCCGACCUCUCGAGUUUCAAGUCUAACAUGGAUAGUCUGGUGAAAUCCGACGAGCGGAAUCAGAGCUUUUUCUUGCUCCGACGAGCCCCGACCUCUUGUGAUAACCCAAGUGCCUAAGCGAGGAUUGGAGAAAUUCAAUUUAUAAGAAGAGAAAUGAGGGCAUAUGAAGUUUGGAAGUAAAUUUUCAACCCUAAGGCCAUUUCCAAAUGAGGGCUGGUCAGAGGGCUCGUUUUAGCUAUCUGGCUCUCCAAGAUCUUCCAAGAUAUUAAUAUUUUAAUGAACAGUACAUGGCCAUAUUUGCCUCCGUCUCCAACCAAGGGCUAGAUGGCCAGAUGGCUCGUUUUAGCCAUGUCACAAAAAACCGUCUCCAACCGAUGUUCAAAGGGCCAUAAGGCCAAAUAUAAUUUAUUUUUUAAAAACUACAACUUAAAUUCAAAUCCAACGGCUAAGAAUUUAAAAUAAAAUGAAACAAAUUUUGUGAAAUAGAAGUUAUAGGAAAAAAUGGAAUUUUAAAAAAAUAUGAAACAAAUUUUGUAAAAUAAAAGUUAUAGGAAAAAAUAGAAGUUAAAUGAAAAAUUUUGUAAAUAAAAAUAAUAAUAAAACUGUAAAAAACAAAUCAAAUGCAAUGGCUAGUCAGCUAGCCGUUGCAUUUGAAUUUUUUAUUAAGAAUUGUUGUCGGUUAGGUUGCAUUUAUAUUAUUUAGUAUAAAUGUAUUACUGUCGGUUAUAACCGACAGUAAUACAUUUAUAUUAAGUAAUAGAAUGUAUUCCUAUCGGUUUUAAUCGACAGGAAAUCCGACACAUUUAAAAAAAUUCUGGCCAGCCCGGGGUUGGCUGGUUGGUUGGAAGUGGCUAGCCCUCUAGGCCUUUGGCCCUUUCGGAUUCCGUGGGGCCCUCUCAGAUUCCACAGCUCUCUGUCCUAGCCCUAGGUUAGAGACAGUUUUCGGGCUAUUUUCGACCCUCUGGACCUUUCAAUUGGAGAUGGCUUAAGUAGGAUAGAUGAAACUCCAAAUUAGAGGACAAAAGCUAUAGACAACCUAAUGGAUGGGAUAGGACGUGUAAGUAAGGUGUCAUUUUCUCAUAUAUAUUUCAAUGUGUAGUCACCAUCUAGGUGACAGGAGGCAUAGAUUUGACAACGAGAACGAAAAAAGAAAGCUUCGAAAAACACAUGUUCCAAAGUUGGAGAUAUGAAAUAUGUUGAGCCCAAGUAAUGACACACCAAUAUGUAUAUAUGGGUGUGUAUAGAGAUAUAUAUAAAGGUACGAAAAAGUGUGCAGAUAUACUCAUGUUGGUGAGCAAAGAUGUCCACAUGUGUGUGUGUGUGUGUAAGUGUCGGUGAGCCUAUAUGUGCAAACUAGGCGUGCAGAUAAAGCACACUAUGUGCAGGUGAACACCCAAGCUUUUGAGCCACACGUGUAUAUAUAUGUGUGUGUGUGUGUGUGUGUGUGUGUGUGUAUAGAUGCAGACAUGCAGGCUAGGUGUGCAGCUAUGUGUGAGGAGGAAACGGCAUUAUGGAUUGUAUGUGUGAGUAGGAAACAGUAUUAUGGAUCGUAUGUGUGAGAAGGAAACAAACUAGGUGUGCAGACAAGAUGGGAUAGAUAUUGUGCAGGUGAACACCCAAGCUUUUGAGCCACACGUGUAUAUAUAUGUGUGUGUGUGUGUGUGUGUGUGUGUGUGUGUAGAUGCAGACAUGCAGGCUAGGUGUGCAGCUAUGUGUGAAGAGGAAACGGCAUUAUGGAUUGUAUGUGUGAGUAGGAAACAGUAUUAUGGAUCGUAUGUGUGAGAAGGAAACAAACUAGGUGUGCAGACAAGAUGGGAUAGAUAUUUAUACAAUAAACAUAUAUACGUAUAUGUAUGUGUAUGUGUCAGUCAACUUUCCCACAUCCUCAUUCGUGAGCCAUACGAAAGUAUCAGUCCACUUUUGUAAAUCCUCGUUCGUAAAUCAUACGAAGGUGUCAACUUUCAACUUUUGUAGAUCGUGUCAGUCCACUUUCGUAAAUCCUAGUUUGUAAGUCAUACGAAAAUGUCAAUCCAUUUUCUUAAAUCAUAUGUCAGUCCACUUCGUAAAUCCUCGUUCGUAAAUCAUACAAAGGUGUUCAAUACACUUUCGUAAAAUCUUCAUUCGUAAGUCACAUGAAAGUGUCAGUCCACUUUCGUAAAUCAUACGAAGGUGUUCAGUCCACUUUAGUAAAUCCUUGUUCGUAAGUCACACGAAAGUGUCAAUCCACUUUUGCAAAUCCUCAUUCGUAAAUCAUGCGAAAGUGUCAAUCCACUUUUGCAAAUCCUCAUUCGUAAAUCAUGCGAAAGUGUCAAUCCACUUUCGUAAAUCCUCGUUCGUAAGUCACACGAUAGUGUCAGUCCACUUUCUUAAAUAAUAUAUUAGUCCACUUUCACAACAAGGUGUCAACCCUAAAUCAUAUCAGUCCACUUCGUAAACCGUAGUAAGAUGUCAGUUGGCGUUCAUAAAGCAUGUGAAGAUGUCUAUUGGCCUUAACAAGUUAUGCGGCGUCGUAAAUUAUGGUUUAGGCGUCAGUAAAUUUGGCCUUUGGAAAAAAUAACUUUCACAAAUUUGGCCUUAGCAAGAAGUGAUUUUAGUAAAGAAUAUAGUUUCAAGGCCUCAUGAUUGAAAAACUCAGUUUUCCCCUAUUUUACAUACGGAAAAAAGGGGAAAAUGGGGCACUGUGGGAGGAUAAAAUCUGGUUUCGACUCAUGAGCCAAUACGAAUCGUCCAAGGAGAAGGUAUUGUGCAAGAUAAACUGUGAGGAAAGCCCACAUGAAAUAUACAGACGCAAGGGAAACAUGUCCAGAUAACUACCCCUACAGACGCAAGGGAAACGUGUCUAGAUCACUACCCCCUACAGACGCAAGGGGCACGUGCCUAGAUAACUGCCACCACUACGGAUGAGAAGUGAGAGAGGAAGACAGGUCGUGGUACUUGUUCCCAAAGCAUGCAGUCAUAUGAUGGAGGACCACGAAGGAAGUGGGAAAGGAGGACAGGUCAUGGUACUUGAUCCUCAAUCAUGUAAUCCUAUAAAUAAGGAAAUGAGCCAAAGAACAAGGUAUGUAAGGAGAACCCGAGAGAAACAGAGAAUAGAAAAUCAAUUAACUGACUUAAGUGUCGGAGUAUCUCUUGCAGGUACCCCGCCCAGGCAAGCUACGGAGGAAGACUAUUCGGGGACACCUCUAACGAAACAUUCAGCGAACAUGAGAAUUGCGGUCAACAAAUCUGUGGAGGUAUUUCUUCCCGUAGGAAAUUUCGCUCCAACAGUAACCUGCUUAGAAAUAUUUAACCUGCUCAAAUGCAUGUAGUAUUUACAAAUUAAUUUUCAUGUAGUAUUUACAAAUUAAUUUUCGAAGCAAACUAAGUUGUAAAUAUAUGUUCACAAUGAUACCUACCAACAAACUAGAUCACCCGCCCGUACCUAGAGUGAUUCUGAAGAAUUUAAAAAAAAAACAAAAAAUACCAUUGGAAUGUCGAUGAACGAUCACUAAACCCUAAAAUUAUUUUUCGUGUAGUUCAAAAAUCACAAUAAUUUUGAUAAAAAUAACAUACCAACAAUCAAAUUCACACACUACAUACAAAUUUUAAGAUAAGAAAUAGCAAACAUACCUCCACAAGAAUUUCAGGUGAUGGAGAUGCAGAGAGAUUUGGGGAAGAUGGAGAGGAAGAGAUGGAGACCAAGAUGACUUCUCUAGCCACCAAAAUAUUAUGAAAAUAAAAAGACUUCUAGGUUUUUAACGUGCAAACCUAGAAAAAAUUAGUGAUGGCAAUUUUGAUGUUUUUUCCAAGUGUAAUGACAUUUUAGACUUUGCAAAUUAAAAAAUAGGGAUAAUUCGGGAAUUAAAAAAAAUUCAUUAAAGGGAGCAAAGUGCUUCCCUUGUUUUCUCUGUGUAGCAAUUUUAGGAGGAAGCACCUAGGAGGUGCUUCUUAGAAAAUGCUUAUUAGUGCUUCUACUUUUAACUAAAAGCACUUUUAAAAUAUUGCCAAACGACCAUUUUUUAUAACUAAAGCACUUUUACUCAUUAGGAAGCGCUUUUUACUCUUUCAAUGUGCUACUCUUCAAAGCACUAUUACUCAAUAGCGCUUUUUGUUUGUAGCACUUUUCAAUAGCGCUUCUAUGAGGAAGUAGUUUGUUGUUUGGCAUGCAACCAACUAAGCGCUUUUGUAUUGGAUAGAAGCGUUUUUUAUAUUAAAUAGUGUGUUUGAUUGUCAAAUGUGUUUGUAUCAUACUUGACCAAUCCCGAAACUACUGAGCACCGGUCAACGUUAUACCGUCAAGGACCCAUAAGAGUUUCCCUCCAACCAGGAGACCAAUCACAGCGCGACACGUGUCGACAUCAGAAGCCAAUUAUAGCGCAACACGUGUUAACAUCAGAAGCCAAUCACAACACAACACGUGUCAAUGUUAGAAUGAAACUAGAGGAGAGCUUGAACUUAUGUACUUGUGUAAACCCUUCACAAUUAAUGAGAACUCCUCUACUCCGUGGACGUAGCCAAUCUGGGUGAACCACGUACAUCUUGUGUUUGCUUCCCUGUCUCUAUCCAUUUACAUACUUAUCCACACUAGUGACCGGAGCAAUCUAGCGAAGGUCACAAACUUAACACUUUCUGUUAUACCAAAGUCCUCACUGAUUUUGUGCAUCAACAAAAUGAAAAGGCGCUUUCAUUAAUAAUUCUCAAUAAUUUUUGCAUAAGUAUUUUUUGUAUAUAAUUAGCAUACAACUUGAUUAAGGGUUGAUGAAAAUUCAAUUACAAAAAACAACGAUCACUAACAAAAUGAUACAUACUUAUUAAGAAUAUAUGUUUGUUUCUUAAAAACAAAAUGACACGUUAUAGUUGCAUGACAAUCAAAUGUGAAAUAAGCAUUAACUAGAUAUAAGAAGAUUAGCAAUCCUUUUUUCGUUCAACAUCCAUCUCUCGCCUAUGAGUAAAAUUUUUAUCAACAAUUUCUUCAUCUUUAUGAUCUUCCUCAUGUCUAGGCGGAAGUAGCUCAUCAUCAUCAUCAUAAGGUUGGAACUCUUGAUUUGUCAUGGAAUGCUUCCUAAUAAAAUUGUGUAAGGUCAUUGAAGCAACAACAAUUUGUACCUGUUUUUCAAAAGGGAAGUUACGCAUGAGACGAAUCAUUGUCCAUCUAUUUUUCCAAACACCAAAAGUUCUUUCUAUUGUGCAUCUUAGGGAUGAAUGCCUCUGAUUAAAUAUCUCUUUUUUCCCUCUUGGCUGACUCCCACGUCGAAAUUCAGGAAGAUGAUAUCGUUCAUCGCUAUAAGGUCCAAUAUAUCCAUUCAUAUGUGGAUAUCCAAGAUCAACUAAAUAAUAUUUGCCUACACCAUAAUUGAAAAGAAAAAUAUAAAGAUUUUUGUGUUCAUAAGAUAAUAAAUAAAUAAACACAUUCAUAUAGGACUAAGGUUGAUUACUAACCAGAAGGGAGAUAAGGAAAUUUCAAUUCUGGUCUUCUCAAGGCCUCCAUGAAUAUACGUGAAUCAUGAGCAACACCCUCCCAUCCAACCCAGACAAAUGUAAAACACAUAUUAAAAUCACAUACAACCAUAACAUUGAGUUGUAUUUCCUUUUCUACCUAUUUAUGGCACUUGCAUUUCUCUAGGCACAACUGGGACAUGUGUUCCGUCAAUUGCCCCUAUGCAACCUUUAAAAUAUGGCCAAUACCGAUUGUCAUCCUUAAUUUUAUUUGAUACUCUCUUGAAUUGCCGAUCAUGUGGACAUAUAAUAUCAGUAGCCAUGUGAGAAACAACAUCUAAUAGUAUCCCAAACCACCUAGAAACAGUCUUUCCAGAGCGUUGAAACCUCUCUUGGACCAUCCUAUUAGUGUGCCCAUGAACUAAUGUGCUAAGAAACAUUGCUAAUGCUUCUUCCAGUGUUGUAUCUCCAAUUCUUUUUAAGCCAUAAUCACGCUUCAAAGUCUCUAACAAGUCCUUAAAAACAUGUUCCAUCCUAAAUUGUUCAUGGCAUCUUAUAGGAUGACCAUUUAAAACUUCCAUUACCCAUCUAUAUCCCAUAUACGAAGAAGUCCUACAAGAUUCUUUGUCAACUUACUUUAACCAUUCAGAGACAGCCGUGACACAGCUUGCAGAAACCAGUUGAUAAAAUUCAUCAUCACUUCCAUCAGUAGAGUUGUUUGUAUUGCUACUGUCAUUGCUACUAGAACUCAUAUUUGUAAACAUAAAAGAAAAAUUUAAUACAAGAGGAAUAUAUAAUCAUGGCAAAAAUAAAGAUCACAUUCUGAAUAAAGUUCUAAAAAAUUAUAUAAUUAAAGAUAUUAAAGGCACAUAUGUGUAACCAAUCCAUUACAUAAUAAAACCAAUUCAUUACAUAAUAAAUACUUAUUCAACCACCAAAAAAAAAAUCGAAAAAUAUAAUCCUAAGAUAAAUGUGACGAAUCAAAUUUUCUUGCUCUUGAGCCACAUGAUUUGUCGGUUAGAUUGCUUCAAUGCAACAAACAUCUCUCUAUUUUUCUUUCAGUGAAGAUAUCAGCCGCUUUCAUAAAGAGCUCAUCAUCAUUCACAACUUCAUGCAUUCCUUCCAAAACUUGCAUCACUUCCUCAAUGCUAUAACCAGGCUUAUCUGUGCUCUUAGAACAAUUGUUUACAACUUCUAAAAUACCAUCUAAUUGUUUUAUCAUCUUGGCCCCAAUUCCAACUCUUUUGGAAUCUCUUGUUCUUUUUGCCCCUUCAUCGGCUAUGUUGUCAAGCCCCUAUCUAUGUCAUUCUCCAAAUCAUCUUGACCGUCAUUUUGUUCGCCUGUUGGAGCUUUCUGGACAUUAUUACUCAUCAACCCUUGUGAGGGUGCCCAUGCACCUACACAUGUAACAGCUCAUUCUUUAAACAAAAUGUCUAGUUAGUCAACAUUUUUCAGUCCACUAUUUCAAUAUUUCUCAACUUUAGAAUUCUCCUGAAAUAUGACCAACUACAAUUAACAAAUUAUGAUAAAAGAACAUAAAUAUGAAGUUAGAUUUCCAUGGAUAUGAGAUAAUAAUUUCUCACCUUCACUUUUUUCUCCCACCAUUCAUCACUUGCAAUGAUAGUUUGCUUCACAAGAUCCCAUCCUAAGCCAGUCUCUUUUCCAACUAAUGAUGCCCACAAUUGCCAUUCUUUCUUAAGUGCAGUCCAUUUGUUCUUGAGUUGUUUAUGAACAUAUGACCUUUGAGUAAGGUCAUUAAAUUUUUUAAUAACAUUUUCCCAUCCAAUUCUAUUAAGAUGACCACCUAUUUGAUUUCCGGCUAAUGUCUCAGCUACACAAACACUUAUAAAUAUCCCAACACUUGCAUCAUCCCACAUUGCCUUGCUCUUUUUUUCGUUACCUUCUCCAUGAUCUUGUAUAUCUUUAGCUAUAUUAUUAGACAUAUCUAUAAAGAGAAGUGGAAAAAAAAAAAACCAUAGCACAUAAUAAGAGCAUACACCACUACUUACGUCCUAGCUAACAACACAAAAGUAAAUUAAAAGCAAUAAUGCAAGAUUUGUAACUAGUAUUUGUUAUAUAUAAUAAUGCACUACACCGUUGCUUCCAAGACUGCAGUGCGCCACUGCUUACACCAUUGCUAACACCACUGAAUAUGUAUCUAGUAUUUGUAUAGAUAAUGCAUGAUAUGUAACCAUUAACAAUAAAUUCAUAGUGUUGCUUUCUGUUAUCAUUGGAAGUUAAUUUGCUAUUAGUAGUAUCUACAAUCGUUAAUGCGGCAUCAAAUCUCGACAGCAAUACAAGCCUUCAAACAUGAAGGCCUUUGAGUAACUGUGGGAGGAUAAAAUCGGGUUUCAACUUAUAAGCCAAUACCAAUCAUCCAAGGAGAAGGUGUUGUGCAAGAUAAACUAUGAGGAAAGCCCACAAGAAAUAUACAAACACAAGGGAAACGUGUCUAGAUAACUACCCCCUACAGAGGCAAGGGGAAUGUGCCUAGAUAACUACCCCCACUACGGAGGAGAAGUGGGAGAGGAAGACAGGUCAUGGUACUUGUUUCCAAAGCAUGCAAUCAUAUGACGGAGGACCACAAAAGAAGUGGGAAAUGAGGACAGGUCGUGGUACUUGAUCCUUAAUCAUGCAAUCCUAUCAAUUGACUGACUUGAGCGUAGGAGUAUCUCUUGCAGGUACCCUGCCUAGGCAAGCUAUGGAGGAAGACUAUUUAGGGACACCUCUAACGAAGGAUUCGACGAAUGUAAGGAUUGUGGUCAACAAAUCUGUGGAGGUAUUUUUCUAGUAGGAAAUUUCGCUCCAACAGUUGGCGCUGUCUGCAGGAACCGAAACAAAAUCAAGCUACAAACAUGACUAGAUCCACACAAGAAGUUCCAGAUGCCUCUAGAGAUGCAGGGACUCGAUCCGUGCAUGCGAGGUCUCAAUCCCAAAAUAGUGAACCGAGUCUCGCCAUGGAACAAUUUAGAAAGCUAACAAGGGAAUUGCCUAAAAUAAAAAAAGACAACAGAUGAGGCGUUAAAGAAGGCUAAAGCGAGAAACAUAGUGGAAGAUGUGAUCGGCACCAAGAGAUAGUGUGCAGAAGAUGAAGAUAAGGAGGGUAGCUCUAGUAGCGCGUCAUCCAGCAAUUGUGAUGAAGUGGUGAAAAAUCAGGGCGAAGAAGAUCAUAAGGGAAAAGGAUCGAAAAAAGUAAAAGAUGUUGAUCUAUAAGAACAAAUUGAGAAGAUUGUGAAGGGAUACAAACCACAGACCCCAGUGAAACUUGCCUUAGAAACGGCCAGAAAGAUCCACAAAUCACCGUUCACAAAGGACUUAAAGCAAUAAUAGGAAACAUCGGGGCGGAUGAAAGGUUGUUGGAUAUCAAUGUCAUACAUGGUGGACCUCAACCUCCUAAGGGACACGAAGCACGCUCUCGAUCGUAAAGUCGAGAAGCUGAGAAGUCUAGACGCGUGCAUAGCAUAACAUCAACCCCUGAAGCGUCCAAAGCAUUAGAGAAUUUCGGAGUCAUCUCCUUUAGCCAAAAAGACCUCGAAGGAAUUUAAUUCCCUCACAAUGAUGCACUGGUCGUGACGUUACGCGUUGCCAAUUCAAGAGUGAAAAAGAUAAUGAUUGAUGGGGGGAACAGCACAUACGUUUUAUUUUGGAGCACAUUUAGAAUGAUGGAAUUAAACGAGAAAGAGAUAAGGCUGAAUCCAACUCCCAUCUGUGCGUUUGAAGGAACUAAAGCCCAGCCCAUUUGAGACGUGACUCUUCCCGUCACUGCAGCAGGUAAGACUAUUUUCGUCACUUUUGUCAUCAUCAACGCACCAAGUACGUAUAAUGCCAUUAUGGGAAGGGACUGGAUCCAUCAAAUGGAUGGGGAAGCGUCAACCAUAUGUCAAGUAAUGAGGUGUUUGUCGACGGAUGGUCAAACAACAAUCGACAUUAAAGGGGAUCAGCUGGAGGCCAGAAAGUGCUACAGCAUGGCAACAAACAUCAAGAUAACCAGGGAAGUACAACAGAGCUUGGACUUUCAUGAGAAUAAACCAUUAUAGCAAUUAGCGGAGGACCCACCACAACAAGAUCAGAAAAGUGACCAUCAAUGACACACCCCGUCCCGAAGGAGGGCAUGCUGGCCGUCACGCGAGAGUGACGUAACCAUUUGCACAGUACGGAAGCUUUUAAAUACAAUUUACAAGUUGAUACACCCGAAGGUGAGUCCUAAUUUUGUCCAAUCUGUCAGAACACCGUCAAAUUCCUCGUAGUCACCACACCUUUGUGAUUCCUGAACCUGGAGGGGCGCAAAACCAAAAUUGAGUGGGUCAGUAAAACAAUUCUUUUCCAAAUCUAAACAUUUCUCAAAACGUUGUAACCCCUCUCCGUAAAACCUGUAUACUUUCCCAGAAAUAUAAAAUAUAAAUAUACAUAUAUAUAUUCUCAAUACUUCAAUUCAUUAACUCAACAUUUUCAUCAUAAUUAUGCCAUGCCACAUCAUCUCAACAUUUCUCAUAUUAAUUAUGCCAUGCCACAUCAUCUCAACAGUAAUAAGGUAUGAAUGCAUCAACAUAAAUCAUAUCAGGUGCAAUAAGAUAAUCAACCGGAGGCCCUCUAUUAGCCCGGUUGAACCUAGAGCUCAAAAUCUAUCACUCUCACACUCUGCCGGAGUCACUCCGCGUGACCUGUACGGCCUUCUGCACACAAGUUACGCUCUAGUGCUUCUCAUAAAUCAUCUGUGCACAUAAUCUAAGGUCACCCACCAGUCGGAAUCUCACUAACACUCUCGCGACUGGCCUGUCGUACCCACUCCGCGUGGACUGUACGACUAGCAUCUACUUGGAUCCAAGACGAGCGUGCGAUGCGGUGAAUACUAUAAGCACUAAACUAUGGUGCAGGAUUUGAGCUCAAUAUACAUCAACAUCAUCAUAACAAUAAUAAUACUCACCUGAUACUCACCUGUGCGUCCACCGCACCAUUUCAUAUAUAUGCAUCAUAUCUCAAUUCAUAUCAUUUCAUAUAAUUUCAUGCAUGGCAAUUCGAUUCACAUUUCUAUAUACUUUUCAUAUAAUUCUGUAUACUUUUCGCACACUUCUAUGCAUGGCAUUUCAACUAAUAUAUCUCAUAUACUUUUAUACAUUUUCAUUUAAAGCAUAAUUUCAUGCAUUUUCAAUUUCUGGGAAAACGGCAAGUAUAUAUGUAUAUGGAAAACAAAACUGCCCACUCACAGAAUACAUCAACGUGUCGAAGGUCCCUGAGCAUCCCUUGGCUAUGCCUGAUGCCCGCAUAAGCCUCACCUAUACAAAAGUAACCAAUUUGGCGUUAUUUAACGCCUAACCCAAUUCUUAGCUAAUAACUCCUCAUAUAUUCCUCAAAUUGGGUAUAUGAAUAUACCACUGUGACCUACACAACCUCAGGAUCAUCCCCAUAUUUUUAAAAUAAUUUUUGGAGGUUUCACGCGCCCCCACGCGCCUGACGUGGCACGGACCUACGCGCCCCCCACGCGCGGCCACGUGCCAUGCACACUGACGGCACAGUAACGGCAGUUAGGGAAUAUUCCGUUAAAUCCUAGCAUAUUCCGUUAAAUAAUUAACGGCGUCAGUCACGCCGUUAGCAUAUUCCGUCAAAACUGACGGAAUAUUCCCUGUCUUCUCCGACGACUGUUCGCCGGUUUCUGGAAAUUUUUCAAACUUGCUAUUCUCCUUCGUUUUUCAUCCAUUUUUCACGUAAUUUAUACCGAUUUGAAGCCCUAAUCAUAAGCUAUCACGAUGGACUAAUUUUAAGCUUCAAAAACAACGGAAUCAAACUUUCCAAAAAUAUGAAAAUUCGGCCUACCUUUGAACUAGGUGAUCCCGACGUCCAAUUCAUGCCAACGAAGCACUCCGAGCUUCCUUGGGACUUCCUUAAGCUCACUGUGAGCUUGGUUUGGCCUAAAACACAACCAAUUCAAAGCUCAUGAACAGUACACAUUCACGGCAACUUUAGAAACUAGGGUUUUCGAAGUGAAACUUACCUUAAACUGGUACCUACGUGAUCGUGGAGUCCUCAGGAAUGCAAUGGUGGUUUUAGAUCCGACUUUGGUAGAAGUUUUAGGGUGUUUUUGAAGUUGGUCCGUGAGUUCGAAGGAGAGAGAGACAGAGAGAGUGAGAAAUCGUGAAGGAGGAGAGAGAGAGAAUGACAAGGUACGGGAAUUGGGGAAGGUUUUGAGGGAUGUGGGGGUCCCCGUGUCCAACUCAAUCUCAAUUUCAAACUUUUAACAUAGAAACCUAAGUAAAAGUCUUGGCUUAGGUUUCUAAAACCAAUUAAUAUUCUAAUUCACCAAAGUUUAAGAACCUUAAGUAAAAACAAGUGUCCAAAUUACGCACUUUAGUCCCGUUUAGGGACAUUUUCGUAACUUCACGUCCUCGGAAUUAAAAUUCCGGGACGGACUGUGACAAUCAAGAACCCCCGACUAUAAAACCACUGAGGGAAUAGGUUUUAGAUUCAACCGAUCCUGAUAAACAAAAAUGGGUGGGCUUCCUUCUAUCUGAUACGGAAGUCGAAGAGUUGUUGAAAUUUCUUAGGAGCAACACUAAUGUUUUUGCAUGGUUCCAUAGGGACAUGACAGGAAUUGACCCGGAAGUGGCAUGUCACCAGCUGAAUGUGGAUCCGAGUUGUCCUCCACACCGACAAAAACAGAGGAGAUUUACGCUAGAGCGAAAUCAGAUUAUCAGUGUAGAAGUCGAUAGACCCCUCAAAGUUGGAUUCAUUCGUGAUGUCUGGUGCCCAACUUGGGUUUCAAAUGUCGUGGUGGUAGGCAAGAAAGAAAAAGGAAAAUGGCGUGUAUAUGUGGAUUACACCAACCUGAACAUGGUAUGCCAGAAAGACUGUUUUCCAAUUCCAAAAAUUGACCAGACGGUGGAUGCUACUGCCGGGUAUGCAUUGUUGUCUUUCUUAAACGCUUAUUCCAGUUCUAACCAAAUUCAUAUGGUUAUUAAAGAUCAAGAGAAAGCUGCUUUUAUCACUAAGCGUAUGUUGUAUUGUUACAUCGUCAUGCCUUUCGAACUCAAGAAUGCCAACUCGACUUAUCAAAGGUUAGUGAACAAGAUGUUUAAAAAUCAAAUUGGAAAUACAAUGGAGGUUUACAUUGACGAUAUGGUUGUCAAAAGCCGAGAAAGGUGCCAACACAUCGAUCAUCUACACAACAUUUUCAACGUAUUGAGAAGAUAUCGCAUGCAGCUAAACUCAGAAAAAUGUGCAUUCGGUGUAUCAUCUGGGCAGUUCUUAGGGCACAUAGUGAACAAACGAGGCAUUGAACCAAACCCAAUGAAAGUUGAAGCCUUGUGUAACAUGUCGGAUCUAAUAACACCUAGAGACAUUCAAGUGUUAACUAGGUGAGUUGUUGCCCUUAUCCGUUUCAUUUCACGAUCAUUCAAUCAAUGUGAACCUUUUUUUCAAGCCAUACAAAACAGGAGAGGAAGUGUGUGGGGGCAUGAGCAAAGGGAAGCUUUCAAACAACUGAAGAAGUAUCUCACAAGCCUAUUAUUGUUAACUAUCCCCAAGCAAAGUGAGCCGAUGUGCAUGUACCUGGCCGUAAACGAAAGGGUAGUAAGUGCUGCAUUAUUCAGAGAAGAAGGCUCAGUUCAACAACCCAUAUUUUACUUGAGCAAAAGUUUAAUUUAUGCAUAGAAGAGGUAUUCACCCAUUGAGAAGGUGAUGAUGGCCUUAAUAACCGCAAAGAAGAAGAUAUGUCAGUACUUCGAGGCAGACACCAUUGUGGUGUUAACUAAUCAACCAAUCAGGGCUAUCUUAUCUAAACUGGACUUAUUGGGAAGAAUUACGAAGUGGGCCAUUGAACUUAGUUCAUUUGACAUAAAGUAUCAGCCUCGAAGCACAACUAAAGAACAGGUAAUUGUUGACUUUCUUGUAGAGUGUUAUCCUCAUGAAAGUUUGCAGGGUGAAUGCGAGGAAAUUGCGGAAGUCGACCUUAAUGAGACCAAGUGGGAGCUGUAUGUGGAUGGGUCAUCCAAUCAAGCAGGAGCUGGAGCAGGGAUCAUUUUAAUUUCUUCUGAGGGUGUAGACUCAGAGCGUUCGGUUCGGCUGGAUUUUCCUGCAUCAACAAUGUGGUGGAAUAUGAAGCUCUGAUACUAAGCCUCAAACUUGCGAAACAAUUGAAGAUAAGUCGUCUCACCGUGCAUAAUGAUUCAUAACUUAUCGUUAGCCAAGCACUGAAGAGUAUACAACUAAAAAUGCGAGGAUAGAAGCAUAUCAGUAGCUGGUUAAAAGGCUGGCGAAUGGAUUCAAGUAUUUCGAGCUGAAGCAAAUACCUAGAAAAAUGAACGAAAAAAUGGAUCAACUAGCGUGUGCGGCGUUAGCCGUACAAGAGAACCUACGGGUAACCAAAGUAGAAUGUCUGUACUCCCUGAGUAUCGAGGUAGUGAGAUCAAAUGUGAUGCAGGUAGAUGGGCAAGGGGUGAGACUUGAUAACUCGUUGCUAGAGCAUGCUCAAGCUGAAGAUGAUGACUGUUAGAUGACACCAAUCAUAAACUACUUGACAAAAGGGAUCCAGCCAGAAAAUCAUGUGGAAGCGAGAAAACUCAAAAUAAAAACAGUAAGAUAUGCAAUCCUUAAUGACACGCUCUAUAGGAGGUCAUUCUCAGGACCAUGCCUAAGGUGCUUAAAUCCAAGGCAAUCUGAAUGGGUCUUAAGAGAAUUACAUAAAGGAAUGUGUGGGAAUCACUUUGAAGGAAGAAGUUUAGUGCAUCGAGCAUUAACCCAAGGCUACUUCUGGCCGUACAUGGCUUGAGACGCAGAGCAAUAUGUAAGAAAGUGCGACAAUUGCCAGAAAUAUGCACCGGUUGUUAGACAACCUGCCGAAUAAUUCAAUCCAAUCGUAGGACCCUGGCCAUUCAAUAAAUGAGGAAUGGACAUCGUAGGCCUGUUGCUAAGGACGUCCGGGAAUAACAGGUUUGUCUUUUUCGCCACAGACUACUUCACUAAGUGGGUGGAAGCAGAAACGUACAUUUCUAUUACACAAGAUGACGUUGUAAGAUUCGUAUGGCGAAACAUUAUAUGCUAGUUUGGCAUACCAAAGGCGAUUGUGAUGGAUAAUGGGACACAGUUCGACAAUCGAAGAUUUAGAAGUUAUUGCACAAAGAAAUGAAUCAUAUUACAAUUCUUUUCUAGAAGUUAUCCCCAUGGUAAUGGCCAAGUGGAGAAGACAAAUCGAACGAUUUCUUAUUGCUUAAAGAAAAAGUUAGAACAUCGCAAAGGAAAGUGGCAUGAGGAACUCCCCAAUGUAUUGUGGGCAUAUCGUACCACAAAAUGGAAACCAAUAAGAGAAAUCCCAUUCUCUCUCGAUUAUAACACUAAAGCAGUUAUCCCCACAGAAGUCGGUCUACCUACGAUUAGAACAUCAGUUGUGGAAAAUGGCCAGAACGAUCAACAGCUAGCCCAUAACCUUAACUUAGUCGAGGAACAAAGGGAAAUCGCCGCACUACGACUUGCGAACUACCAGAACCAAGUUGCCACUUACUUCAACAAAUGGGUCAAGUAAAAAAGGUUCAAGGUAAAUGAAUAGGUAUUGAGAAAGGUCAUGGAAAACACAAAAGAUUUGAAUGCAAUGGAGCUUAGACGCAUAUGGGAAUGACCAUAUGAGGUGACCGAAACCUUCGGAAAGGGAACUUAUAAACUCAGGCACGUUGAAACAGGUCAGUAUGUGUCACGCCCAUGGAAUGCAAUUCAUUUGAGAAAGUACCACAUUUAGCUUUUCGUGUUUAUGUUUUCUGUAUUUAAAUUUCUGUUUCCAGCAAUGUUGAAGGGUAAAUCCCUUCUUGUCUUCCUUGCAUGUCAAAUAGUGUAUCCCUAGAUGUCUCUUGACAUCUCCUUAUUGUAUGAUAAAUAAAGUUGCAUUUCAUUCAAAUCUUCGACUAAAGUCUAAAGUUGAAGAGCAUAAACCAUGGAUUGGGAUUGAAUCAAGAUCAAAAACAUAAGAUCGAGUGGGAAAAGAAAACCCAAGAUUGGAUAGGAGGAGUCCCAAUCAAGAUCGAGAAUCUAAGAUCGAGUGGGAAAAGAAAACCUAAGAGCGGAUGGGCGGAGACACAGUCAAGAUCGAGAAUUUAAGAUCGAGUGGGAAAAGAAAGCCCAAGAUUGAAUGGGCAAAUACCCAAUCAAGAUCAAAACUCUAAGAUCGAGUAGGAAAGGAAAGCCCAUGGGCAAAGACCCAAUCAAGAUCGAAAUCUAAGAUCGAGCGGGAAAAGAAAACAAAGAUCGAAUGAGCAAAGGUCUACCAAGAUCGAAAAUCUAAGAUCAAAUAGGUAAAAAACUGAUUAAGAGUAGAAUUCAAGGUUGAACGGUUUUGAGAUCGAUAACGAAAGGGCGAAUUUAAUAAAUCUGAUUUUCCUCCUCGAACACGUCGUGUGUUUGCAGAGGAAAAUGAGGCAUUACAUGUGCAAAAGUAAAAGCUCAAGCAAUGGGACAUUGUUUUCCUGCUAUAAAAGGGAAUAUCAUUUAUUUAAAAGAGGAAAACCUCUUGGAUGUUGGAUACAUAGUGCGAUAAAAGAUAAGAAUGAAAAAAGAAGUAAACCUACAAGUAGAAGGUGAAAACAAAGACAACAUCACUACUAGAUAUCCUAGUAGUGGUUGGACCAAAGGGCCCAACUUAUUACAAGCAAAAUGACAUCUAGUCUAACGAGGUGGAGAGACUAUCCCAGUUUACGAAGGGAAAUGCCUCUUUCUUCUUGGAGCAAAAAUAGUGAAUGCCCUAUUUAAAACCAUCAUGUAUGUCAUUUGAGUGAGCAACAGACACGGCACGAUCAGCAACCAUCAAAUCCCCCCUGAGACGAUCCACUCGGUGUUCAGCGUGUUGCAAGUAUCCCUUCAGAGUUUCACGCUCGUCCAAUAGCAAGGAAUAGUCGAAGCACUGGGGAUAGCAUAGGUGGAGACAGGAAUGUACGCGAGAAGCGCCCGCUUCAUCUCUUGCAUAAGGGUAAGGAGAAUGAGCGAUAGAGUCAAAAGCCCAAGUCGCGUAACUCCUUCCCGAAGAGACCAUUCUAUCAAUAACAUAAUUAUGAGCUCGAGUGGUAUAUUUCAGCCUUGGAGAAAUCCUUCCACCGACAACGAAGUCUAAAGCCUAUUUUCCACCCGACCUUGUUCGAGACCGGUACGUGGAUUCACAAAAAGUGUUAAGGACUUCAGAAGAGUGAGAAACCCUCAUUGGCGAACGAGAAGAUGAAUUAUAACAUAGCUCGAUAACAUUCCUAUAACCCUUCCGGGAGCUUCCUUUUUUUGGGACAUCAGCAUAGAGCCGGUAGUUGAGCUUCACUCUUCGAUUGUUAACCAUAUGAUCCAGAUACUACCUACUGGCUCUCAAACACCGCUUUAUAUAUAGACAAUUCGAGGUUGCUAGAAAUAAGAAUUCAAAAUCUAAGAUGAUCGUAUCUUAUUGUGAUAAGUUAAUCUCUCGUUUGAAAACUCAAAUUUAAGGAUAAAUGAUAUUGAUCACAUUCAGUUAAAAUUGAAAAUCAAAAGAAACAGCUAUAAAGGGUUGGGGCAAUGGAAGGGCGAAUGCCCAACUUGCGAACGACAAUUACGCAAAAAUACAAACAAAUAUAAUAAGUAAAAUACGGUAAAUACAAACACAAAUGGGGUUUUAGCCCAUGAGAAUAGAUCACAAACACAAAUAGGGUUUUAGCCCAUAAGAAUAGAUCACGCGAUUGCAUGAGUUACUGAGCGCCAAAACAAGAGCCGAAUUGAAAGCCUCCAAAGCCUAAACCCGCUGCUUAGGAUAGGAUCAGAAGAAGCAGGCUGGUUUGAGGGUCUCCGAUCCUUAGGAUCCAUCCCCUCGUACCACUUAUACACGUCAAAAUCAGCUACAAAUCGAUGUUUCGGACAUUGCUGGCUUUGUACCCAACUAAAUCUGAAGCUAGAGGCCAUCUUUUUGCGUAUUUGUUGCAUGUUCAUCUCACGCUUAGUGGCCCUCGCUUGCUUGACCUCAACCAACUCUUCUUUCGUGCAGCGUACUUCAGACGUCACAACAUCGCGAGCUCCCUUCAAACCUGAGAUCUCUUCCUCAUAUUCGUAAAGUCUAGCCUGACACUUUCUGACCUGCUACUGUUUAAGGCUGAGGGAUUCCAACCUAGCAGCCAGUCUAUCUGAUUUUUCCCUUUGAAGUAGAGCCAUCUGAAAACAACGGUAGGGUUAAAGGUUACAAAAAUGAUGAAACAUGAGAGAAUGAGAGAAUACCUUCAUAAGACAAUGAGAUUCAUAGGAGUCGACAUCGUCAUCGAGCAUUACCUCAAAGCGACUGGCAUCAUUAAGAUGAGUAAGCCUCUCACCACAGCAGUAGUGGCGUUUGCAUUACCCCAUAGAUCAUCGCCAAGGGUGACGAAACUCCCAUCUCUUUUUGUGAAUUCAGGCCUCCAAGCUUAAGAUGAAUUGUUGGAACCAUCGCCACUAGCCGAGCCGAAUGUGGGAGGAACCGAUUGCCAUUGCAUGGGUCUAAGGGUUGUGCCAAAGAUAGUCGGUGAACCACGCCUAGGCUUUUUGGGCCUAUCCGCCAGAGGACGUUUAUCUGACCUGCCUGCAAUUCUGGGCACUGGAAGAUCACGAUGAGGCGAUGCAAUGCAGCGGGGCAGUGGAAUGUUAGAAGGUGGUGAAGCCAUCAUGGGAGAAUAAUUCGAGUCAGAAUCUGUGUCUGUUUGCCCUGUCUCCUCAUCUUCUUCUCCUUUGUCUCCUUCUUCUAAGCCCUCUGUUUGGGAGUCGGUCAUAAGUAUGGGAGAGUCUAUGUUAAAUUGAAGCUCAAUAUCAAGAACAAAGAUAGAUUUAAGCAAGGGAUCUGGGGGCAACGACCGAUCGACUAAGCAAUACGGGAAGUAAAUGACAGAGUUGUGGAAAGAAAUGAUUUGAGUAAGAGUGCUGGCAACUUCUCUAGAGCUCCAUAUUUUCUUCGUCAUAAACUUCUUUAGCCAACACUUUUGACCUUUGGAGAUUAUUUGUUCGGGACCAUCCGAUAAAGCUGCAAAAGAAACUCAUGGUAAGUUAUGUUUACAUAUUUGUUGAAAAACUGAUAGCAAAAGUAAAUUUAUAUACCAGGUUUAGGACCAAAAGUAGAAUAGAUAAAUAGUUGAGACAGCUCGGGAGCCUUCCAGUUCCCCAAAAUCAGAAGAAGGUGGUUCUUCCAAUCUCUGUCUUUCGAGGGAUCCAAUGACAAGAAUUUCUUGCAAUACCUAGAUUUAAAAUUAAAGAAACUAGUUUCGCCCUUAAUGGUGGUUAAGUCGAAGAGAUAGAGGAAGUCUUUCAAACCUAAGGAUACGCCUAGCUUCAGACCCAAUGCCAGGAAGGUCGACAUAACCAAGUAAGAGUUCGGGUUCAGUUGCAUAGGGUGAGUAUUUGUGAAGAAUAAGAUGAGAUGAAUCAUGGGGUGGAGUGGAAAACUAAUGGUCCCCAAAUGGUCUAGAGACAAACGGUAGAUUGAAUUGGGAUACCGGAGCCCGAGUACAUGUCGGCUCCGGUGGGAAGUGGGCUGAUGUGCAUGUCAUCUGGAACGUGGCAUUGGUCACUAACCUUGACGAUUUCAAAGUGUGGUGAUACUCCAUAUUUAGACCAAUGUGUACGUCCUAACAUGAGGAACGGGAUGGGAGACUUGCCGGCCAAAAUUGAUUCGAGAAGACAAGAAGAGGAAUUUGUACCUAUAAACAUAAGUGGAAUGUUUGAAAGAUUCCCACAAGAGGAGUUUGAAAUGGAAAAAUUACUUGUAAGCCAAUAGGCCAAUCUGAAACGAGAAAUCAUAAACUUGGUGGAGAACUGAGCAAAUGAAGUGAAGAAAAGCAAGGAUUGGAGAAAUUCAAUUUAUAAGAAGAGAAAUGAGGGCAGUUUGGAUGUAAAUUUCCAACCCUAUAGGAUAGAUGAAACUCCAAUUUAGAGGACAAAAGCUAUAGACAACCUGAUGGAUGGGAUAGGACGUGAAAGUAAGGUGUCAUUUUCUCAUAUAUAUUUCAAUGUGUAGUCACCAUCUAGGUGACGGGAGACGUAGAUUUGACAACGAGAGCGAAAGAAAAAAGCUUGUUCCGAAGCACAUGUUCCAAAGUUAGAGAUAUGAAAUAUGUUGAGCCCAAGUAAUUACACACUAAUAUGUAUAUAUGUGUGUGUAUAGAGAGAGAGAGAAAGAGAGAGAGGGAGAUAUAUAUAUAAAGGUACGAAAAAGUGUGUACAGAGAUACGCAUGUUGGUGAGCAAAGAUAUGCACAUGCGUAUGUGUGUGUAAAUGUCGGUCGGUGAGCCUAUAUGUGCAAACUAGGCGUGCAGAUAAAACACACUAUGUGCAGGUGAACAGCCAGGCUUUGGAGCCACACAUAUAUACAUAUACAUAUACAUAUACUUAUACAUAUACAUAUAUAUGUGUGCAAACUAGGCGUCCAGAUAUGUGUGUAUACAUAUACAUAUACACAUAUAUAUAUAUAUGCGCGAGCGCACAUAUACAUAUAUAUAUACGUAUACAUAUACAUAUAUAUAUAUAUAUGUACAAACUAGGCGUUCAGAUAUAUGUGUACACAUAUACAUAUACAUAUAUACAUACACACAUAUAUAUACGUACAAACUAGGCGUCCAGAUAUGUGUGUACACAUAUACAUACACACACAUAUAUAAUAGGCGUCCAGAUAUGUGUGUACACAUAUACAUACACACAUAUACAUACACACACAUAUAUAUAUAUGCGCACGCGCGCGCGUGUGUAGAUAUAUAUGUGCAAACUAGGCGUGCAGAUAAAGCACACUAUGUGCAGGUGAACAACCAAGCUUUGGAGCCACACGUGUGUAUAUAUAUAUAUAUGUGUGUGUGUGUGUGUAGAUGCAGACAUGCAGGCUAGGUGUGCAGCUAUGUGUGAGGAGGAAACAGCAUUGUGGAUCGUACGUGUGAGAAGGAAACAAACUAGGUGUGCAGACAAGAUGGGAUAGAAAUUUAUAUAAUAAAUAUACAUAAAUAUAUGUAUGUCAGUCAAUUUUCGUAAAUCCUCAUUCGUGAGCCAAACAAAAGUGUCAGUCCACUUUCCUAAAUCCUUGUUCGUAAAUCAUACAAAGGUGUCAACUUUCAACUUUUGUAGAUCAUGUCAGUCCAUAAAUCCUCGUUCGUAAGUCAUACGAAAGUGUCAGUCCAUUUUCUUAAAUCAUAUGUUAGUCCACUUUCGUAAAUCCUCAUUCGUAAGUCACACGAAAGUGGUCCACUUUCGUAAAUCCACGUUCGUAAAUCAUACGAAUGUGUUCAGUCCACUUUCAUAAAUCCUCAUUCGUAAGUCACACGAAAGUGUUGGUCCACUUUCUUAAAUCAUAUAUUAGUCCACUUUCGCAACAAGGUGUCAACCCUCGUUCGUAAAUCAUAUUAGUCCACUUUCGUAAACCGUGGUAAGAUGUCAAUUGGCGUUCAUAAAGCAUGCAAAGAUCUCUGUCGGCCUUAACAAGUUAUGCAGCGGUCGUAAAUUAUGGUUUAGGCGUCAGUAAAUUUGGCCUUUGGAAAAAAUAACUUCUACAAAUUUGGCCUUAGCAAGAAAUGAUUUUAGCUUGGCUUAAAGAAUAUAGUUUCAAGGCCUCAUGAUCGAAAAAAUCAGUUUUCCCCUAUUUUACAUACGGUAAAAAAAAAGGAAAAGGGGGGCAUUGUGGGAGGAUAAAAUUCGGUUUCGACUCAUGGGCCAAUACCAAUCAUCUAAGGAGAAGGUGUUGUGCAAGAUAAACUGUGAGGAAAGCCCACAAGAAAAAUACAAACGCAAGGGAAACAUGUCUAGAUAACUACCCCUACAGACGCAAGGGAAAUGUGUCUAGAUAACUACCCCUACAGACGCAAGAGGAACGUGCCUAGAUAACUGCUCCCACUACGGAGGAGAAGUGGGAGAGGAAGAUAGGUGCCAAAGAACAAGGGACGUAAGGAGAACUCGAGAGAAACCAGAGAAUAGAAAAUCAAUUGCCUAACUUGACCGUCGGAGUAUCUCUUGCAACCCCACCCAGGCAAGCUAUGGAGGAAGACUAUUCGAGGACACCUCUAACGAAGGAUUCGGCGAACGUGAGGAUUGCGGACAACAAAUCUGUGGAGGUAUUUCUUCCCGUAGGAAAUUUCGCUCUAACAAUAACCUGAUUAGAAAUAUUUAACUUGCUCAAAUGCAUGUAGUAUUUACAAAUUAAUUUUCAUGUAGUAUUUACAAAUUAAUUUUCGAAGCAAACUAAGUUGUAAAUAUAUGUUCACAAUGAUACCUAGCAACAAACUAGAUCACCCGCCCGUACCUAGAGUGACUCUGAAGAAUGUAUAAAAAAAUGCAGAAAAUAGCAUUGGAAUGUCAAUGAACGAUCACUAUACCCUAAAAUUAUUUUUGUGUAGUUCAAAAAUCACAACAAUUUUGAUAAAAAUACAUACCAACAAUCAAAUUCACAAACUACAUACAAAUUUUAAGAUAAGAAAUAGCAAACAUACCUCCACAAGAAUUUCAGGCGAUGGAGAUGCAGAGAGAUUUGGGGAAGAUGGAGAGGAAAAGAUGGAGACCAAGAUCACUUCUCUAGCCACCAAAAUAUUAUGAAAAUAAAAAGACUUCUAGGUUUUUAACGUGCAAACCUAGAAAAAAUUGGUGAUGGCAAUUUUGAUGUUUUUUUCCAAGUGUAAUGACAUUUUAGACUUUGCAAAUUAAAAAAUAGGGAUAAUUCGGAAAUUGAAAAAAAAAUCAUUAAAGGAAGCAAAGUGCUUCCCUUGUUUUCUAUGCGUAGCACUUUUAGGAGGAAGCACCUAGGAAGUGCUUCUUAGAAAAUGCUUAUUAGUGCUUCUACUUUUAACUAAAAGUACUUUUAAAGUAUUUGCCAAACGAUCAUUUUUUAAAACUAAAGCGCUUUUACCCAUUAGGAAACGAUUUUGACUCUUUCAAAAGCACAACCAAACGAGCUAGGUGACAACCACCUAGAACGAUCUCGAAUUACCCCUCGACCUAGGCAAUUUCUUUUUUCUAGCCGCCACUCCCUGUGGGUGACAACCACCUAGAAUUCGAUCUUGGAAGAUGGCGGCAUGGACUCCUCUACCGUCCAUUCCAAGACCCCGACGACCAGCAACUUCAUACAUCUCUUUGAAGAAAGAAAAGCUGUGACUACUUACCAAGUUACUCCAACCAUUCAAACAUUGCAAAUUAAGUACUUUAUUAUAUGAUCAUAAUCUGAUAGUGUAGCUUUUUACGCCAACAGUCCAUAUAACAAUCAGCUUUCAAAUGUAUAAACAAUCUGUACACAGUCUAUAAUCCCUAUUAGCUGGGAUCAACAUAUAAAGCUGGUUACGAUAUGGAUGCUGCAAUUCUCAGCUAUUAAACUUGAGUAAACUCCAGAGCAUUUGCAUCCGGGUCUCGAGUGAAAAUCGCCGGCCUCCCGGACUUGCUCAGCGUGUAGGGGAUACCUGCAGUAGCAGAUAGCAGUAUAAGUCGCCCACAUUCCUUCCAUAGAUCAACAUCCGUCCGACAUGUUAUUGAAAAUGAUAUGAACUGCAGAUGAGGAAAACUAAAGCUUACCAGCAUCGUCGAGGAUUACUUUCAGCUUAGACACAUCCCGGAUUGCAAUACAAGUAUGGCGGUCGCGGCCUCCAUGCGUUGGUCUUCCGGUCAAAGGGUCGGGAUUUGGAAGUUCCAUGAGAUGAAUCAUCUCUGAACCAACCCAUAACCAAGCACCUCUGUAGGGGAGCUUAUCAUGUGGCCUUGCCUCAUUUAUUUCAAGCCCUAUUUUUUUUUUAUCCAUCAAUGAUGUCAAAUCAUGUACUUUUAAUAUGCAAGUAAAAGAUGAGAAUUUUGAAAAUUUUACCCAAAAUGUUCUGGUAAAAGCUGAGAGAUCUUUCAAGGUUUUCACACAGCAAUCCGACAUGGUGGACACUAACAACUCCAAAAUCUGCAUGAGAAUCAAAAGAUGAACAAGUAAGAUGCAUCAGAGAAUGCAUAUGCAGCACUACCAAGGAAAAUCUAAUUUAGGGUAACAUGAGCGACAUGCGUUUCUCCUUACAGACAAAUCACAGUUGAAACUUGACACGCAUACAAAAACUUGUCUUUCUGUGAUUCGAGCCAUAGUCUACAAUAAAGAGUGGAGAGGGAGCACACUGCUUCAAACUAACUUUUAGAGUAUUUUGUAACAUAUGUGUUAAACUGUGAUUUGUAGAUACAUAAGAAAGGUUGGUCCUUUCAUGUAAUGAGGCAACCAGUGUUCAAAACAAACAUGUCCCAAAGAUUGAGUUAAGCACGCAAAUUAGAGUGUGUGAAACGAUAUCACAUCAUGCAAUUAAAGUUCACUUUUUGUUUAAAUAGGAUGUUUUAUUCAAAACCAGUGUUCUAAAAAUCGGCCUAAGCAACGCCUAGGCGCUGGGCGGCGGAGCUCCAACUCGAUUUAGACCAAAACAUUCAAUUAGGCGGGGAGGACUUAGGCGGCCGCCUAGGCGCUCACUAGGUGGUGCUAGGCGGCCGUCUAGACGGUUUGAAUCUCGCUGCAAUUUUCACAACCGGAUCUACAACUUCCGAUCUCGUACAUAGCAGCAGAGCUUCAGGGAAUUUCUGUGUCUCUGUGAAGAUGAGGGAAGAGAGAGAGAGAGUAUUAAACAUUUCAAUCGGUGGUGGCGCAAGUUGGAUUUGAGAUCCAAUUUUGAGGUUCUGAAAGUGAAAGGCCGAAGAAGAAGAACGAAGAUGAGGCAAGAGGGAAGAUGAGGCAUGAGGGAAGAGAGUGCCAAGAGAGACUAAAAGAUUAGGUUAUGAAAGGGUAAAGAAGAAGAAACGAAAUUCAAAAGCUGGUGAUGGGUUCUUGGAUGAUGUGAAAGAGUCCGAUGGUUUUAAUUAUGAAACCACCCACUCAUCAGAUGGUUUUAAAUAUGAAACCACCCAUGGGUUUUUUUUUUUUAGUUUUAAAAGUUUGGGAUGUAUAUUAUAUGUAUAUAAAUGUUAUAUAAAUUAUAAAUUAUAAAUCAUUUAGAUAAUAUUUUGUUUUUUUUUCCUAGGCAAGCAUAUUAGAUAUGUACAUAAAACAUUCACAUAUGUAUGUUCUUCUAUAAGAAAUAACAUAUUAUUCAAUAAUUAUUUACAUCUGAUAUAGUAAAUUUAAUUAAUUCAUAUAAUAUAUAAAAAAAUUACCUAAAUCCGCCUAGGCGCUAGGCGCUAAACCACCGCCCGACUAGCGCCUAGCGUUUUUUAGAAACUUGUUCAAAACAUUGUACGAUCAUACAAAAAAUAACUUAAAAUGGUUCAUCCGAAACUCAAACGUGAAAUUAAAGGUUUUUUUUUUUAACAAACAAUAUUCUCUACGCAGGGAGGGGUGGGUUUAGCCUUACAAUAGGCUAGUAAUAAUGUAGUUCAAACCCGCCAACAAACUUAAGACCGCUCACUUACAAAGAAAAGAGGAAUAUCACUGGACUGUAGUACUAAGUGGCAUGAGGUUGGGGAUGCAACACGAAAUUGAAGUUCUUAAAACAAUAAACAACAACAACAAAGUUUUAUCUUACUAAAUUCGGCUGUAUGAACCUUAGAGCGUAACUACGCUCGAUUUUGCAUCAAGUUUUCCGUUAAGACCAAAUACUUCGUAUCUUUUCUUAAAACAACAAACAAUCACAAAAAAUUUAUCUUUAUUGCCAUGGAUUUUAUCAUUUUACAAGUCUCAGUCACACCAAAUUCCCAAAUUUCCAAGACCCAACUUAGAAGACAAUUUUUGGCAAUCAAAUAAAAGUGACCAAAGAAUAAGAAGAGUUACCAUUUUUGUCCUGAGCACCGACUGAUUGCUUCUCCAGUACAUCUUCUUCAACGGUCGCCUUAGCUUUCGCCACAGAACACCGUCCGUGACGCCUGCAACUUCUCAGACCGGUCCGGUCAAUUUUAGAUGAUGGGUUCGUAAGUAAAGUGCUGACUCUAAUCCCAUCUUCCUGCAAUCGAUCAAAUAAACAAAACCCAAAUUAAAUAAAGUAAAAUUAAAUCGUAAUCAUAAAUAAAUAAAAGAAGAAUGAAAAAUGCGUGAUAUAAUAAAAUUUACCUUGAGUUGGAGGGGAAGGGUGGGAGGUGGGAUGAGAAGGGAAGCCAUGGAAGAGCAGCUGCUCAUCUGGGUUUUUGUCUGUUUCUUGUGUUCUUUGUGGCCAGGCCCUCCCUACAGUUCCUACCUCGCAAUGUUUUUGCAGAUAUACUAAUAAAAUAAAUAAAUUAGAAAAUAUUAGAAAAAUCACGAGCCAUUACUUUAUGUUUUGGGGUUAUUAUUUUGGGAAUUGUUAUUAUCAUUUCAAAAAUCUCAUUUGGUACUUCAAAUUUUCUAUAAUUAGAAAAAUACAUUUGUGAGAAGUGUAAAAUGAGAUUUUUAGAGUGCUUAUAACAGUUCCCUCUUUUUUUUUAACAAAUGAUAUUAUGUAUGUUAAAAAAGAUGGGUGAGCUUAACCUCACAAUAGGCUAGCAAUAAUAUGAUUUAAAAUCAAACCUCAAACCUCUAAUUUACAAGUGAAGAUAAGUAUCAUUAGACCGUAAUACUAUGUAGUACAACACGAGGCCCACAUAAGCUUAGACCCGAAGGCAGCAGAAAACAGACAAUAAAAAAACCCUAAUCUCCAUCAACAAAGACUAUGUCGUUUUUGCCGUCACGUCCUCGGAGUAGGCCAAACUCCGAACAGAGAAAGUAGACACCAGAUCCAAUUCUCCUUCACGAGCCCUUGCAAAUAUAUACAAACAAAGUAUCAUAUGGGUAGAGGAUGAGGCUAAGGGGGUAUGUAAAAUACCCAACACUUGGCCUCAAUAGGGUUAUGGCAUAUGUAUGCCGUUUAGGGAGGGUAGGGAGUGAAGGAGGGAAGUGGAUUUGGUAUCCUAUUCCUAAUUGUAGCCCGCCUAUCCGAGUACAUGGUGGGGUGGGAUCACAACUAAGGAGGAAGGAUGACAGAAAGUUAAAAGACAGAAAACAGUAAAAGUAGGCAAAAGAUGCCGGAUAAGUGGCAAGAAGCCUAGAUCUAAAACAAGCUCUGGGAUAGUUGAGACCCAGCUCAGGAAAAACUGAGAUAAACUCAGAAAGAAUCAAGAAUAAAACAAAAGAAAGAGACUGGAAAGAUGAGAAGAAGAGAUGGAUGCAGGGAAUGGGUGGAGCAGAGGAAGUAAUGGGGGAGGAAAAGAAGAAAAAGGCAAAUGAGGGAAGGGGAGAAGAAGGGGAAGAAGAGGGAAGAAUGAGACUGAAAAAAUUAGGAAGUAGCGGGUUGCUACCUACCCCAAGCAAGAGUAAGGGUCGGCGACUGAAAGUUGAAGCCGAAUAAAAGGUUUAAAUCUGGGUUUCUAGAGAGAAACUGUGAGAGGUUAAAUUUCACAUUUGCCCCCCAUAAAGAAUUGAUUUUCCCACAUGAUGGCUUUUAAUUUCUAGGCUUGGUUCUAAUAAAGAGAAUAAUUUUUACAUGUCAUUUUCUUCACUUCUUGUCAGUUGUUAUGAUUGAUAUAGUAACAUAUAUAUGUCACUCAGUACUACGAUCUGAUAGUAUUUCUCUUCACUUGAAAGUGAGAGAUCUUAGGUUCGAAUCUCGUGAAUGGCGAAUUCGAUACCAAAUUAGGCUGCCCAUUGAGCAUAUUUGCCGAACUCCCCCUCUUCUUAGUGCAAAAAUAUCAAUGUACUCAAAAACAUAUAUGAUCACUUGCAAAACACUUGUAUAAUGUGAACACAUGUUUUAAAAAUAAUAAAUAAAUAAAAAAGAAAGGUACACCAAUUGUACUAAGUGCUUAAAGACAAGUAAUAUCACCGAGUUUCAGUAAAAACACAUAUUCUUCUUAAGGCUUAGGUAAACUCCUUGGGUUUAUAACAGGGGUGUGCUAUACAUACACCCCUUGAUAAUUUAUGUCCAUUGAUUUUCUUCAAUUCAUCCGAUCCGACGGUUGAAAAUUAAAAAGAUGUGUGAGAAGUAAAAUGGGGUGUGUGGAUAUCACACCCCUUAUAAUAAGGAAAACUAAAGAAAAUGGCUUAAAAACUUUGAGUUUUAAUGAUAAAGACAAAAUAAAUGGUAAAGUGAAUGGUACCAAGAUUGACUUUUUAGUGUAAAAAUGUGAUUUUUUGUUAAAAUGAACAGUACCAUGAGCUUUUCGUUAAAGUUCCCUUUAUAAUAACUUGUAAUAAUGUAGUACCUCACUCUUAAACUAAACAUGUUAUGGAUUGUAGUAUUGAUGAUUUACGUGUCACGAAAAUAAUAUUUUCAGAAAAUUGUAGCAAUGGUGAAAGACUUUAACUCAAUUGGAGUAAUAAUCUAUCAACUAAAUAUCCAUGACCAUUGAUCUAUUUACUUAUCAAAACAUGCAGUUAUAAUCUUUUUCGUCAACUCCGUUAAAACUUCCAUUAAAAUGAGUCACGUGCCAUGCACAUGAGACUGAAUUAAAGGGCAAAUAUAGGAGACUAAAUGAGAAAAAUUGGAGAAAUUAUCCCUCAAAUUUAACCCAAUUGGAGAAAUUGGUCCCUCAACUUUAACCCAAUUGGAACAAUGGUAUAUUAACUUUAACCCAACUGUAGCAAUAAUUCUUCUAAGAUGACUCAUUUUGACGGAGUUGAUGAAAAUGAUCAUAAUUGCACGUUUUGAGGAGUUAAGCGUAAGGAUGGGUUCAAAAAACCGAAAAAAAAACAAGCUGAACACCGAACCGAAGCCGAAAAAAACCGAACCAAACUAAGUGAACCAAACCGAACCGAUUUAUAUAAUUAUUUAAUAUAUAUUAAUUAUAUAAAUCAUAUAUAAAUACUCAAAACCUAGAGGCAAGGUGUUUCGAACUCCUUACCUCUUGGUUGAGAGUGUUUGUUUCAGCCAACUUGACAACAGGCUUUCUGUUGCUAAAAUUGUACUAGUAAAAUAUUUAUACUGAUUCUGGAUCUUUAAUUCAUUAUAAGAUUUCCAAACACAAAACCCUAGCUGCCCCAUUUACUCUCCCAUUUCAUCUACUCCUAGUUCUGUCUUCUUUGUCUUUCUCUCUCUCUCUCUCCCACCGUGGAGCCAUUGACCUUCUCGCGGGCGAUUCGCUCGAUGUGGAUGACCCAUUUGCGGCGGUGGACCUGGACGACCUUGCCCUCGUGGCUCUUGAAGGUCCCGCGAACCACAUGGGCCUCGUCUUCCUUAUGCACAGGGAACAAAGGUCGGAGGAGAGAGGCGCGCUCAUCAACACGCGGCACACGCUGGAUGGCGCGGUGAAGUAAGCCUUGCCGGCAUUGCAGGUUUGGUUCUGUUUUUGCUUUGUUUUUUCUGAAAUUUGCUUAUGCAUUCACUUUUACUUUGCUUGUUCUUAUGGAAGAUUAGUAUUAGUUCAUUUCAUAAUUUUGUAUCCGAAUAAACCAACAAGUCUCAAUUGUUUAUUUUCGAGGUUAAGUGAUGAAUUUUUGAACAAAAAUUUGCUGAUGUUGUUCUUGGAUUUGUCUAUGUGGUAAAGAUCUUUGGUUUUUGGGUAUUUACUCUUUAUUAAAACCCUUGGUUCUCGUCUGUUUGGCUGUGUUCGGACAGGUGCUCAUGGCUGGAUGUUGCAAUCGGUGAGGCAUCGGUUGGUUGGUGGCGGCGAGUGCUUCAAUGGAAGCCCAGUUUUUUUUUUUUUUUUUGUAUUUUAUGGCUUGGGCCUUUACCAUUUGUUGGGUCUUUUGGGCUAAAUUGGCAGGUCCCCUUUUGGGCUAAUUUACCAAUAUCCAGAAUUUUUUUUUUAAAAAGGAAAAAACUGAACCGAACCGGAAAAAACUGAAACUGAAAAAAACUAAACCGAAAAAAACCGAGGAAAAAUCAAACCGAACCGAACCGAAUAGUAACUUCGGUUUGGUUUUCGGUUUCGACCAAAAACCGAACCGAAAGGAAUCAAACCCACCCCUAAUUAAGGGACCAAUAAUUAUAGAUUUUUUGUUAAGAAAUUAUUGCUCUAAUUAAAUUUUAAUCGAGAGAUCAUUACUAUAAUUUUGUAAUAUUUUUAUGUUCAUAUCUCACUCAUCGUGACACGGUAAGGUCCUAUGUCCGUGCCUAAUUUGGUUAAUUAUGAAUAAAAUUGUAUUGCCAUUGAAAAAUAAUUAUAACAAUCUAAGAGCUGGCUUUUCAACCACUUGAUAAAAAAAUAGAGACUAAUUUAUAUGGGUAUUUUAAUUAAUUAUAAGCCUGAUAUCAUAUCACAAAUAAAUUGAAAGUCAAUAAUUCCAAAGGGAAGAAGACUAUAAAAUCUGUUGACAAUUGACAUGCAAGUCAAGCUGCUAAUAAAACAAUACAAAACUCAAAAACCUAUGGGGGAUGGCCAGCGAAUGAGAUCAUGCUUUAGUCCGUUACUAUUUUUUUAGGGAAUUUUAACGAAAAAUUUACGAUACUAUUUAUUUUAAUAAAAAAUUAUAUUUUUAUGCCAAAAAGUUAAUUCUAAUACUAUUCAUUUUACCUUUUAUUUUGUCCUUAUCAUUAAAACUUAAAAUUUCUAAGUCUUUUUCAUUAAUUUUUUUUAUCUCUAUUGAAAAUGUUGCAAAUUUGAAUUAUAAAUUACUUUAACUUACGAAUUCAAUCUCAAGUGGAAUGAGACGGUCAAACUAAUAUAGCGAACUGGCGUUUGAGUUAUUUGAUUUCAUUUUUAUAUUUUUGGUGAACCGUGUUAGAUUGCAAAAUAAUUCACGCUAAAUACAUGUAAAUAAUUAUGGUUAUAAUUUAUUUGGGUUGCGAUUGCAAUGUUUUAAGUCGACAUGUAAAAUGUCAAACAGCCGAUGAUGUAGGUGUGUGAGGCCCCGUUUGGGAUUGAGGUGAUUUUAAAAAAAGCCACUGUGAAAAAAAGCUGAGGGUCAUUUUUGUGUUUGGUAAACUGAAAAAAAAAAGCUUAUUUUGGAAGCUGCUGUGAAAAUAAGCUGAAAAUCAAAGGAAAAGCUGAAGCUGCUAUUUGCUGCUUUGAAAAAAAGCCAGUUUUUUCAAAGCACAUGGAGCUACAGUGCUCCUUUAAUGAAAAGACACACUAUCAUCCUGCUUUUUUUUUCCAAAAGCACUUUCACAAAAAAGUUUACCAAACACUCUACUGGCUUUAUUUCACAGCCGCUUAUUCUCACAGCACAGCCGCUUAUUCUCACAUCAGCUUUUUUUCAAAGCACAGCAAUACUAAACCAGCCCUGAGUCACGGCGUACGUACCGCAUGCUAGUCUUCAAACAUGUACCGUUUUGUUCUUCUUUCAGACUUGUACUUAAAUAAUUAUGUAACUAUCAAUCACAUGUAAUUUUGAAAUUAACAACGUUGACCAAUAGCUUUUGGGUCAAUGUGAUUAAAAAUAAGCCACUUUAAUCUUGGAAAUAAAUCGAAGUCUAUAGAAACUAAAAGCUAAAGCCUAGAGAGAAAGAACUUCAUUAAUAACAAAGAACAUGAAUUUCAGUUUCCAAAAAAAAAAAAAAACAUGAAUUUCAUGUAAAAGAAAUCCUAAGCAGAUGUUUUUAAAGUGGAAAUCUUCAAUGAUUUUCUGUUAUUUUAUAGUUUAACAUUUUUCAUGUCAGUAUUAAAAAAAAUAUUAUGCUAAAUUUAACAGUGACAUGCAUUUAUUAGUUAAAUGGCAAAAAAAAAAAAAUUACUGAAUUUAGUUUUAAUAUAGUAGUUCUCAGACAUAUCGGAGUGUAGCCAAGUUGGCUAGAAAAAUGUACUUCCUCUUUUGUAAAUGAGUAAUGCUAGGUAAAUGAACUUUUUAGACCAAAUUUAUAAAUCAUGUGAUGUGUCAUUGAUAGUAAAUAAGCACAUUAAUCAAUACUUAAUAAUAAUCCAAUUAUCAACAUUCACGUUAUAUGGAUUACAAAUUUUAAUUUAAAUAGUUAGUCUCCCUAGCAUUGCUCUUUGUAAAUAUCUUAUUCUCCUUCAUUCAUAAAUUAGAAUUGGGUAGUGCUAUCCACCCAUCCAUUUUUUUUAAAUUUAUUAUCAUUAAGGGGAUGAAAAGAGUUUAAAACUAUUACAAUAAAUUAGGAGAGGAGAAGUUUCAAACCUGGAACAUAUUGGUAGAAACACAACAUCCUAUCCAUUGGUGAUGUAAGAGGAGCCAAUGGGUCUUGGGAAGACGAUGGAGAUAGAAACCAGGGGAGUCACUCAACCAACUGCAUCAAUUAGAAUAUUGGACCACUUGCAAACAUACUUAUUUCUACUUCUUACAUAGCACUCUCAAUUUUCAGUCGUUGGAUCGAAUAAAUUGAAGAUCAACGAUAAAAAAAUAAUAAAGAUAUGUGAAAAAAUAAAAAUAGAUGUGUAAAUAGCAAUUUUAGUUAGAAUAUCGCUUUAUAAAAAACAAGAUAGCUCCCUGUUUCACUUACUGGUAGUUGUUUUUAAUGGUUCGAAAUUGUUGGUUGUAAAUAAAAGAGAAGUUGACUAAAACAAUCUCAAAUAAAAAGUAAAAAGUGAAAGUAAAUUGUGAGGUAGGGUUUCAUUAGAAUGGAUCGAAAAUCCUUUUGUGUCAGUACUAAUUCGUGCAGAUGACGUUUUAACGGCACCGUAAUAACGCUCAUUUAUAGUACAUUGUAAAAAGAUGAUGGUUGAUGGUUUUGUCCUUUAAUUUUAGGAUAAUUCGGUUCCCAACCCUCAAUCUUUUGAAAUUAAUCCCUUUAAACUUUUAAUACGAAAUAACUAGUUUGUCCCUUUAAAUUUUAAUUUAUUUAUGUUAAACACUUUUUUAACCACCACCAAAUGUCAUAUUUAAUAACUAAACCCACUCAUCAUCAUUUUUUUUAAGCUCUCAAACCUAGUAUUUUCCAUUAUUGAACGAAUCUAAACAUGAAAUCGUCUCUUGAGUAUCCAAAUGAGGCACAGGUUGAUAAUUUUUUAUUUCUCAUCAAAUUUUUAGAUUCAGACACCAUGAUAAACGCCUAACUAAAAAUAGAGGAUGUUCGGUGCAAAAUCCCUAUGGAUAUAACAUUAAUAUUCAUCAUUUAUCCACGUCAAUUUUUUUGGCUUAGUUAAUUAAAUUUUCACGUUACAUCAAACUUCCCUAAAAAAAAAAAAUUAAAACCCAAUCUUGAGUACAUUUACUCGAUACCUCAUCGCUUGCAAAUGAUUACAUGUAGUGAGCGUUUACUGAAUAGUUUAGUUGGAAGCCUUCCUUUGCGCAAAAGAUUCAAAUUUUCUCACAAUCCCUAAUGGCUUGCAAAUGAUUACAUGUAUUCAGAGUUUAGUUUAUAACAUUUUUGCUUUUACCGUUACAAAUUCCAUAAAAUAUUAAUACCGUAAAACAAAAGAUCCAAAACAGUUUACUGCAAACCUUCUUUGGCGCAAAACAAUUAAACUAUUUUCAUAUUCAUUGCUUGCGGAUGAUCACACGUGUAUUCAAAGUUCUCUCAAUAACCCUACUAAUUUUACCGUUACGAAUUCUAUAAAUAUACGUACAACAAAACCUGAACAAUUUAAUUCAAAAACCUUCUUUGGCGCGAAACAUUCAAAUUCACUCGAUGCCUCAUCGUUAGCUUGUAAACGACUACAGUCAUUCAAAGUUUACGAACUAGCUUUUCACAGAUUUCAUUGAGAAGGAAAACUCUGAAGCAUAUCCAAAACACAAAAUAGUGAAUCUUUGGGGGAGCUUUUUGGCAACAAAAGUCAUUUAGCAAUUGAGUACAAGCAAAGUCACUAUUUCACUUAUUCUCCCUCUUUUUCCCUCUUUCCUUCUUCCUUCCCCCAAAACGAAACUUCCCCAUUUCCUUCCCUCCCCACUUCCAAAUUCCCAACGUCAAUACAAAAAACCACCGUCCCCCCAAAAUCCCAACCGCGUAAAAGCACUCGUCCAAAAAGGUCAAGUCUCAGUCAAAAGGUCCCCCACUCCGCGUUCACACCUGCAUACACGCCUCGCACAGAUAUAAAUAUGCCUCCCCUCCAGUUCAACUCCUCCAGCCGACAUCUCCAUAUCUACCAGUUCACCUCCAAGCUCGAAAUUCAAGUUCACACAGGCAUUUCAUCAAACACCUUUCAUCCCACCACCAAAGUUCAGACCUUUCAUGGAAAUUACUCCGUUCCCAUUACUUAGUCAAGAAGAUGACUCCCAUUUCUAUACCCUGUUGUCUGACAUGGACGAAUUCGACAUAAAUGGCGGGAAUCACACCCUGAAGAAGCGGAGAAAGGACGAUGGAAACAACCAUGGUGGCGGCGCUGGAGCUGCUCCGGGGGCAAUGAGCGACAUACUUGCCUCGCUGAUUCUGCUGGACGAGGAGGAGAAGCUGGAGCAGGAGAGCUACUUGGUCGAAGCCCAGCAGGAAAGAUCGAUGCUUGAAGAUAAUCACAGGCAGAAGACUCGAGCUAUGGAGGAGUACUACUCUGAUAUUCAGCAGCACCAUUCUCAAUCCGACGAAUCGGACCUGUCUAGGGCGAAACGGAGUCGACAGUCCGCUUCCGCUGCGGCCGCUGCUGCAGCUGAGGCCUCCGCGGCCGGUCCGGACCCGAGUUCGAGUGCUAUGAUCCCGGGUCCGCACCGGAGGCUUUGGGUGAAGGACAGGCCCAAGGUGUGGUGGGAGAAUUUGGGCCGCCCAGACGUUUCGGAGGAGGAGUUUCGAAAAGCUUUUCGGAUGAGCAAGGGGACGUUCGACAUGAUCUGCGCGGAGCUGGAGUCGGCGGUUUUUAAGAAGAACACAAUGCUGCGCGAGGCAAUUCCGGUGCGCCAACGCGUGGCGGUGUGCAUAUAUCGGCUUGCCACCGGGGAGCCGCUCCGGGAGGUUUCGAGACGUUUCGGGCUGGGAAUCUCCACCUGCCACAAGCUGGUUCUGGAAGUUUGCGUUGCCAUCAAGACUGUCUUGAUGCACAAGUUUCUCCAGUGGCCGGACGAGGGCAGGAUGCAGGAGAUCAAGGAGGAGUUCGAGGCCACUUCCGGAAUUCCAAAUGUUGCUGGGUCUAUGUACACCACCCACAUAUCAAUUAUUGCUCCAAAGGUGAAUGUGGCUGCGUAUUUCAACAAGCGGCACACGGAACGCAACCAGAAAACUUCGUAUUCGGUCACGGUUCAAGGGAUUGUCGAUCCGAGAGGCGUUUUCACCGACGUUUGCAUCGGCUGGCCGGGUUCGAUGCCGGACGAUCAGGUGCUGGAGAAGUCUGCAUUGUUCCAGAGAGCAAACAGAGGACUCUUGAAGGAUGUGUGGGUUGUGGGAAAUGCUGGGUUUCCACUGAUGGAUUGGGUGCUGGUUCCUUACACCCACCAGAACUUGACGUGGACCCAGCACGCAUUCAAUGAGAAAAUCGGAGAAGUGGAAGGGGUGGCUAAAGAUGCAUUUGCAAAGCUCAAAGGGAGGUGGUCUUGCUUGCAGAAGAGGACUGAGAUCAAGCUGCAGGACUUGCCUGUUGUGCUUGGGGCUUGCUGUGUUUUGCACAAUAUUUGUGCAAUGAGGAAUGAUGAGCUCGAUCCCGAGUUCGAGUUCGAGCUCUUCGACGAUUUGGCAACGCCGGAAAAUAGUCUGAGGUCGGCGGGAUCGGUGCAGGCGAGGGAUCAUAUUGCUCAUAAUUUGUUGCACCAUGGCCUUGCUGCAGGCACCGGUUCUGGUUUUCUAUAGGGGGGGGUUUUGAGUUCAGCUUUUGUUCUAGUCAUAUUAUAGAGUAAAAGAUGAUACAGAGAUAUAUGUAGUUUGGCUUUGUUUAGCUUUGUGUAUAUAAGCAUUUACCCACCUUCUGUCUAUUUAUCCAUUCUAAAUAUAUUUCCUUCUUUUUUGCUAUCUGAAAUUCUAAAUCUGAUUUUGAAGUUUGAGCGACCAUAAGACUAGCUGAGACCUUUUAUUACGUUGUUGAAGGUGAAAUCUGUCGUAUCACUAAAUGUAUAUCAUUGUGAUUGUGCUUCUUUCCCUCUGAUUAUGAAAUUUGAGCGACUAUAAAGCUAGUCAAGAUUUUCAUUUAUGAUUCAUUGCCGAAGAGAUAUUUGUCGUGUCACCAGACACCAACUGACAUUUUUAAUUAUGUUGUCGACGGAAAAGUUGAUGUAUCACUAGUUGUAUAUAACUUUGUACCUAUCUCUUUAAGAUGCACGUUUGAGCAAUAUAACUAGAUAAGAUUCUUGAUUAUGUUAUUGAAGAGGAAAUAUGUCAUAUCACAAAUUGUAUAUAAUUGUGCACCUAUCUCUUUUACUCGAAAGUUUGAAUAACUAUAAUCCUACUCAAAAUUUUCAAAUUAGGUUGUCAAGAGACAAUUUCUUGUAUCACCGGUUGUAUACAACCUAACAUCUUUCAUGUCACGUGCUUGAUCACUUAUGUUACCAAUUGUGUACAACAUUGCAUCCUUCUCGUAUUGUGCUCAGCUGUUCAUGUUUCGAGAGAUAGACACAGAAAAAAAAAUCCAAUGGAAGAUAAGUAAGAUUCUUCCCGUUGUCAAUCAUGUAACUUUUACUUCUUGGCCAUAUCAGGCUAUUAAACUAGGCAGGCCCCAAAAUACCAAGUUCCACAGAAUUUGUGAUGGCGCAUCAUAAAUUCCUAAUUUUCAACCUUACAAUCUCUUUUGCAGUCAUAGGUUUUAUCAACUCUUUGUCCAACAAACUGAUUGCAACGCGGUUUCCCCUACUUUGUCACAACAACAAUUAUGGUUUGUGUUGCUCCGCCCCCACUUUCCUCUCACCUUUGAACUAUUUGCUUGCCUGGUCUCCUCUGCUCUUUGACUUUAACCAACUCUUUCUUGGCAAGUUGGCGUUGAUGGGGGAGACUACAAGUCUAUUUUAUCAACUAAUUAAUCACCUUCACUAUAUUUUUCUAAUUUCCAUUAGUCUUGUUUCGGGUAGAAUCGGCUUUGUAACCGGUUGUUUGUUCACUUAUAUCGUGAUGAGAAAGACAAAGAUAUCAACCGUGGAUCGGUAAGAGUUUCUGCUUGUAGUUUAGGGAGUGGUGGAAACCUUGUUGUGAGAUGUUUUUGGCCAGUUGGAUUUUUGCUAGUCUGCAUUUUGAAGUCGAUUUACAAUAUCUGAGUCUUUCAAUACAUUUGCAGCAAUCUAACAGAGCUUCUCUGUUUUUGCUUGAUUAUCAUUUACUGAAGAGAAGAUUAUCAUUAAGAAAGUAAAAUCUAUAAAACUAAUUAUAAACAUGGUAACAUCAAGGCACAAGUAGAUUUUUCUCUCUAAUUCGGAAAUUAAUUUGGUGUCUCAGGUGUAUACACUUUUGUGUCGAUCUUUCUCCUCACUUACGUAAUCAAGUUGAUGAGCGAGAUGACACAUAGAGACAAAGGUGUAUACAUUCCUUUUGUGAUGAAACAGAUAGAGAUGGAGAUGGUGUGUACAUUUCUUCCGUGAUGAUAUAGAUAGAGACAGAUGUGUACACAUUCCUUCCGUGGUGAUAUAGAUAGACACAAAGGUGUAUACAUCCCUCUCAUGAUAAUACAAAUAGAGACAAAUGUGUAUACAUUUCUUUUGUGAUGUUACAAAUAGACACAAAAGUGCAUACAUGCCUCUCGUGAGGACGCAAACAGAGAAAAAAGUGCAAUACAUUCCUUUCAUGACAAACAUAUAAACACAAAUGUGCAUACAUUUCUCCCGUGACGAUACAGAUAGACACAAAGGUGUAUACAUUCCUUCUGUGACAAUACAGAUAGACAUAAAAGUAUAUACAUUUCCCCCGUGAUGAUACAGAUAGACAAAAAUAUGUAUACAUUCCUCCACAAUGAUACAGAUCGACACAAAAGUAUACAUUCCACCUGUAAAGACAAAUACAUAUGAACGGACACGCAUAUACAUCCUUGACAUGCAAGUUAUAACAUUUUGGAAGCAUUUCCAUUACCUCCCCUAAUUCAUGAACCAUCAUGUUUUCCUUUUAUUAAAUGACUCUCAUCAAGAAAGUUCAUUGCACCUGCAAAAUGUUUGGUUUCAAAUUCUACUCUGGCAAUCUCCAACCAUAUUGACAGAUUGGAUUUCUUUCAUUAGUGAGGCAGCAGAUAAGACUACGACAGCUAAAAACUGUGCAGAUUUAGUCUUUCACUUCGAAACCUGCCUACCAACAACUGUGAAACAUUUGAUUUCCAUUUUUAGAAAUUUCUCAAGUGCAUCUUUUCACACGUGAAUUUUUCUUUUCGAGACUUUCACAUAUGGAAAUCUUGUGCUGCCAUUGCAGCAUUAAGAACAUGAAUUUACAAAUCACUUUCUAAGUAUAUGACUAAUUAUAAUUUUUUUUUCUUUCCAAAAUAUGAUUAUUUGUCAAUUAAGGAAUAAAAUUUGGUUAAUUCCUUUUGUUUAAUAUAAAGAGAAUAUAUUUAGUUGUAACAUGCUGUACCACCUGAGAAAUGCCACCCAAGAGAGUCCAACUGUAGGAACCCAGGAACAGCCAACUGGACAUGGACACGUGUCAGACAGACAAAUUAGACGUUGGUGGAGAGAAAUAUAAAAAUUGGUUGUAGAAGCUGUUUUUGGAGGGGUCUCGUAUUCUCAUUCGUCCCGGGGUUUUCGCUUCGUUGUCACUCGUCACAAUCAUCCAAAUUUCUCAAGCCAUAGAGAGAGGUAGAGAGGGAGAGGAUGGAGAACCAUAAGCAGAUGGAGAGGGACGAGGCGGGGCCCAUGGCGGUGGAGGCGGCGGAGGAGGAGGAGAACGGGCAGGUGGGGUCCAGCCUGACCCUGGAGAGGGUGGCUGCGGCAAAGCAGUUCAUAGAGAGCCACUACAAGGCUCAGAUGAAGCACAUCCAGGACCGUAAACAGAGGUAGGGAAAAAAGACAUUUCCUUUUGUUGAAUUUACUGUUUUUAAGGAUCUUUCUGUCUUGCCCAGUUCUUGUUUUUGCAAUUUCAGCUGGUGUUUUUGCGAUCAGAAUUGUUUUUUAUUCUGGGUAUUUGAUUUUUUUCUUUUGUUUGGAAUGGAAAGCCUUGAUUUUCCUGAGAAAUGACGGUGUUUCUUUGACUGCCCUGGAAUUGCAUUCCUGGAAAGAGUUGGAAUUUGAUUGGUUUUUUGGGAAAUGGGGUUCAUUGGAAAUUCCCAAAUCAUUGUGCUUUUGGAAUGCAUAUGCUUUCAUGAAGUGGAAGUAAAUAUUGUUAAGUUAUGCUUAUCACCAAGUCGAAUUGUGUUUAGAUUUUUUCUACCAGGGGAGCUAAUGAUGAUAGCAACCUUAUAAGGAAUAUCAAACAUGAUAAGAUGUUGGGUGCUGAUUUUGCAGAAUGACAUUUGCAAAUUAGUAAAGAACUGCAUAGUGAUGAAUAAUUAUAGUUUUGAGGCUUCGUAAUUAUAUAAUCCGCAAAUCCUUAGUUGGAAAAGUAUUUUGUUAUUGGUUUGUUAUGACUUUAAUCACCUUAGAAGAACUAAACUGGGUGCAACUGUGAACAAAUUGAGAAAGAUAUUUAUUGUGCAUUAUUUGGCAGUUGACUGUGUGAUUGAGCCCCUUUGGUUUAGCAAUAAGCGAGAGACAUGUUUCAUAACAUAAAAUGGGUGGUGGUUGUCAUUGGUUCUUUAUGGAUUGUUUGGAUUGUUUCUCGUUUGUGUUUUUUUCAUGCCAUUCCAUCAGGUAUAAUUUGUGUUAAUAUUUCAACUUGUGCAUGGUAGAGUCACUGGAAGAGACUGCUGAAAAAGCUAAAAUGUUGAGUUCUUAGGCAAUAGAAUCGCCUGUUAAUAUGGUUAUUUCUGCAGUGUUUUUCAUCAAUGUUAUCUUUAAUGCCUGGUCUGUUCUGUUUCCAGUGUCCAUUAUGGCAGUUUUACUUCAAACACUGUUGCAUUCAUGCCACAUAAACUUUAUAUCGCUAGUGCUGAAUAUGUUCUUGUUUUUUUAUAUGUUUUUAGAGUCCACUAGUUGUGAUGUGCCUCCACCACUGGUAAUUAAAGUGAAAUUGGCAAUGGUUAGAGGAUAAAGGUUCUGUCAUUGAUCUUGAUAUGUGCCCUCAAAUGUGUUCAUUGUUUCCAGGCGCUCGGUGCUGGAAAAGAAGUUGGCAUCUGAACAUGUACCAGAGGAGGAACAGAUCAAUUUGUUGAAGGAUUUGGAGCGCACAGAGACUCAAUACAUUCGCCUUAAAAGGCACAAGAUUUGUGUAGAUGAUUUUGACCUUUUGGCCAUAAUUGGGAGAGGGGCCUUCGGAGAGGUAGAUAUAUGCAUCUCUUAUAACUUGCAUGGGUGCUAGGUUUAAAAGAUUUUUAUUUUCCUUUUCAACUUAUUAAUAUACAGAGAAAGUGAGUAUAAGCUUGUUUCUGUUACCCUUGACCUCGAGUUGUUUACUGUUACAGUAUGCUGAUUACUUCUAAAACAAAUAUGAUGGUUAUUUGUUUCAUUUUCUUUGUUGUAGUUUUUUUCUUUGGUUUAUGUUUGAUAAUUUCUUGAUACAAUAUUUCUAUUAAUAUUUUGCAGGUUAGACUGUGCCGGGAGAAGAAAUCUGGCAAUAUUUACGCCAUGAAAAAGUUGAAGAAGUCAGAAAUGCUCAGUAGGGGGCAGGUAAUUAUAUUGCACAUCAAGAAUUGAUUUAAUUUUAACCUCUUUUACCUUAAGGGAAAGAGAAACUUCGAUUUAAGGUUCUCAAAUUUUCAUCCAUUACUUCUAGUGUAAAUCUUGUACUCACUGGUUGUCUAUCCACAAUGUAGGUUGAACAUGUUAGAGCUGAAAGGAAUUUGCUUGCAGAGGUUGCCAGUCAUUGCAUUGUGAAACUUUACUAUUCCUUUCAAGAUGCUGAAUACUUGUAUCUAGUCAUGGAAUAUCUACCUGGUGGUGACAUGAUGACUUUGCUUAUCAGAGAAGAGUCUUUGACUGAAACUAUUGCUAGAUUUUACAUUGCGCAAUGUGUUCUGGCCAUAGAAUCUAUUCACAAACAUAACUACAUUCACAGGUUGGUUUAUCCUUUUGGUCACAGGCUUGCCAACAUUGGAAGCUGCAUUCUGUUAAAGUUUGUUAUAUUAAUAAAUGGUACAUCAAGAUAACAUAAUGUAACUCUUGCAUUUGCUACGUCUAUGUUUUUUUUUCAGAGACAUAAAACCAGACAAUCUUCUGUUAGACAAAAAUGGUCACAUGAAGCUUUCUGAUUUUGGUCUUUGCAAGCCUCUUGAUUGCUCAAAUUUAUCUUCCAUAAAUGAAAAUGAAGUGCUUGAUGAUGAGAACCUGCAUGAGACAAUGGAUAUUGAUGAAUCCUUCCCAGAAACCAAAAAUGGGAGGCGCUGGAAAAGCCCGCUUGAGCAACUUCAGCAUUGGCAGAUAAACAGGAGAAAAUUGGUAGUCAAAUGAUCCUUUCCUUUAUAUUCUAAUGUGGAAUUUCACCUCUCUUACAGUCUUACUCUUAGAUUCUUGACUGGAUAAAGUGCAAGCAACAAACAUUUGCUAUUUGUAUAUAAUUAACACUUUGUAGAUUUAAGAUGCAAUGUUUAAUGCCAUUUCCUUUGUUUCAAUGGUAGGCAUUUUCUACAGUUGGAACUCCAGAUUACAUCGCUCCAGAGGUAUUGUUGAAGAAAGGAUACGGCAUGGAGUGUGACUGGUGAGUCCACGAUGUUGGAGCAUUAUUGGAUUGUUAUAGUAGCUAAAAUAUGUGUGAGCAAGUUCGUUUGUGAAUUCUAUUUCUCACCCAAUUCCUGCUUGUAGGUGGUCACUUGGUGCAAUAAUGUAUGAGAUGCUGGUUGGUUAUCCUCCAUUUUACUCUGAUGAUCCAGUCACAACAUGCAGAAAGGUUACGUAGUCAGCAUAUAUUUUGCUUAUAUUUUCUGAUUCAAGUGUAUACUAUCUCAUAGUUUUCAUUGUUGCAUGGUUUUCACAAUAAUUAGACUGCGGUAAGAUUAAUUUCAACAUAACUCGCCAGGUUGCGUUUGUCUCACAUGUUUUUCUCAAGAAAGUUGAAUUUACAAAUUGUUUCUGAAGCAGUAACAUUUGCGGAGUUCUACAUUUCUUACUGAAGUUUUAUUGAUAUAUUCAUAUCUCGUGCAUAACCUGACAUAUGGAAGAAUGUAUGCAGAUUGUACAUUGGAAAAAUCACUUGAAAUUUCCUGUCGAGGCAAGGUUGACACCUGAAGCAAAGGAUCUGAUUGGUAGGUUCCUUUGCGAUGUUGAAAAUAGACUUUGUAGAGCAGACCAAAUUAAGGUAUUUCCCCUCUAUUUCCGAUGACUUUUAUGGUUUUACCCUCACAUUGUUACGCCAUUCUUAAUGAAAUAAGUCCUCGUAUUUUAAAUGGAUCAGGCUCAUCCUUGGUUUAGAGAUAUUGCAUGGGACAGACUUUACGAGACGGAGGCAGCAUUUAAACCAGAGGUCAAUGAUGAACUUGAUACUCAAAACUUUAUGAAGUAUGAUGAGGUAAGGUGUCAAAUAUACUCCUGUUGGCUUACUGCUCACGAAAACAUCCAACCUAUACUAGUCGCUAGUAGUGAGGUACUGGAUUGUGCCCUUGUGUCUAAAAUUCAACUGUGCUGCAGGUGGAUCCACCAGCACCUGGAAGAACUGGAUCUGGACCAAUGAGAAAGGUAUGUUUCUCAUAGCCAAAAGAGAACGGAGACUUAAAGUGGCGCAAUGUCAAUUCAUAAUCUGGUGAUGGCUUUUGUAAUGUAAACGUGUAAAAGGGUACAUUUUGACAUACUAGAUUAAUAAAACAAAUUUUCUUUAUAUUUUUGGGGGUUUGAACUUAUCUAAAAUAUCAACUAAUCUUUUUUUGGAGGCCCAGUGUGCUUAUUUUCAUGAUCUUGUAUGAAGGAACAUUUUUACUCUUGGAGAAGGGAAAACACGGAAAGAAAAUUUGUGUUAUAUUAGUUUUGAUUUAUGUAAAGUAGUUUCCGUGACACUUUGUGCUUGUUCUGUAUCUUUCUUUGCAGACGUUGUUGACUCCUAAAGAUCUCAGUUUUGUUGGCUACACAUACAAGAAUUUUGAGGCUGUCAAAGGGUUGCAUCAUUCAUCUGGUAUGCAUUGUACCGCAGUACAAUUUUCUUCACAUCUCUUUUUGCCUUUGUCUUUCUAUGCGCAAUAUGCUACCAAGUUUUAAUUUAAUGAGCAACUUCAUCUGCUAAAUUUCCUGGAUUAUGCUCAUUACUGUUACAGAUCUAAAGAGAAGUACAUCGCUGAACCGGACAUCUGUUGACUCUUCUCAAAGUAAUAAAUCCUGACCCGAACUGGUCUCAUUGACUGUAAAUUUUGUUUGUAAUGUGCCUGUAAUAAUUGACUGUGUACCUGUCCAGGUGAUUCUGUACUGGACUACUCCACUAAGUAUUCCUCGUACGACAUGGAAGCUCAGGUACUUGCUGCAUCAGAGGAUGUCAUGUCAGAGUGACUCGUAGCAUCUAGUAUGACAGGCGGAUAGAGCCCUUCUAGGAACAUGCUGGGCGCACCUGCUUGUUUUUUCCGGUUAGGUUUUCACCCACAUGAUCAACACAGUUGACAGCUACAUCUUGCAGAACAGUGUACAGUAGUAAUGUUGAAGACGCUUCAAGAUGACCCGUUGGAUGGGUUGGUUUUGUAGGAGUAGUACUAGUAGAUCUUGAGAGCUUUUUGUAUCCCAGUAGGUGUGAGAGUUUUGUCAAGGUCUUGGCUACCCAGGUUGGCAUUCAAAAUGUGCCUUCACUUGUGGCAGUUUUUGAUCUUUCUUCUCUUGAUUGUCUAUAGAAAAUUAUGGUUGCCGAAACAUGAAAAAACUGAGGUUUUGAGUCCUAAAUUUGAGGAUGUUAUUGAUGUUGAAAUCUUAUAGUCCCAUAUCUUCCCAAUACUUAUAUCUCUUAUUUCAUAUAAAAUUGAUUGCAGCUGAGUGCAGUUUGGCUUCUUUAUGCCCUUUUUUUUUCCUUUCUAGGAAACCUCGACGGUACGAGAGAAAAACUUUUCCCCUGUCCUCAAUAUAUAACUUUUUUUUUUACCAAAUCGUAGAUAACCAAGAUUCAAUACAACAAUCGCCACCAAAAGGCUUUUCUUUUGGAACAAAACAAACCACCAGACUAAUGCAAAGAGUGGCGGGAACUGACACACCCCGUCCCGAAGGAGGGCAUGCUGGCCGUCACGUGAGAGUGACGUAACCAUUUGCACAGUACGGAAGCUUUAAGAUACAAUUUAAAUUGAUACACCCGAAGGUGAGUCCUAAUUUGUCCAAUCUGUCAGAACACCGUCGAAUUCCUCGUAGUCACCACACCUUUGUGAUUCUUGAACCUGGAGGGGCGCAAAACCAAAAUUGAGUGGGUCAGUAAAACAAUUCUUUUCCAAAUCCAAACAUUUCUCAAAACGUUGUAACCCCUCUCCGUAAAACCUGUAUACUUUCCCAGAAAUGUAAAAUAUAAAUAUACAUAUAUAUUCUCAAAACUUCAUUUUUACUAUCUCAACAUUUUUCUUUAUCAAUCAUGCCAUGCCAUGUCUAAUUCAACAGUUAAAUAUGGAUGCAUCAAUAAUAAUCAUAUCAGGUGCAAGAAAGUAAUCAACCGGAGGCCCUCUAAUAGCCCUGUACGGUUGAACCUAGAGCUCAAAAUCUAUCACUAUCACUCUACCGGAGUCACCUCUGUGACCCGUCCGGCCUUCUGCACACAAGUUACGCUCUAGUGCUUUUCUCAUCAAUCAUCUGUGCACAUAAUCUAAGGUCACCCACCAGUCGGAAUCUCACUAAACACUCUCGCGACUGGCCUGUCGUACCCACUCCGCGUGGACUGUACGACUAGCAUCUACUUGGAUCCAAGGCGAGCGUGCGAUGCGGUGAAUACUAUAAGCACUAAACCAUGGUGCAGGAUUUGAGCUCAAUAUAUAUCAACAUCAUCAUAACAGUAAUUAAAUACUCACCUGAUACUCACCUGUGCGUCCGCCGCACCAUUCAUUCAUAUGCAUCAUAUCUCAAUUCAUACUUUUCAUAUCAUUUCAUGCAUGGCAAUUCGAUUCACAUUUCUAUAUACUUUUCAUAUACUUUUAUGCAUGGCAUUUCAACUAAUAUAUCUCAUAUACUUUUAUACAUUUUCAUUAAAAGCAUAAUUUCAUGCAUUUUCAAUUUCUGGGAAACGGCAAGUAUAUAUGUAUACGGAAAACAAAACUGCCCACUCACCUGGAGUUCGCCCUACAACUCCCUAGCACAAUACGCCAAGGCGUCAUGACGAUCGGCGCCUAAAACAAUAAUUAAUUCCAACCUCAGAAUUCAUAGUGAUAGAAUAUAUAACUUAUAUAAAAUACGUCACUACGUAGUUCGAUCCGGAAGAUCUGCCACUCAGAUUUUAAAUCCAUAACUUCCAGAGGUCCACAAUAUACCUCUAGGACAACUUCCUAAAAUUUCAUUACCAUCCAACGGUCGGAUCUCCGUCAAUUUCCAAAACUAAGUGACGGUUAACAUUUUAUUUUAUGAACUUACAAUUCCAAUUCCGGAAGAUCCGUAAACUCGGAUUCCCAAUCCGUAAGUUCCAAUAAUCCUCAAAUAUUACGUAUUACAACGUAUCAAAGUUUGGUAACGAUCCAACGGUCGGAUCGUCAAUUCACAUUUUCACCAAAACUAUAAAACGUUAUUCGAACACCUAACCAACAAUCCUUAAUAACUUUCUCAUACGGUGCUCAAAUUGGGUAUAUGAAUAUACCACGGUGAUCUACUCGACGUCACGGACGUCGACAUAUUUUUAAAAUAAUUUUAUUUAUUUAUUUUUUUAACUGUAGCACCUUCUUCUUCCUUGGGUCGCCGGACUGGUUUUUCCGGCGGCCGUUUUCCGGGCAGUUUUUCAAAUUGUCAUAACUUUGUCAUUUCUCAACGAAAUCAAGUGAUUCAAAAACGAAAGUUGUAGCCCUUGAAGAGACAAAGAGAAUGGUACCUUUCCCAACACCUAGUUCGCCGUAGUUUGGCCGGAAACUGCCUCGAAAGCCUCGGAGGUCGCCGGAAAACUGGGUAUUUUUUCAAAUGAGUAUAACUUCUUCAAUACUCAACAAAAUUGAGUGAAACAAAAAGGAAAGUUGUAGUACUUGACGAGACGAAGAGAUUGAUACCUACCUCGACGCCUAACUCGCCGGGGAUUCGCCGGAAAAUGCCUCGAAAGCUCCGGCCAAACUUUGAACUUAUCGAUCUCCGUGUUCUUACGUCCAAAAACUUCCAACGAAGCACUCCGAGCUUCCUUGGAACCUCACUAAGCUCACUGUGAGCUUGGAUUGUCCUAAAACAAAGUCAAUUCGAAGAUCAUGAACAGUGCACUUUCACGGGAGUUUAGAAUCUAGGUUUUCCGAAGUAAAACUUACCUGAAAUUGGUGUCUACGUGAUCGUGGAGUCUCCAGGAGUUCGAUGGUGGUCUUAACUCCGUCGUUGGUGGAAGUUUAAGGUUGUUUUGUGGUUGGUUUGUUCGAACGGAGAAGAAGAGUGACAGAGAGAGAGAGAUUCGUGAGGGAGGAGAGAGAGUGAAUGACAGUAUACGGGAAUUGGGGAGGGAAUCAGGGUAGGAGGCCCUACUUAAAUCCCAAACACAACUUUAAACAUACUAAUGUAAAUCCAAUUGUUAAAUUUUCGCCCCUUAGUCCCGCU